AAUUUCUUGCAUGCUGGAAUCAACUUGUCAACCAUGGACGCACGAAGUUUAUUCAGGAUCUCUGAAUCGUAUACUAUCCAUUUUGUGUGAAGUGUCUGAAUCUCUUCAAUCAUGGAAUUAAUGGCCUUCAAUCUUUUUCUCAAUGCACGUUUUGAAACCUGAGUAGAAAAGCACCAAGUAACAUAAAGUCCCUCUUCUCGACAACAAGACAAGAACUUGUCACAAGUUGAAACCUGAUAGCUAGUCAUUGCUUGCAUAACAUUCGUAUUCAGUUUCUCCAUAUAAUCAUUGCCAAUAAUCUCUCGCAGCUCCUUGGAUUCUUCAAUUUUUUCUACAAUGUAAUGAACAUUGUUCAUCAUGAACAAAUGCCUUAAAGGAACAUGUUUGAGCUGCUCUGAUUUCCCCUUCAAAUUCAGUUGUAAAACCACAAUGAUCAAAAUCAAAUGAAGAGCCAAAUGACUUCUGCCUUUAAGAUCCCCCAAUUCUCCUUCGGGAAUCAGUUGAUCCUCAAAUUUCAUUGGUGGCAUUGAUAUGAUCAAGUCGGUGAGGAGCUUCUUAUUGCUUACAAUGAGAGAGAUAUAAUUCAUCACACGUUUCGUCAAUGGAUGAAUGGCACCCCUAUCAUCUUGUAUCGUUGAAAGCUCACGAAAAACAGCUUUCUCAAAAUCCAAUAACAUUUUUCUUAUAUUAUUCUCGAGUUGAGACACUGUCACCUUCACGCCGUUUUGAAUAGCCUCUGCUGCGUCGAAGUCGAACAGGGUAUCAAUGUAUUGUAAAAGAAACAACAGUGUAUCAUAUAGGACUAAAAUUGUUCCCAUCCUCUCUGGGGACUGGUUAAUGGAACUCACUGUUUCUGCAAAAACAAGUAAAUUAUUUGCAGAAUCUCCAACUAUUUCCCAAAAACAUUCUUCACUAGCCCCAUUUCCAAAACCAGAGAAUAAUUUCUCACUAAUUUGUUUCUCCAAGUCAAAGAAGAAACAAAAACACACCCUAGCCACUCGAAUCCACAUUUCAAUUUUCACCUUCAACUCUUGCCAUAGAAACCUCUUUUUCUUGAAGGCACUUUUUGCAACCCCACCUAUAUACAAUUCUUUCAAGCGAAGCCGUAUUAUCAUAGUGUGGAAAAAGUAUUUCCUCACUCUCUUGUAAAGUUCGAUGCAAUCUCCAAGGUGUCCUCCAGAAUUUAAUCUUUCCGCAACUUGCCUGAGAUAAAAAAUCGCCUCGUCACUCGGUAAAUUGUCUACCGUUAAAUAAUCAUCGUGUCCAGUACUGGCUAAUGAACUCCAAUCAGAGGUAGUUGAAUCAACAGUGCCAAACGGAUUUGAUUGUGCUAUGAGUACUUUCAGAAACUCGUGCUUGAGCCGAGCCAUGGCUAUGGAGUUCAGGUCACCAGAUUCUGUUCCGUUCGUGGGGGACUGCUGGAUUCUGUCGACAGCUUCUAGAUAUCGAGUUAUUUCUCUUUCACCACUGUCGAAAAUUAGCAGAUUAACUGGUCUAUGAUGCCAAUGAUAGGUUGUAUCAACAGCAGAUUUGUAUGAUAUUGUUGAAGUCAUUGGAUCCAUGGACCUUCUGUCGAACUGUUACAGAUGGUAGCAAAAUUUCUGGUUCAAAAUUCCAACUAGUAAAUUUGUGUGAUAAUGAAAAUGGUUGUAUCUUGUGUUCUUGAGAAAGUAUGGUGGCAAAAUUUCCAAGUGGUCCUUAAAUCUAAACUAAAGAUGGAAGAUUUGAAUUGCCGCGUUUGAGAGGAGACUUCAUAAUAUUGAGUCAAUAAAGAAUAAAAUUAGAGACUUCCUUUUUCCUCACAAAUAUGUUUCCAUUGCACAAUGGCGGCCCCAAAUUCCACAAACAAGUGUAGGUGAGAUAUUAGAAUGUUCAAAAAGUGUAAAAGUGAUGCCGCGUAUUAUCAAAUAGUUAGUUUAAUAAAUUUCUUAGUACAAACGAGAAGGAAAAAUUACAAAUUUCUCUAUUUUAUGGUUGUGUUUUGAUUACUAUUGCUUGCCAAAUAUAAUAAUUCCAUUCACACACGACAUAAAAGCUUUAUUUGAUUUAGACAAUACUUGCAAGUUUCACAUGUUACAUGUGAAUAUGUUCAUAAAAAUCAUUUUGGGGUGGUCAUGUUCACACCACAUAUUUUAAUGAAUCAUGGCAUUGAAAUGGACACUACUAAUUGAUGUCGGCAAUGCUUGAUAUAGCAUAUACUCUUACACUCAAUCAAGCCAAAGUAAAAUGCUCUUCUUUUUAGGGUGGUCAUGCUCACACCACAUAUUUUGAUAAAUUACAUAUAAGGUCAUUAACUUUUAUUCAUUGUCACAAUUAUAUUCUUAAAUUUUUUUUUUCAUCGCAUUCUUAUUUUUAGCAUUUCAUUAAUCAAUUUUUUUUUUGUCCUCAUUCGUGAUUUGUUUUCAAAAAUAUUAUUAACCUGCUUUAAAAUAAUUAUAAAAUAUUAUUUAUUUUGUUUAUUCAAAAAUACAAUCGACAAAUGAGACAUUUGACUCUAUCUUAAAAAAAUAAAAGAAAAAAAAUAAAAAAUUUGAGAGAAACCAUAAUCAGAAACAAUUUAUGUUAAUUUGAAAAUAAGAAUGUGAUGAAAAAAAUUGAGAGAUAAAUGUAAUAAUAUGUAAAGGUUAUGUACCUUUUAUACAAUUAAAAUGUAGUCUAGUUAUUAAAAAUUGUGGUGGGAAUAUAUUUAGCAUUUUUUAUGUCAAUAAUCAUUCUAUGUUAUAACCAUUAUAGAAAGCUUUUUGUUCUAAUUAAUAUUCUUUUCACUUUUCUUUUCCAAAAUUUACUCUAUGAUGGAAUCAAGAGAUAACAAACUUGCACCAUAAUGAAUUGUUUUUUCUCAUCAUUACUGCCCUUGAAAUUAAACAGACAUUUAACCCUCACACGACUUGCUAUUCGAGCUACGUAAAAAUAGAUAAUGUUCUUGAAUUUAAAGAACAACUAAUUAAUAAUAAAAGACAAAGGAACAAUUAUUUAUUUAUUUAUUAUUAUUAUUUUUUUGCAUGUAUCUUAAAUAAGAUUAACAAACUAUACCCUCUAUAUCACAUUGUGUAACAUUUUACGUACGUUAAAUAUAAAUUGUUAGAAUUUAUUAUGUUCUAUAAAGUGCUCUUUAUGAUAUAGUAAUCUAUUAUGAGAUUUGUAUAAUUUUAUUAUCUUCAAUUCUUUGAACUCCAAGAAUAAUAUAUAAACUUUUAUGAAUUAAUAAGGUAUUAAAAAUAUGGAUAACAUUUCACUUGAUGUGUUUGCCAACAUCGCAAACGGACAAGCAAAAAUUCUUAGUUGUCGAUUUUCUAAGUGAAUUUUUUUCAAAGAAAAAAAAAUUAAAAAUAAAUAUAAUAAUUUUUAUAUAAGUUAUUAUUGUUCAACUUAAAAUUAAUAUAUAAUUACCUAUAAUUGGGAUUUAUUAGCAGAUUACAAAAAGCUCCCUGAGGUUUAUGAAAAUUAGAGAGACACUCCCUCCAUUUUUAAAAUGUACACAAACCUUCCUUGUGUUAAUGUUUUAAAUAAUGUAUAUAUCCCAUUUAAGUUAGUGACAAUUUUAGAGACAUCUCUAAAAAAUUACAUUAAUAUCUCUUAUUUCAAAUUUUAAAUAACACAUAACUCCACUAAAAUUUAUGACAAUUUCAAGGACAACCUCUCUAGUUACGAAAUUACACAAGCCUCCCUUAUUUUAAGAUUUGAAUAACACAUACCCCCUCUAAUCACUUUUCUUUUACAUGUUAGUAUAUCAGGUAUUUGGUGUGGUUUCUACUAAAGUGUGUGCUUCGACCUUGUUUGGUUAACAGUAAUUCUUAGGUGGAAUUUUGGGAACCCAAGAGUAGGGUUCAGGUGUCGCCUGUGGAUGCCUUGCAGAGGAAGAUACUUUUGGUGAUGGAGACUUUUGGUUAUUGUGUUGAGGAGUUUGGCUAUUUCGAUGAAGACAGACUUAUUUCUCAAGUGAAGAAAUUUUGGAGCUUCGUUCGUUGCACCGAAAUUUAGGUCAAGAUGGAGAUUAUUAGAUUUUUGUGCCCUAAAUUAGGGAGAAUUUUUUGGAAAAUAUUAUUUCUUUACUUUCACGUGAUUUUAUUGGAAAAUAUUGUUAUUUUCACAUGAUUUCAUUGGAAAAAUAUUAUUUUCUUAAUUCCACUUUACUUUUUAUAUUAUUUCCAUCUUUAUGGUAUGGUAUGUACCUAUAAAUACUAGUCUUUUCUUUCACUUUAGUUCAAAUAAAAAUUGUUGUGCUGUAAUUUUCUCCAUAGAUUGUUAUAAUAAAACAUCAUUUCCUCUGUUUAACUUUCUUCGAUUUCUUUACUUUAAAUCUUGUUUCAUCUUUGGGAUUUUGUGUACAUAUUUCAUACAACGUCAUUAAUCUCAAUUCUUGCAUCGCCUUUGGGAUCAACAGGUAGGUCAAGUGAUAAGUGUUAUUUGCUUGAAUAUGAAGUUACAAGCUAUGUCUCAAAAGUUGAUUUUACAGAUCUGUAGCACAAAUGGUUUGGAGACCUAAACUAUGGAAAUCUUGUCAAACCUACUAAACUUGGUGUGGUAAGAGGAGCUCUUAAAGUCAGAGAAAAACCUAAAAGUAUGCGUAGCUCAUGCUAGAAAGGUAAAAAAACUAGAAUUUCUGAUAAACAAGGUCAGUUUCUCUUGAAUUGCUACAUAUGGAUUUGAUAGGGUCAAUUCAAACUGAAAGCCUCGGUUAUAAGAGGUAUAACUAUAUGGUUACUUUGGCAGACUUCUUAACUGAGGAAUCUGAUGUCCUUGAAAUACUUACAUUCUCAUACAAAAAUUGACCAUUGAAAAACACCUGAAUAGGACUAAAAUUAUAAGAAUUAGGAGUGAUCAUGGUAAGGAGUUUGAGAAUGCCAGAUUUUCUAAAUGAAAAGUAUGGUAUUUUUUUAUGGAUUUUCUGCUCCUAAAACCCCGAAUAGAAUGGUGUUAUUGUGAGGAAGAAUGUAUCAUUACAAAAAAGGGCUAGGAUAAUGCUAAAUUGUAAGAAAUUGCCUAUUAAAUUAUGGGCUGAAGUUGUAAAUACUGCUUGCUAUAUUAAACUGUGUGUAUUCUUAAGAAUUGGUGCCUUACAAUCACAUUAUGAAAUCUAAAGAGGUAGGAAACCAAAUCUUAAGUACUUUUGUAUUUUUAGUUAUGUGUUAAAUGACGGGGAACAUUGGAAGAAAUUUGAUCCUAAGAGUGAUAAAGGAGGGUUCAUUGGCUAUUCAAAAAACAAUCAAGCUUAUAAAUUGUACAAUAUGAGGACUCAAACUAUCGUUGAAUGAUACUGAUGAUUAUUAUUCUUAUUCACAAGAACCUAAGAUUUAGAACUCGGAGGAACAGUUUGAAACUACUCUGACUACUUAGGAAACAUGUGCGACAGACUUUGAAAAUAACAGUCAGACAGUUCCUCCAAUACUUGGUUUUGGCAAUUCUGAACUAGCUACUAUUAGUGGUAAUAUACUUGAAAAAGACAGUGAAUCGUAGGAUAGAAGGUAGCCUCCUACUUGGAUUCAAAAGGCGUAUUAUCUACACAAUAUGCUCUCUGAUCGAGGAGAUAGAAUGAUGACCAGAUCAAGACUUGUCACAAAACUCGAGAAUGUAUGCUACGUGUCAUAUAUUGAACCAAAAACUGUGAUUGAAGUACUUAGUGAUGAAUCGUGGGUGUUAGCUAUGCCAAGAAUUAGCUCAAUUUGAGCGAAAUAAUGUAUGGGAACUAGUACCAUGGCCAACAUGUACAAAUGUUAUUUGAACUAAAUGGAUCUUCAAGAACAAAUCAAAUGAGCAAAACAACAAACAACGUAAAAGAUGAUUGCACAGGGUUAUACCCAAGUUGAAGGAGUAGAUUUUGAAGAGAUUUUCGUUCCUAUAGCCCGACUUCAAUCUAUUAGACUUUUAUUGUAUAUUGCAUGUCAAUCGAGAUUCGAACCUUUCAGAUGGACGUUAAGAGUGCCUUUCUGAUUGGAAUUUUAAAUAAAGAGGCCUACGUUGAGCGAUCAAAAGGUUUAAUUGAUCCAUAUCUUCUUGACCACAUGUUCAAGCUUAAAAAAACAUUAUAUAAGCUGAAAAAAGCUCCCCAAUCUUGGUAUGAAAGACAUACUAUAUUCAUACUAGAGAAGUGAUACAAGUGAGGAAGAGCUGAUAAAACAUUGCUCAUCGGACAUCUUAAGACAAAUUAAUCAUGGGUCAAAUAUAUAUGGAUGAUAUAGUAUUGAACCCACUAAAAAAAAAAACCCAGGAAGUUUAUCAAUCUUAUGCAAGAUGAGUUUGAAUUGAGUAUAGUUGAUGAACGGUUAAUUUUUAUGGGUUUGCUGGUUAAGCGAGUUCAUGUAGAGAUCUUUAUCUUGUAGGCUAAGUAUGUAAAGAAUCUCGCAAAGGAAUUUAGCCUGAAAAACAUUAAGGCAGUCAGGACUUCCAUGGCUAUAUCUGUAAAGAUCUACAGAGAUAAUCAGGACAAGGACAUUGACCCUAGCCUAUAAAAGAGCAUGACUGGUAGCUUGCUAUCUCAUUCCAAGUUAUCGUAACAUAGCCUUCAGUGUUAGAGUGUGGACAAGAUAUCAACUAAAACUGCAAGUAAAGUGAUGCUGAUUUGGCAAGGAACUUGGAUGACAGAAAACACAUUUGUAGGCUGUUUCUACAUAGGUAAUGAUCUUAUCUCUUAGCUAAAUAAGAAACAAAACUCUAUUUCCUUUUCUAAUAUAGAAGCUGGGUACAUCAUUGUCGAUAGUUGUUGUGUAAAGCUACUUUGAAUGAAGCAGAUGUUUAGUGACUUUGGUAUUGAACAAGAUUCUCUAUCAUGUUCUAUGAUAACACCAGUACUAUAAACAUCUCUAAGAAUUUAGUCCAGUGUUCUAUGACUAAGCAUAUUGAUAUAUUCAUCAUCACUUCGUUAGCGACUUAGUCGAAGGAUAAAAUUGUCCUAGAACACAUUCACAUUGAAGGACAAUUGGCAGAUGUACUCACUAAGCUUUAGAUACUGGUUGAUUUGAAAUUUUGUGGAAAACUGUGGGCAUAUGUAUGAUUAAUUAAAAACUCUUUAUAUAUAUAUAUAUAUUACUUUAUUUUGUGUGUUCACCUUGUUUGAUGUAUUUUGCGUUUUUAUAAGAACAAAAAAUCGAAAAAAUAAAAAUAAAAAUUGGGGUGUUUAUUGCAAUGACACAAGAUGUGGAUAUCUGAUUGAUUUGUAGUUAUUAAAAUGAAAUUGAAAUCUCCAAUCAGUGUGGUGUGCUCAAAAUAAAUUAUGAUAAAUUAUUAUCAAAUAAGUACAUUAUUAGAACAUUGUGACUACUUCUAUUGUAAACAUUUACUGACCAGUUUGUCACUUUAAUGCGGCAUAUGUUUGAAUGUAGACAUAUGAUUAGUAUAUAUGUCUCUCUACACUAUAAUAUGAUGGUGUGCAAAUAGACAAGUUCAUUGGAGGAGAGGGCUACCACCAUAGAUGUGUGAAGCCAUUCUUAAUAGUAAACAUAAAUUAUGAGAAAAAACCUACUUCCUAUAAUUGUGUGAAAGUUAACUCCAUGAAUUGAAAAGAUCAUAAAUUAAAAGAAAACUGAAAAGAGUCAUCAUAUGAAUAUUUAGAAGAAAAAUUUUAAAAAUUAUAUUACAUUCUCGAUUCUGGCAUGCACAUAUCUUUAUAUCUACAUGGACAAUUUCAGAUUAUGGCUGAUUUGAAAUAUGCUUUUGCAUGCAAUUAUUGCAAGUGUCAAUUUUGGUUAGGAUAUGAUUCAUAAUUGAUUAGUAUAAAAUUGUACUAUUAGACACUCACAUUUUAAUUUGAUAAAUUAAUUGAAUUAAUUGUGAGCAAACAUCUAACUGAAAUUUUUAUGAUUAUCUUGAUGAUUUUAAGCUAAUUGUGAAAUUGAUUGACAAUGAAAAUUUUCCUAAAAAUAUUAUGAUUGAUUGAAUUUUGGUAAAUUUCAUUAUUAGAGUGUGAUUAACAUGUCUGGGAUCUUUUGCAAAAUUUUCAGAUCUACCGUCUAAACACGAGUAAGAUCGGCAAGAGCAAGUCUUCGUCUCUACAAGUAAACCAACCCAUCGAAGUUCACGACAGAGACGAACAAUGCCUUGCGCCCAUGUUGCCACUAAGCCCAUUCAAUUAGAUCAUGAGGAAAAAGAGGCUAUCGUACUAGUUUAACCACAUCAAGAGACCCAAGGACUGAAGCCUCUAAAGAAAGCAUGUCGUCAACAACUUCAGAAGAAUCAGGGCGUCGAAAUGAGCCCGUUCUUACCCUAGCUGACAUGUUCAAAUCUUUGAGCACCACAUUGAGUCGUCUGAGGACAAUGACGAUGGAAACAGUGACAAUAGGGUGAAGGGGAUAACAAAGAAAAAUAGACAGACUAAUAUCAUGGGUAUAAGGAAGUCAAAGUAGAAUUUGAAGAUGCUACAGAUAAGGAGGUCAGUCCUGACCUGCCUAAGAAGGAUACACCACCUACUGUACCUAUUGUUGAGAAAGUUCAGACUCCUACCACUGUUUAAAAAGAAACCUAAAAAUCAUGGAGUGAAAUAUUUUAAUGGUCACCGAAAUUUGCACCUUGUCACGACUUACUCACCGAACUUUCUUAAGCAUUCCAUUAGCCACUAAACUUCGCUCCGUCCUACUCUAUUACUCACCAGGUGGAUUCCGUUUAAAUUGAUGCGUGGAUGGCAAAAUUAUGAGUUGGUAUGUUAAUUCCCUCCAAUAGUAAAGUCCUCAGCCAUGUUAAGGCCAUGUCAUCAAUUAAAACAUGACUUCCAAUCAAUAUAUCGUAUUUCCUAUGACUUUGAAAUCCCAAAAAUUACCACUAACCCUAACCCCAAGUGAAUUUGAUUCUGCAAUAACAACAAUAGAAACCCCAUCUUCGAUCGGGAGGAAAUUGAAUUCAUUUAUUUGUCGGUGCAAGUUACCUUCUCAUUUGCAUUUCUGCUACGGUAGUCCCAAAUUUGAGAGUCCAUUUUCUCAGCUCGUAUGGUGUCCAAAGCUCAGGCAACUUGGAGCUCACUGAGUAAUGUUUGAAGCCAAAUAGGUUCUGAAGGAACUGUGCAUUAAAGGUAAAUUUAAUCCAUUUCAAUUAUCAAAUUUUUGUUUGAACGUUAAUUUUACUAUGCAAAGGGUUGUAUACAUUUCCUUUUUUUUUCUUAUUAUUAUUUUUUAAUAACUAACUUCAAUCUAUCAUUUUUGAUAAUGAAGAAUUACAUUGGGGUUAAUUUUGUAUUUGUCAAUUCAGGGGCUGGAAACUUCUUCAUUCAAAAAUGUUUCAUUUUCUGAGCUGCCACUUUCCAUUGAUAAAAUUCAAGAACCACUAGGUUAAUGGGGUUAUUAAAUAAGAAUGCAUAAUUCUCAUAUUUACAAGCAAGGAUGAUUGGUCAAGGAUAUUGAAAUAAUCUGUAAUACAUAAAUUUAGUUAGUCAAAAAAAUUUAUUUUGGAAUAAUUGAUUUGUGUCUGCAAUUGCAGUUUUCAAUAACAAUGAAAAACAAGGAUAAUUGUAAUAGUUGUAGGAAACCAAGGCACUACCUGUCAGAAUGCCCGAUAAAGAAAUGAUGCCCAAGAUACGGCAUGGGAUUUGUGAAAUGCAUGGAGGUAGAAAAGAUGAAAUUUUGAAAUGUACGGAGGUAGACAAGAAGACUGCAAACAUGGGAUGGCUAUCCUUCUAUUGUAUAAAAAAAAAAAAAAAAAAAGGUUAAACCCUAACUUUAAGCUAUCCUUCUAUUGUAGUAAUGAUGGUGGGCAUUUCAAGUGGGGCAAUGUUUUAUCUGGCGAAAAUGAACAUGUGCGAUUUGAGGGUGAGUCUAGUGGUGCAUCAUGAUGUGCUUGUUUGGGUAAUAUUGAAAAAGUUUGCUAAAAAAUUUGAACAAGUGGACGUGGAGAUCUCCUUCAAUAUUACUAUUCGUGUAAAUAGUAUGCAUUGAUUAAUUAUUGAUGUUAAAAACAUAUUUCACCUUUUUUAGCUUUUCCAAUCAAUCUUCUUUUCAAUAAGAAUGAGAACCUUGUAUUGCAGGAGGAUAUCAUUGUAGUUUCACGAACUGUAUUUCCCUUUUCAUCUUCAACAAUCAUAACUUCUCCUGGCUUCUCCAUGCAACAUAUUGUAAGCAAUCUCAACUUCGACAUUGGAAAAACAUAAAGUUGUCGCCUCUGCAUGAUUUGUGAGUCAACCAUAGCCGAAAACAUCUGAUAAUUCAAUACAAAAAUCAGGCAUCAGCUAAUUCUCGUAAGAACUAUCUUACCUUUGAUCACUAUCCAGAGAUUUGCUGUGCAAUUCUUCAAAAGUGCCAGACAAUUUCUAAGGAGCCAUAAUCGUUAGCUGACCAAAUUCACUAGCAAUAGCUUUAGGAGAAGAGAAAAUUUAUGAGAAUUACACUGCAUGAUUGGCGCUUUAUUACUAGCAAUGAUAUACACAGCCUUCUUUCUUAGGUAUAGUUUACGCUCCUCAUACCAUGGUAUCUUCAUGAGAACCAUCACAUAAUAGCAAUUGAAUCUCUACACUUCUCAAUAUUCAGAUCCAUUCUGAGAAACCUACUUAAAUUUAUCACUUAUUUCAUUUUCUUUUCAUUGGGCAGUCAUCCAAGGACACGCACAACAAGAAAACACUAUUUAAACAAUUUACCUGGGAGAACUAGUCCUUCAAAGUCUUCAAAUUUAAAACUGGAAACUAUAUGUAUCAUAUAACCAACAGGAAAACAGGAUUAUGACUUUCAACCUCACUCAGGAAACAAAGAUGGAUUGAUCAUAUUCAAAGAUCUAAAACAAGAGAAAAAGAUGAGAAGGGACUAAAAUAAUCUAUUGCACCUGCAAUCUCAUCAUGUUUGUGGCUGCUGCAGGAUUGUCCUGAUUAUGAUGUGCUUCAAACAGCUCUAAAACCAGUGAAUUCCAAUAGUCCAAGCAAACAUGACAAAUCAAAUCAACAGCAACUUAGUUGUUAUUAGAACCAAAAUAGUGAUAAAGUUUUAUUGGAUAAACGAGUCCGUUCAUGUGCAAGCCAACCAGUCCUUGCUCGAAGUACAGAAAUGAAAUGGGUGCCGCUUCUUGACGCUUGGGUUGGCCUCUCCGAGUGGUCGACGAGGGAACUUGGGUAAUUGAUUUUCUUGAUUUGGGGCUUAGGGUUCCGAUGGAGCUUGGAUAAAUUUCAUAGUCAUUUGGGGGAUUAGGGAUGGAGCUUGGCCAAUUGAUUUGGGAAUUUCCUUCUUCACGUUUCUGGGUUCAGACACAAAGGGUUCGAGACAGGAAUUCACUAUCCAGAGAUUUGCUGUGCAAUUCUUCAAAAGUGCCAGACAAUUUCUAAGGAGCCAUAAUCGUUAGCUGACCAAAUUCACUAGCAAUAGCUUUAGGAGAAGAGAAAAUUUAUGAGAAUUACACUGCAUGAUUGGCGCUUUAUUACUAGCAAUGAUAUACACAGCUUUCUUUCUUAGGUAUAGUUUACGCUCCUCAUACCAUGGUAUCUUCAUGAUAACCAUCACAUAAUAGCAAUUGAAUCUCUACACUUCUCAAUAUUCAGAUCCAUUCUGAGAAACCUACUUAAAUUUAUCACUUAUUUCAUUUUCUUUUCAUUGGGCAGUCAUCCAAGGACACGCACAACAAGAAAACACUAUUUAAACAAUUUACCUGGGAGAACUAGUCCUUCAAAGUCUUCAACUUUAAAACUGGAAACUAUAUGUAUCAUAUAACCAACAGGAAAACAGGAUUAUGACUUUCAACCUCACUCAGGAAACAAAGAUGGAUUGAUCAUAUUCAAAGAUCUAAAACAAGAGAAAAAGAUGAGAAGGGACUAAAAUAAUCUAUUGCACCUGCAAUCUCAUCAUGUUUGUGGCUGCUGCAGGAUUGUCCUGAUUAUGAUGUGCUUCAAACAGCUCUAAAACCAGUGAAUUCCAAUAGUCCAAGCAAACAUGACAAAUCAAAUCAACAGCAACUUAGUUGGUAUUAGAACCAAAAUAGUGAUAAAGUUUUAUUGGAUAAACGAGUCCGUUCAUGUGCAAGCCCACUAGUCCUUGCUCGAAGUACAGAAAUGAAAUGGGUGCCGCUUCUUGACGCUUGGGUUGGCCUCUCCGAGUGGUCGACGAGGGAACUUGGGUAAUUGAUUUUCUUGAUUUGGGGCUUAGGGUUCCGAUGGAGCUUGGAUAAAUUUCAUAGUCAUUUGGGGGAUUAGGGAUGGAGCUUGGCCAAUUGAUUUGGGAAUUUCCUUCUUCACGUUUCUGGGUUCAGACACAAAGGGUUCGAGACAGGAAUUGGCUUGGGAGGAUAAAGGGACUUCACGCUUUCCACAAAUGGAUUUUCAUUUUGUUAACUGAAAGGAGUAGGAGGCGGAAAAUGGGAAGUCCGGCUCUGGGAGGACGAGGCGGAGACAGCGGAGCCGAAACUAGGAGUAAGCGGCGGCAGAGGCAGAGGCAGAGGCAGUGGCAGAGACGUAGUAUGGAAUCGGACUGAAUUUGACUGGAUGGAAUGGGUUGAAGUCGUUCAUAUAAAUGGUGAUUCGGUAUAGUACUGGCCUAAUAAAUGGGCUUCACUUCUUGGCUGGCCGGGAUUGGCGAUAUUGUUAAAAAAUAUAAAAAAAAAAUUUGGCAUUUCUCAACGUUUAUUAAACGUUGCAAAAUAGAAAUUCGCAACAUUUGAUAAACUUACUAAAGAUUUCUCUUUUUAUAACAUUUGAUAAAUGUUGUGAAGAUAAAAAAUUCGCAACACUAAAUAAACGUUGUUAAAAGGCGACAUUAGCAACAUUCACUUAAAAAAUAUUGUCAAAUCUCAAUUAUUAACACCAAUGACAACAUUCAUUUAUUAGAAUGUUACAAUAGAUCCUUAGCAAUUUUAAUUAAUGAAUGUUGCCUUUUACAUGUUGCAAAAAGGCAUUUUUGUUGUUGUGCUCGCUAAUACUUAAAUUUAAAUGGGAUAAGUCAAUAUAUCAGAAUGGAUCAAUCUGCAAUCCAUAAAUAAUGAAAGAUACGAAUUUACCACUUUAGGAUCGUCAUUAUUCGCCUUAAACUCUUCAACAACUGUAGCAACCAAUCAAACACAAUCGAAUCCCAAACGCGUAAAGGAUGAAAUCGUCCACAUUUCACCGUAUAACCUGAAAUAAAAAACUAACACCAGAAUAUUAGAAAUAAUGUCAGGAACAAACUUCCCGAAGACAGCGUCGCCAUAAACUGUCGUACACACCUACACACCCUUGGAGUCUCUGCGCAUGAUUUCGUGCACCAUCGGACUGACUCACCUGUCAACCACCCUGAUACGCCUCCUCCUGCAAUCAUGUUUAUGAUCUCCAUUUCAUUAAACUCAUUUUGAUUUGGCCUAAAAUUGCAUAAACAACCUCGAUUUAAAAAAAAAAAAAUUAGACAAUUUUUUAUUUUUUUUAUUUUUUAUUUUUUUACUUCGAUUCUGCCACUUUUUCUGGUCAGAUUUUUUAGCCAAAUCCACUAUCUUGAAGCUCCAAUAUUACAGAAGCUUGCUCAAAGAUAUUCGAAACGAUGAUUUUCGAGUUCAGUUUCACGUUAUCAUUCUUUACCAAACAACCAAUCCAAAUGGCUCCGACUCAUAAUUAAUAUAUUUAUCUCGGUUGCUUUUCAAUCUCACCUAUAAAGGACAAAAUAACAGUGUUGAUUUGCAAGAAAUAAAGGCACGAGUCAAAUGAUGGAAGGAGGUACAAGAUUGAGGCCAAAGACGCAAAGAUAGUCACCGAUUUUUCUUUCAAGCAAGGCAGCCAAUUUUUCCCAGCAAGAGGACCUUUUUUUCAUCUCUACACACAUGCCACAAAGGCUAGGUCAAGAAACAUCUAUAAAUAUAUCAUAAUAAGUUAGACUUAAGUUAGACCAAUAAAGGGGUUGAAUGGGCCAAGAUCUAAUAGCCGUCCAAUAGCCAAUAGGUAAAUAUGUGUGCCAUGUCUUAAGCUACUUCCAAAUGUCUACGUUAUUUUCGGGUCGAGCCUUUAGGCUUGGUUGUUGAUAAUCAAUUCACCAUUGAUUGAGGCAUAUGAAAAUGUAUUUCGACAAUUUACUUCAUCACAAGGGAUUUAUUGGGUAUUAAAACCCUACAGAAGGAGUUGGGGAGAGGAAAAUGGACAAUUUAGUAAUAUUACUGUGUGCACUAGCAAAUGUUGACGAGGACGAGGGUGAAGGCGAAGUCCAACAAUGGGGGGGGGGGGCCCAAAAUGAUCUCAGAGAGACGAAUGAAAGGAAAAAUGUGGCUAAAAAAUAAUAGGAAGGGGGUGGUUGGGUUUUAGGAGAGAGUCAAAAAAUAGGAAGUGUGUUGUACCAUUGAUGUGGCAACUAAUAUCCUGCACACUAAGGGCAAGAUACUAGUUCUAUUAGUUUAAAUACAAAGAAAGAAAAGAAUGGAAGCAGAAGUAGUUUAUUGUUAGGGAUUUUUCAAAUUUUCAACACAAAGAACAGUUCUAAUGGUGUAAAUGUCCAUUUCUAAACACAUAAUGGUAUAAUGUCAUUUCGAGUCAAUAGCAUUUACGACACUUUUAGCCAUUUUGUCUCCCUUUAAAAUAAAAUUUUAUAAUUUUCAUGCUCAUUUUCAACCAUAGAUUUAUACAAUAAAUAUUGAAUUCAAAAAUUUUCUCUACUUUUUAACCACGCAUUCUUAAAAAAAUCACUAUUCAAAACAUAAUUUUUUUUUUUCUCAAUAAUGACCAUCAAAUAUAGACUUGGAAUAUAAAUAAGGGUAUAUCUGACUUUUUAACAUAUAAUGAGCCUUAAAAACUUAUUUUGAAUAAGCUAUACCCAUAAUCACUUUUGAUAGUUUAAGCUAGAAAAUACCCACAUCAGUUAUAUUUUCUGUUCAACAAGUUUGGUAACCUAAAUUGUGUUUGGGGAUGAAAUUUCUAAAGAAGAGUUAGAAUGGAAUUUUCUGAGAGGCUAGUAGUCUUCAUAUAGCACACAUGGACUACUUACUGUCCUGUUUCUUCAUUUAUUUGGGGACUUCAAUAUAAUAUAGUGGUCAUUGGUUUGAUUUCGCAUCCACGUUUCCAACAUAAACUGAAAUUCUGUCAAGUAAGUCGCGUUACACUUUUCACUGUUUAUCAGAAAUCACAGCUAACUUGAUUGUCAAAGUGAAACAUUUUUUCAACUUGUGACACAGACUAAUGCUUGCAAUUUGCAUUUGAGAACAUGUUUCUCAUCCAUAUUAGUGCUUCCUUCGAAAAAUAUAUUGGUUUGUUUGGUAAACUCAAACUCGAACUCAAAUCUAAUAGAUUGAAAAGAGAGAGUCCAGAAUGCUAUAAAUUAGCAAAAUAGCAUAAAAAGAUUAGCUAACAGAAGACACUGUUUAUGAAGCAUAACUCAACGAAGGCAAAGGCAGAAAGAUAAACAAGAAGCAAUAAACAAGAAGCAAGCUACACUAGACAAUUUGCACAAGACUUCUACGAUAUUUUGAGCUUUGGGAUAUGGGAAAUACUAAUCCAAUAUUGGUCUCCAGUUUCCUUCUUGUAUUUCUGCUGUAUGAGCGGACAAUUCUGGAUAUGCAACUUCCUUAAUGGUGCUGCCUUGAAGAGAAGAUGCGGCAGUGCCUUCAGAUUGCUGCAGUUGUAAAGUUUCAAAAAGCGGAGUCUAGGCAUGAUCUUGAUGUGUUCAUUUGCAGCUCUGAUCAUGUUCCAUUCUUCCCAACUUCCCAUGUUUGAAAAUUUCAGUUUAUUCAACUUUGGGAAUGCAAUAUUUUCAGCUGAUGAUAAUGCCAAUGAUCUGUCUUUGCUAUCUGUUGUGAUUUGAUCAUUCACAUUGUCUGUUGCACCCAAAAAUUCGAGCCCAAGAGAUUUCAGAUUAUGCAGACCACCUAUAUGUAGAGUUGCCAGGGACGGAAGCCUUCCAAGAGGAGGCAAAAUUGUGCAAUUUUGGCACUCUUGAAGUGAAAGAUCUUUCAGGCUGGUUAAAGUUACCAUCCAAUUGGCGAAUCGUGUGCCUCCAUAUGAACUUAUUUUUAAAGAUUGCAACCCAGGGUGCAACUGAAGAGCUUCAAUCACUUCGUCUUGGUUGCCUGUUUGAGCCUUAGAAUUGAAGUCAAGGUGCAAGUCCGAAAUAUGUUUCUUUUCACUCAACUCUGCUAUCCGGGCCUCGUCAGCAUUUGUCACGUAACCCAAUCCUUCGAUUUUAAGACAUCCACAAUGUUGAAGGCAAUUGCCAGAAUGGGUUAUGGGAUAAGUUGAGGAACUUCAAGCUAAUCAACUUCCCAACUUCUUUUGGAAGUUCACCCAACCUGUUACGACUUAAAUCUAACACCUUGAGACAUGCCGAGCGAUUGCAUAAAUCUGGCUCAAUCUUGUCCAAUUCACUGAUAAUUGGAGGCGUAUCAAAGAAAGAUUGAACCCAAAACGAGUGUAGUUUUCCCGCAUUAGCAAUGGAUGUAGGAAAACGGACGCCUUUUGCACGUACCAGGGUCAAAUGACGAGUCGUUUUAUAAGACGAUCCCAAAUUUACUGCUAGCUCCCCAUCAACCUCCACCACAGAACAUUCUCUCUUGGUAAGAUACUGCGCAAAAUCAUGAACCAUGUCGUGCAUCUUAAAUCUUAAAAUCCUUUUACCGUCCUUGUCCUUUUCUAUCUCUUGGAAGAAAGACCUCAUAGCCAAAUUUUGCAAGUAUUCCUCACCUAAUACUUCCAUUUCUACAUUUUUCUCAGGGCAGAGAUAGCCUUGCGCCAUCCAGAGUUUGAUCAAAUUGCUUGCGUUGAUGACGUGAUGUUUUGGAAAGAAAGCACAAAACGAAAAGCACCUUUUCAUUGUCGAGGGCAAAUCGAAGUAGCUCAACAUCAAAGGAGGAAAGAGACCUUUUUCUGCUCCUUCAAAUUCCCAGAAUUCACUAUUCAGAACAUUCUGCCAAUCUUGUAAAGAAUUCUUGAACCGCAUAAGACUGCCAAUAGUCUUUACAGUAAGAGGUAUGCCCCGGCACUUGUCAGCUAUUUUCCUUCCAAUUCCUUCCAAUUCUUCACAAUCCUCUAUACUUCUUUCAAAAAACGCUAUUUGACUGAAUAGCGACCAACUGUCCUCGUCUGCCAACUGCCCCAAAUGAAGCUCAUAGCUACUUCUCAACAUUUUUGCGGUUCUCUCGUUUCUCGUCGUCACUAGAAUUUUACUUCCAGAUGCACCAAUUUUGAGAGAGUUGAACAAUUGUUCCCAUUUCCUGUAGUCAUCUGUCCACACAUCAUCUAGCACAAGCAGGAACUUCUUUCCUGAAAUAGCGUUCCUAAGACGGCGCAAUACAGUUUCAAGUUCAUAUAAAAACGGAGCAUUACCUUCAAGGUCUUCAACAAUCGCUUUUGCAACUCGAACUUCAUCAAAAGGCUCAGAAACACAUACCCACAUUUUUCUCUCAAAAUCUUGCUCUACAGAAUCACAAUUGUAAACCAUUUGUGCUAGAGUUGUUUUACCAAUUCCCCCCAUGCCGACUACAGAAACAACAUGGAAUCCAUCACUUUGGCUACUCUCAGACAACAACUUGCUUACAAGAGUAUUCUUAUCCACAUCUCGACCUCGUACUUCAGAUACAUCAAUAUAAGAGUUAGUUUUUAAUCUCUCAGGAUCACCACUCUCCGUUAACGUAUUAAAAUUGUACCUAUUCUUCUCGGUGGCAAUAACGUCGAGUCUUUCCUUAAUGCCCUUAAUCUUGAGAGCUAUGUCACGACGUAGGGCAAAUCGCCUAAAUCGAAGGCUAGGUAAAGAGAUAAAAGACCAUACCUUUUUCUUGGAAAGGGAUGAAUCUUCAACACCUUCAGUUUUCGCCUUUCGGAUUGCAGUUAACCAUUCAGACAACACAUCGUCCAUGUCAUAGGCUAAGUCUUUGAGCUUUUCUAACCACAAUUUGACUGAUUCAUCCUUCACUUGUCUCUUUUCAGCAUCAACAAGCACAGAUCGGAUGGAUUCCAAUCCGCUGGUGAGUUUUUCGAUAUCUUUUUUGACCCCCACAACUAAUCUCACCUGCUUUCGGAUCUGUUCUUCCGUGAUUUCAGCCAAUUGUGUUAACAUUACAGUUAUCAUUGCUUCAGCCAUGGUUGAAGAUGACAACAGAUUGAACAAAAAGCAAGUGAAAUUGGCUCAAGAGAUUAGACAAACAGGGAUGGAUUUUUCUUUUUCUUUUUCUUUUUGUCACUUAAAUGAAAAGUGAAACGAGAGAGAGAGAGAGUGAAAUUGGCUCAAGAGAUUAGACAAACAGGGAUGGAUUUUGAUUUUGAUUUUUCUUUUUCUUUUUGUCACUUAAAUGAAAAGUGAAACGAGAGAGAGAGAGAGUUAUUUUUUAGUGCUAAAAAAUUCAACCAUUGAUUUUCCUGGUAAGUGAUUGGAAAUUUCCAUGUGGGUGCCCAAAGGAAGAGAGAGAGAGAGAGUUAUUUUUUAGUGCUAAAAAAUUCAACCAUUGAUUUUCCUGGUAAGAGAUUGGAAAUUUCCAUGUGGGUGCCCAAAGGAAGACUUUGAAGGAGGAAGACUUCAAUUAUUGCGUUUUGAUAGGAAGCUUCAUAUGUAGUAAUAAGGAAUCUUAGAAAUUUUCAAGUGAUGAUUGCAAUAUUGUCUAGCACUAUAAUAUUGUCCAGUGCUAUCUAAUUGUCACGUCCAAACAUGUUAAUGCAAGACCAACAUAAUUUACAAUCAUAAAUAGAUAGAGAUAAAAUUGGUGACAAAUAUAAUGACAUAAUAGGUGUUUAACAACUAUUUGAUUUCCUAAUUUGAAAAUGAUUCUUUGAGAACAAUGCCUCGAGAUCCUAGACUGAACGGUUUAUAUUUAUUUUCUGAAAGCAUUUCUUUUGUAUUUCCCUGUGCUUCUAAAUUUCAGCAUGGAAUUUCUUGUAUGCUGGAAUCAACUUGUCAACCAUGGACGCACGAAGUUUAUUCAGGAGCUCUGAAUCAUGUACUAUCCAGUUCGUCUGAAGUGUCUGAAUCUCUUCAAACACAGAAUUAAUGGACUUCAAUCCUUUUCUCAAUGCAGGUUUUGACACACGAGUAGAAAAACACCAAGUAACAUAAAGUCCCUCUUCUUGACAACAAGACAAGAACUUGUCACAAGUUGAAACUUGAUAGCUAGUCAUUGCUUGCUUGACAUUCCUAUACAGUUUCUCCAUAUAAUCAUCACCAAUAAUCUGUCGUAGCUCCUUGGAUUCUUCGAUCUUUUCUACAAUGUAAUGAACAUUGUUCAUCAUGAACAAAUGCCUUAAAGAGACAUGAUUGAGCUGCUCUGAUUUUCCCUUCAAAUUCAGUUGUAAGACCACAAUGAUCAAAAUAAAAUGAAGAGCCAAAUGACUUUUGCCUUUAAGAUCCAGUUGAUCCCCAAAUUUCAAUGGUGGCAUUGAUAUGAUCAAGUCUGUGAGGAGCUCCUUAUUGCAUACAAUGAGAGAGAUAUAAUUCAUCACGCGUUUUGUCAAUGAAUGAGUGGCACCCCUUUUAUCUUGUAUAGGCGAAAGCUCACCAAAAACAGCUUUCUCAAAAUCUAAUAACAUCCUUCUUAUAUUAUUCUCAACUUAAGACAAUGUCACCUUCAUGCCUUGUCGAAUAGCCUCUGCUGCGUGGAAGUCGAACAUGAUAUCUAUGUAUUAUAAAAGAAUCAACAGUGUAUCAUAUAGGCCUAAAAUUGUUUCCGUCCUCUUUGAGGACUGAUUACUGGAACUCAGUGUUUCUACAAAAACAAGUAAAUUAUUUGUAGAAUCUCCCACUAUUUCCCAAAAACAUUCUUCACUAGCCCCAUUUCCAAAACCAGAGAAUAAUUUCUCACUAAUUUGUUUCUCCCAGUCAAAGAAGUAACAAAAACACAACCUAGCCACUUGAAUCCACCGUUCAAUUUUCACCUUCAACUCUUCCCAUAAAAACCUCUUUUUCUUGAAGGUACUUAGAAACCUCUUUUCAUUCCCACCUCUAUACAAUCCUUCCAAGUGAAGCUGUUUUAUCAAUGUGUGGAAAAAGGAUUUCCUCACACUUUUGUGAACUUUGAUGCAAUCUCCAAGGUGUCUGUUGGAAUUUAAUCUUUUUGCGACAUGCCUGAGAUAAAAAAUCACCUCAUCACUUGGUGAAUUGUAUGCUAAUAAAUAAUCCUCGUAUGCAGUACUGGCCAAUGAACUCCAAUCAGAGGUAAUUGAAUCAACAGUGCCAAACGGUUCAGAUUGUCUUAUGAGCAUUGUCAGAAACUCGUGCUUGAGCCGAGCCAUGGCUAUGGAGUUCAGGUCACCAGAUUUUGUUACGUUUGCGGGGAACUGCUGGAUUUUGUCGACAGCUUCUAGGUAUCGAGUUAUUUGACAUUCACUAAGGUUGAAAAUUAGUUGUUCAACUAGUCUAUGAUGCCAAUGAUAGAUUGUAUCAACAGCUGAUUGGUGUGAUAUUGUUAAAGUCACUAUGCCAAUAGACCUUCGAUCGAACUGUUACAAAUGGUAGAAAAAUUUCUAGUUCAAAAUUCCAACUUGUAAAUUUGUGUGGUAAUGAAAAUGGUUGUAUCUUGUGUUCUUGAGAAAGUACUGGUGGCAAAAUAUCUAGAUGGUCCCUAAAUCUAAAUAAAAGAUGGAAGACUUGAAUUGCCGCGUUUGAGAGGAACUUCAUAUGUAAUUGUUGGAAAAUAUCGAGUCAAUAAAAAAUAAAAUUAGAGAAACUCCAAGAUACAUUUCCUUUUUCCCCACAAAUGUGUUCCCAUUGCACAAUGGCAGUUCUGACUAUAGACGGAGUAGACGAUUGUCUAAGGCCUCACUUUGGCGAAAGCCCCAAAUUAUGUAAGAUUAAUUGGUUGAUUGAAGAAAAAUAAAAAAUCUAUGUAUGAAAUUCUUUAAAAUAAAACAAUCAUAUGAAAAAACAAGAAAUUAAUAAAAAUUGAAAAUACAAAAAUUUUUAAAAAUGUAUAAAUGACAUAGAACUUAUCACUUACAUUUAUUUAUCACAUAAAUAUAUUACAAACAUUACUUUCUCUUUCUAUAACUAUUUGACUAUUUAUUGUCCAAACAUUCACUUUCUUUCUUAACAAAACAAAAUGUUUCAUUGUCUCUUCAAAUUUUACAUCAAACAGUAAACCACCAUAAUUUUUUCAACCUACCAAGAAAUAAAUUAUCUCCAUUUGAACUAAAAUUUUGAAGAUUCAAUUUACUAGAUUGAUUUGGUCUUACUGCCAUUGUUACAGCCUUAUAGGUUUCUUUCUUUCUCCCCUUAUCUUCAAAACAUAUACUGCACAGUACAAGGUUGUUGUUAUUAUUAUUAUUUUGGUUUAAUCUCAUGAUAAUAGCCUUUUUAGAUGUUUCAUUUUGAAUUUAAUAAUUCUUUGUUUGUGUUCAUACUUCUUAUUUGUAAGUCAAUUUUUUAUGAAUUAAUAUAAAAUUAAAAGCUCAUUUGUAUUUUAUCGUCAUUUUCAUUAUUUUGUUACACUAUCUCUUGCGGUCAACACUCUCUUAUUUUGUACAUUAAUCACUCAAAUUCAUAUUCAAUUUUGUUUAAACAGUUGCAGUGAGAAAAUGAUCAAAGAAAUGAAUAGACCACUUUAUCAUUGCAUUAUAUUUCCAUUUGCCAAACUUUGCUUAUAGUUUGUAUUGCAUGUUGAAAUUUGAUAUUUUAUUAUUUUCCUCAUCAAAUUUUCAAACUUAGUUGUUCGUAUUAAAUUCUGUAUAAUUAUAUUAAAUUUUUCUGUAAGAAUAAAUUGGCAUAAAGCCCCCGAAUUAUCAAGUCCGGCCCUGUCAUUGCAAGAAUAUUACCCAUAAAUUUGGAUAAACAAGGUAAUUAGCCAAGUUGACGAGCCAACGUUUAGUGAGGACGUUCGUGACUUCAUAGGUGAGAUGAAAAUGGGAGACAAAAUAGACCAUCACAUUGUUCAAACAGAUUAAGCUCUAAUGUCUUGCAUCAAGUUGCUAUUUCUAUCCAUUUUUUCAUGAACUAGUUGAUAAGUUUGAAAAUGUGAUGUGACUUCAUUAGCUUGCAAGGCUAGCAAAUUUGAUUAUGUGACUUCAAAUUUCAUUAUAUGAAAACAAAUGCUUUGAGAUCAAAGCCUCAAGAUCCUCAACUGAAUGCUUUACAUUUAUUUUUUGAAAGCAUUUCGUUUGUGUUUCACUUUUCUGCUCAAUCUCAAUAUAUGUCCUGAACUAGUGUAGGAAUUCCUUAUAUGCUAGAAUCAGCUUGUCAACCAUGGACACACGAAGCUUGUCUCGGAGCUCCAAAUUGUGUACUAUCGAGUUUGAGUGAAAUUUCUGGAUCCUUCAUACAGGAAAUCAAAGGCCUUAAAUCUUUUCCUUAUUGCACCUUUCGACACUUGAGAAUAAAAGCACCAACUAACAUAAAGUAAGUCCUAUUGAAAACAAGACAAUAACUUGUUACAAGUCGAGACUUGAUAGCUAGUCAUGACUUGCUCAACAUUUCAGUUCAGUUUCGCCAUAUAUUCAUUGCCAAUCAUCUCGCGCAACUCAUGAGAUCCUUGGAUCUUUUGUACGAUGUAAAAAAUACUGUUCAUCAUGAGCAAAUGCCUCUAAGGAAUUGAUUAGUGUCUAAAACUGCUUUAAAGAUAUAUCAUUUAUAAGGCAUUUUAUAUUCACUUUGUUUAAAAACACUAAUGUUAGUCUCUAAUUUCAAUUCUAUUGCUGUAAAUUCAGUUUCAAUAAAUACAUGGCAAAAAGUACAAUUAAUUGAAAUACGUAUUUAAAUACAUGUUGGCAUGAGUAUUAUACUUUUGAAAGAGUAUUUAUUUGAUGUAUUUCACAUGUAUUUCCAAGGUAGAACAAGUGGAGCAAGUGGAGAAAAGAUGUUGAAAAGUAAAAAAUGAUUAGCUGUCUUGAGCAAGAUACAACCAUCUCGAUAAAAUGGCAAUAACUCGAGCUAUAGCUAUCAAAACAAGGUGAUUCAAGUUGUAUUGGAAAGAUAAGAUAUGUAUCUACAAUUUUCAUGUUUACCAAGAAGUCAAAUUCGCAUCAUAAAGUGGCCAAAAUUACCACGCAGAGUCCAACUUGUUACCUGCCGGAUACAGCUUUUCUACCUAUGAAGCAUCACUCAUUGUUUUGGCCAUAUCUGAGUUAUUGAGAUCCAAUGGACUUGAUUUUUGCACCAAUGGAAAGCUAACUCAAGUGGUAACAAUUUAUCUUUGAUCAUAAGUUCAAAUUUUCUGCACAAAGUAUCUGAAAAUUUGCAUCAAGUCGCAUGUUCUAGCUGUUUUGAAACUGGAUAGAAAUAAGUUACAUUGUCCACUUGCAUUUUGGAUGUUCCUUUGCCUAUGAAAGGGAAACUUGGCCAAGAUUUUGAGAGCAUCAAUUCCUCUUCAUCAUAUUCUAGUUUCCUUCAUUAUGUAUUUUUAAACCAUUAGCUAGAGUUAAGGGUGAAAUUUUGGUGAAUGUGUAGUAUUGUCUUUGAUCUUUCACUUUGUUCUUCAAUGUUCCUCUUCUUACAUGGUUGAAGUACAUGUUCUACAAAUAGUUUUGGUUUGUUAAAGACUUUGAUUUAUUUUUGACAAUUUUGGCACAAUAAAUGCUUAGAUAAUCUCUAUAUAUCAACAACUUAUUUUGACAUAUUAUUUCAAACAAUUAUCAAGAACUAUCUUUUAGUAUAUUUGCGAUCAAUGUUUUAUCUUCCAUAUUUCAUAUGAGUUAAAUAAAAGAUCAAGAGUAAUUUCUACUCAUUUAUCCGAAGUGAAUCCCCAAUGCUCUAGUGUUCUUCUCCAUCGUAUUUCCACCAAUCUUCACUACUCAUAAACUAGUUUAUUUCCUUCCAAUUCCCUGUGGUUCGACCUCGGACUUCCGAAUUUACUACUUGAGACAACUUGCACUUGGGUUUUCCACCUUAAAUCUGUAGCAAGUUUUUGGUGCCAUUGCCGGGGAUUUGCAUCAAGGAUUAUUUUCUACUACUUUUUGUGAGGUUUUCUUCUCUUUCAUAAUCUUCAUAAAUUAGAUACACUCGUUCCUUUUUCGAUCUUACUACAUUAGUUAUUUUACUUUAAAAGAAGGCCAAGCCUCCUUCAUUUUUUUUAUUUUCUGUUUAUUUUCUUUCUUUAAAGGGAAGGCCGAGCCUCUCGAACUGCCUUUUCUUUAUUAUAUGGUUGGCCGUGCCAUCUAAUUUUCGUUCUUUACAUCUAGUUUAUGUUAUUUUGUCAUAUUGGUAUCGCAUAUUUAAUUUUGAUCGUUUAGUUAAAGAUAAUUGUGAAACUUUCUUUUGUUAAUUUGUUUGACUUACCUCAACACUCACUCACAUCUUCCACCAUGGCUGAUAAUGAAAGCGUACAUGAUGAAAAUGAAAACCAAAAAGCACGAACUAUGCGUGAUUACUUGCAACCUGAAUACACCCAAAGAAUAACACGAUAGUUGUAGCACAGCUUUGGGGUGUCGAUUCCACAGGGAGAUGGACGAAUUGUUUAAAUAAUUUAUUGAACUAGGAUUUCAUGAAUUAUGUGAAAAUAAUUUGUCAAUUAGAAUGAUAUUUAAUUAUCCAUAUGCGAAGCAUCUGAAUUCCUUUAAUUGGAUUGGAUCAUUAACAUCAAUAAUUCAUGGGGUUUUGCUCAAUUAGAGGUUUUCAUCCCAACUCUCUAAUCGGAAGAUUUAACAAUGAAGUUCAAUCAAAUUUCAAUUGUAAUAUUAGGAUUUAGACUUUUUUAAACCAUUCCCACACAUAUUUAUUGGACUAAGAUUAAGAAUCGACUAUAUACACAAUGCAUAAAGCAGUAAAUAAUCCACUAAUAAAGUUGAUUGAAAUUGAAAUUCAACAAUUAGUUCAAUUCCACAAUAGACAAAACAUGAUUGAAUCUAUGAAGAAUGUAGUAAAAGUUAAAUCAAUUUCAAAGUAAAUUCAUAAAAGAUAGUCUAGAUCUAGAAGUGUUUGACAAUAAAAAUAUCAAUUUGCAUGAAUAAAUUAUGUGAAGUCGCCAAAUCCAAUGAGUUCUUUUGUAGCUUCACCUAGGAAUUUAGUUCUCCAUCAAAUUCUUUAGCCCAAGAUGAGAGAAAAUUGUUAUGGAGGUGAAGAUAGACGUUCUCUAUCUAGUCUAGGGCUUAAAAUAGUAUGCCAAGUUGUUUCCAAAAGAGGUUGAACCGAAAAAGGAAACUAAAUUUUCGGUUAGAAUAUUCUGUACGACUAUUUUCAGUAUUUUGACAAUAACUUUAUUUUCGAUGUCCAAUUAAGGAAAUUAAAAGUGAAUUGGAAAUCUAACACAAAGGGAUAUAAUUUUUCUAUAAGUAGCUCUUUCCAAAUUUGGACAUUUACUGGGUUAAAAGUUGAUCUCAAUCUCUAGCUGAAAAUCUAAAUUUUUUUUUUUGUGGUUGUAAUUUGAUUUGUGAAAAUAUUAUGGUCACAUUUAACUUCUUUUGACUUCUAAUUGCACCCAAUGGACUCCUAGCUUUCUCAAAUCAUUAUUUCAUCCCCCGUCUCAUCUUUAUAUUAUUUGCAACUCGGUCCCUAAACUAUCAGUUUCUUCUAUUUUGGUCAUUUUUCGCUCUUUUCUUCUAAAUUUCAGCUUUUCUACCAAAAUACAACAUGAAUCAAAGCAUAAGUAUAAUGAGUGCAUUUUGGUAUCAAAUAAUCACACGAGUGCAAUAAUUAAGAUGGGAAAGUAUUAUAUUUUGCACUCUUAUCAUACCCCAACUUGCUUAUUGCUAGUCCCUAGCAUUUUAAUGCAGAAUAAGUAAAUGAAUGAUUAGAUUGUGAUACAAGUAUAAUUAUUAAGUAUCAAUUUAACAACAUACCAUGUCCCUUUCAAACUCAACACCACAAGAACUUAACAAUGCCAUGAUCUUCAAGAUAUCGAAAACACUUAUCAAAUGUGUAAGUGUGUGUCAAGCUAUAACCAUCUUGCCUCCAACCCUAACACAUGCAACAAUAAGUAUAUCUCAAGUUGAAGGUUCAGCCCCAUAACUCACGGGAGUCAAAGUGUUUAGUACGGUUUUCUCUUAUGGAACUAAGAAAGAUAUACUCUCAGAACAUGGAGGCUUAAAAUUUAUGAAUAAGCAACAAACAAACAUUGAUCUUGUCAUAGGCAUACUUCCAAAUGAGAAUUCGUCCAAUUCUUACUACAACCAUACUUGGGAUCAAAUCAGUCAAUGUAAAGGGUUGUAAUGCAGUUUGAAUUAAGCUAUAUGAAAGGAGGGAUAUAAUGAUUCAAAAACUUCCAAGUACAUAGCCAAGUGUAGCAUCAAGCUUCUCAAUGGAUCACAUCAACACAUUCUUUAUUACUUUCAACCCCCAAAAUCAAUUAAAAAAUUUUCUUUUUUUGAAUAACAUUCCCUUCUUCUUCUUUUAACUUUUAUGACUUCACUUGAGCACUUAUCAACUUUUGUCAUCUCUUUGCUUCUUUUCUUCACAAUUAAACCUCCAACACCUACUAUACACUUAGAAGUGAAAAGGUGGGCAAACACAUAUAUAGGUCUCACUCCAAUGUAGAGGGAAAGGGAUAGCACGGGUGCAUGAAGAAAAAUAUUAGACAUGUAUGUGUAUUGGCUCAAAGUGGCUACUAGGGGUUAUAAUCAUGAAAGAAAAUUGGCUUGAAAGGUUAAAAUUUAAUCCUAAAUUGAUUGUCAUCAUUUCUUAAGUAAUCAACCACCAUACCUCAAACAAUGUAACGUUAUUCUCAAAAGAGUUCCCAAUUCACAAAACCAAUGAAUGCUUAUUACCAUUUUUAGUUAUAUGGAUCUCAAUCCUCACCAAUUCUCCCAUAAGAAAACUUCAGCAAGAGACUCAUCUAGCUACAUGUGUUAAACCACUAUCUUACCACAAGACUUGUGUGUACAAAAUGAUUCAACAAGUGUCUUAGCAUCUAGACUCACAUGAACAAUAUCAACUCUUAGUGACAUAUUUUGUCAUUCAAGAACAUGAACAUGUAGCAAAUGGAGACUUAAGGAAAAAUCAAGACCAAAAUUCCAUGUAAAUCAUGCAAUUCACAAAAAAAUUUAAGAUAAACUCUCUCCCAACUAAACAUUGCGUUGUCCUAAAUGCAAAAACAUGUAUGCUAAAUAAAGGUAAGGAAAGAUGUCACCUGAGUGUCGAAGUGAAUCACAUGAGUUGAAGUAUAAGAAACUUGAAAGUCUUCAAUGGAAAAGGUAAUGCAGAAAAUGAAAAUAAACUAGAAUGCAGUGAAUAAUGCAUGUGAUGCAAAUAAACCUAACAAAUGCAGAAAUAAGAUAAAAGAAGAAAAGAGAAUUCCCAUUGGGUUGCCUCGCAAGCAGUGCCUUUGUUUAUUGUCGUUGGCUCGACCCAAUGUUUGUUUCUUUAACCCGCAUCCAAUCAGGGCGUUGUCAACACUCUUUGCAUUGCACCAAGCUCAGUAGAAAUAAUUGCCGAUGAUGUUACACAAUCUUGCAAAUCAUCAAAGGCAGCACAAAUAUUAGCAUAUUCCCCAUCAUCAUAUUAGCAUUCUAGAAUUUCAGAAUUUAAAAGAAAAGAGUUUAAAGGGUUGGGGUUAAUAAUUGCAGGUGCUUCCUCCUAAAUGAGUGCAUCAAUCAUGAAUGUUUGAUGACACUUGUCAUCCUCCUUAGGUUGCUUCAUGAUGUGAAAGUUAUUGACGUCUAGGGUCAUGUUCCCAAAUGAUAGUUUCAUUGGACCAUCCUUGCAAUUGAUAAGAGCAUUAGUCGUGACAAGAAAAGUUCUACCAAGAAUUAUGGAAAUUUUGAAGUUAGCAUUUACAUCAACUUUUAGGUCCAAAAUCAAGAAUUCAAUAGGAUAGUAAAAUUUAUCAACUUGUGCCAACACAUCAUCAACUACUCCCCUAGGCCUAAUAAUGAAUUGAUCAGCCAAUUGUAAACUUACUGAUAUGGGUUUCAUCUCUCCUAGCCCUAAUGACAAGUAAAUAUCAUAUGGCAUGACAUGGACACUAGCCCCUAGAUUAAGAAGGGCUUGUGAAAUCUCAUGGUUCCCGAUGAUGUAAGAGACAGUAGGACAACUAGGGUCUUUAUACUUUGGCGAGAUCUUUUGCUCAAUCACAUCACUCACAUUUUCAGUCAAGAAAGCAGUUUUCUUGACAUGGUGUUUCCUCUUCACAGUGCACAAGGCUUUUAGGAUUUUAGCAUAUGUGGGAACUUGAAAGAUCAAAUGUAGAAGAGGUAGAUUGAUUUUUACUUGUUUUAAAUGCUCUAGGAUCUCACUAUGUUGGCCAACAGAUUUUGAGGUAGACUUGAGAGCUUGAGGGAAAUGUACUCUAGAUUGAUUUUUUACCACCUCCUUACUAGGGGGUGCUCUAUACUGCAUUGUUGGAGACCUUUUCAUUUUCUUUAGGUUUGAGAAUCAGUUCUAUGACCUUACCAGAUCGAGUGGUUAUGGCAUUUACUUCUCUAAGAUUGCUUUCUCCAGACCUUGAAGUUUGUGCCAUAUGUUGCCCCCUAGGGUUCAGUUGAGCUUGCGCUGGGAAUUUUUCCCACCCUCCAAUAGCUAAGGCAUUAGUUAGUUUGGACAUAUGAGAUUUUAUUUCCUUGUUUUCUUCAAAAAUUAGGGUGAUCAUGGUCUCAAACUUUUGGUUAGUCUUACUUUGUGCCUCUAUAAAUGCAUGUAGAGUGUCUUCUAAAGAGUUCCUAGAGGACGUGAGCUGAUAUGGAGGUGUAGUGUGAGCUUUAUUUGGCUGGCCUUCAGAUUUCCAGCAGAGAUUGGGGUGAUUUCACCAUCCCGAAUUGUAUGUUUCAGAAAAGGGAGAAUAAGACUUUUGGUAUGUGCCUAAGGCAUUGCAGUGUUCCUCUUAAACUUCCCUCAUCUCAGCAUAGGUUGCGUACCCUUGAGCUGGAUGAUUAGUUCCACCACAAACAAAACAUGGUCCUAAAGAUUCAACAUGGGAUGCAUUCUAUGUAGGCUUUGAGUCCCUAGCAUGUAAGAUUUUGAGUUCUUUAGUGAGGGCAUCUACCUUGGCUCUAAGGUCAUCCUCCUCCCUAAGAUGAUAAAUGGCUGUGCUAGUGGUGUUCGGGUAGGUCGAGACCUAUUAGUACUCUCAGUGGCACUAGGUCCACCAAGUAUGGGCUUUCUCGGCUAAGUUAUCUAAAUACUCUAUAGCCUCAUCUGGAUCUUUUUGUAGGAAUUCACCAUUACACAUCAUUUUCACAAACUGACGCUCCUUAGGUAAUAAUCCCUCAUAAAAGUAACUCACAACACGCCAACUUUCAUAACCGUGGUGGGGCAAAGGGCUUGCAAUUCUUUGUAUCUUUCCCAUGCUUGAUAUAAAGUUUCAUUAUCCUUUUGGGACAAAAGAAGGAUUUUUUUAAAGUAGUUGUUUUAUGAUGGGAAAAGUAUUUGCCAAAAAAUGCUUAGGUCAUUUUAGCCCAAGUCCCAAUCGAACGAGAUCGCAAUGAAUACACCCAGCUUUUUGCUCAUUCCUUGUGUGAAACUGAAAUUUUUUUUAGCCUGACUACAUCCAAUGUACCAUGUUGACUGUCGAAGGUUGCCACCACCUCCUCAAACUCCCUAAUAUGCAAGUAUGGAUUUUUGCUUUCAAGACUGUGAAAAUUGGGAAGAAGUUGAAUCAUUCCCGAUUUUAGGUCAAUACGUGGCAUGUUAGGUGGAAACAUGAUGCAUGACGAUGUAGAUGUGUGUGUGGGAUGAAGGUAAUCAUGCAAGGACCUAUAGGGUGCAUUACCAUGCUCACUAUCAGACAUUGUGUUAUAUGAUGUGGCGUUCGUGGCAAUAGAUUCAGUAUCUAAGAGAGGGUUAGAAGAGAUUCAAACAGUGGUUGAGGCUUUGCUAUAAAUAGCCCUCACUCGUCACGAAGCCUGUUCAUAAAACACAAAAAAAUGAAACUAAAUGAGAAAUAACAAAAUAAUUAAAAAAAUAAACUAAACUAACUAAAAGAAUGUAAAAAGGGACGAAGUCACCAUUUUGCUCGAGAAUCCUUCAAGUAUUAAUACCGUCUCCUCAACAACGGCGCCAAAAUUUGAUUACGCUCAAAGAAUAACGUGGUAGUUAUAGCACAGCUUUGGGGUGUCGAUUCCACAGGGAGAUGGACGAAUUGUUUAAAGGAUUUAUCGAACUAGGAUUUCAUGAAGUAUGUGAAAAUAAUUUGUCAAUUGGAAUGAGAUUUAAUUAUCAAUAUGCGAAGCAUCCUAAUUCCUUCAAUUGGAUUGGAUCAUCAACAUUAAUAAUUCAUGGGGUUUUGCUCAAAUCCCAACUCUCUAAUCGGAAGAUUUAAUAAUGAAGAUCAAUCAAAUUUCAAUUGUAAUCCUAGGAUUUAGACUUUUGUAAACCAUUCCCACACAUAUUUAUUGGACUAAGAUUAAGAAUCAACCAUAUACAAAAUGCAUAAGACAGUAAAUAAUCCACUAAUAAAGUUGAUUGAAAUUGAAAUUCAACAAUUAGUUCAAUUCCACAAUAGAAAAAGCAUGAUUGAGUCUAUGAAAAAUCUAGUAAAAGUUAAAUCAAUUUCAAAGUAAAUUCAUAAAAGAAAGUCUAGAUCUAGAAGUGUUUGACAAUAAAAAUAUCAAUUUGCAUGAAUAAAUGAUGUGAAGUCCCCAAAUUCAAUGAGUUAUUUCGUAGCUUCACCUAGGAAUUUAGUUCUCCAUCGAAUUCUUUAGCCCUAGAUGAGAGAAAAUUGUUAUGGAGGUGAAGAGAGGCGUUCUCUAUCCAGUCUAGGGCUUAAAACUAUGUGUCAAGUUGUUUCCAAAAGAGUUGAACUGAAUAAGGAAACUAAAUUUUCGACUAGAAUAUUCUAUGGGACUAGUUUCAGUAUUUUGACCAUAACUUUCUCUCCCGAUGUCCAAUUAAGAAAAUUCGAAGUGCGUUGAAAAGAUAACACAAAGGCUAUAAUUUUGCUAAUAUCUCUUUCCAAAUUUGGACAUUUACUAGGUCAAAAGUUGAUCUCAAUCUCUGGCCGAAAAUCUGGAAAAUCCUUAUGUGGUUUUGAUUUGAUUUGUGAAAAUAUUAUGGUCAUAUUUAACUUCUUUUGACUUCUAAUUGCACCAAAUGGACUCCUAGCUUUCUCAAAUCAUUAUUCCAUCGCCCAUCUCAUCUUUAGAUUAUUUGCAGCUUGGUCACUAAACUUUCACUUUCUUCCAUUUUUGGUCAUUUUUCACUCUUUUCUUCUAAAUUUCAAAUUUUCUACCAAAAUGCAACAUGAAUCACAGCAUAAGCAUAAUGAGGGCAUUUUGGUAUCAAAUAAUCAAACGAGUGCAAUAAUUAAGAUGGCAAAAUAUUAUAUUUUAUACUCUUAUCUCAACCUCCUCGAAACUCUACUCCUCAUUUUCCCUCUUAAUGCUAAUAAUUUUCGAUUCAAUCCAGGUAUGAUUCUAUUACUUCUUAAUUUUCAUGGCUUAGAAUCCAAAAGUUCAUAUUUGCAUCUUAAAGAAUUUAAGGAAGUAUGUGCCACAUUUAACAAUUAAACUUGUCCCAAUGAAAUUGUUUCCUUUUUCUCUAAAAGAUAAAGCAAAAACUUGACUUAACUCUUUAAAACCUAGGUCGAUUGGCACAUGGCAAGAAAUGCAAAGUGAGUUUUUUAAGAAAUUCUUUCCAGCACAUAAAACUAAUGCUUUGAAAAGACAAAUCCAAAAUUUUUCUCAAAAAAACAACGAAGCGUACUUCCAAUGUUUAGAAAGAUUUGUUAAAUACUUGCCCACAUCAUGGUUUUAAAAAAUGGCAUACUAUAAGUUUCUUUUAUGAGGCUUAACUCCUGAAACAAAAUAAUUUGUAGAAACGAUGUGCAAUGGUGAAUCUUCAGAUAAAGAUCUGGAUGAAUCUUUAGAAUUUCUAGAUCAUCUAGCUGAAAAUUCUCAAUCUUGGCAAACAGUAAAACCAAUCGUAAACUCAAUUAGAUCUAGUCUUGCUAGUUCUAGUGGAGGAAAAUAUCAAUUGAGUCAAGAUGAUGAUCUAAAUGCUAGGAUUGCUAGUUUGUAUAGAAAGGUUGAAGCUAUAGAAUUAAGGAAAGUAAAGGAAGUUAAACCAUUACAAAAUGAUGAAAUUUGUAGCAUUUGUGAAACUUUUGGGCAUCCAAAGCAUGAUUGUCCUAACAUCCCAGUUUUGAAAGAAGUUUUACAUGAUCAAGCCAAUGCUAUGGACACUUUUAAAAAGCCUUUUGCUUCUCCAUUCUCAAAAAUAUAUAAUCAACAAUGGAGAAAUUAUCCCAACUUUAGUUGGAGAGCCUUUUCCUUCUCCAUUCUCAUAAACAUAUAAUCGUGUUCAUAUAUCACAACCUCAAGGGCUUUCAAAAUUCCCUUCUUUUCCACAACCACAAUAACAAACUCUUGAGGAAACAUUGCAGCCAUUCAUGCAUGGACAAGCAAACAUUAAUAAUCAAACUUCACAAGCCGUCAAUGAAAUCAAGAACUCACUUUCUUCAUUGACCUCUUCUUUGCGUUCUCAAGAGAAAGGUAAAUUUUCUGCUCAACCUCAACUAAAUCCUUCUGGGCAAUUUAAUGUAAAUGCUUCUAAUUCCUCUGAAACUCAACAAGAAAUUGGCAACUCCAUCACAACUCUUCGUAGUGGAAAAAUUAUUGACAAAACCAUUCCUUCAAAAGAACUAAAAUUGGGUGGAACUUCAAAGUAAGAAAAUGAUGUUUCCAAAACUGAGGAAAAAAUCAUUUCUGAACCUAGUGUUGAAAAAUGCCUCAUUCCAGCUCCAUUUCCUCAAUGAUUGCAACCAAUUUCAAAACUCAACCAUAAUUCUGAAAUUUUUGAACAUUUCAAACAAGUUAAAAUUACCAUACCAUUAUUGCAUGCAAUCAAACAAGUUCCUUCAUAUACAAAAUUUUUAAAAGACACACUGUCAAGAGAAAACUAAGCAUUUUUGACAGAGAACGUGAGCUCAAUUAUUCAACAAAACACUCCACCUAAAUUCAAAGAUCCUGGUUGUCCAACAAUUUCUUGUGUGAUUGGGAAUAAUAGGAUAGAGUGUGCCUUGCUUGAUCUUGGUGCUAGUGUUAAUCUAUUACCUUUUUCUGUGUCUUGGUUUGGGAGAACUUAAGCCAACAGCAACAAUACUUCAACUUGCUGAUCAUUCAGUAAAAGUUCCAAGAGGGGUUGAAGAGGAUGUUCUAGUUCAAAUUGAUAAAUUCUAUUAUCCUAUUGAAUUUAUUGUUUUGGACACACAUCCCAUUUUAAAUUCAAAUGCACAAAUAGUCAUUUUAGGACGUCCCUUUCUUGCUACUUCAAAUGCGUUGAUAAAUUGUAGAAAUGGUAUCUUGAAACUCUCUUUUGGAAAUAUGACAAUGGAAAUGAAUAUUUUUAACAUUUGCAAGCAACAUGGAGAUAAAGAUAAUUUGGAUGAAGUAGAUUUUAUUGAACAACUUGUUGAUGAUUAGUUUAUCACUACAUCUUCAUCUGAUGUGCUAGAAUUUGAAUUCAUCGAUAAUUCUAAAAAUCCGCAUAUAAUUUCUUUGUUGAAUUCUUUUCAGGAGAAAAAGAUAAGUGAUUGGAAAUCAAAGUUUGAGAAAUUAUCACAACAGUCCAAUAUGUUCAUGAUUUCUCACAACAAUCCAAUAUGUUCAUGAUUUCAAGUGUUCAAAUGCCAAAGAUCGACUUGAAACCAUUACCAUCUAAUCUGAAAUAUUCAUUUUUGGGUUAAGAUGAAAUUUUUUCGGUAAUAAUUUCUUCCAAACUUGAUGCGCACCAAGAAGGUAAGUUAUUACAAAAUUGAAAAAUGCAUAAAAAUGUUUUAGGAUGGACCAUGGCUGAUAUAAAGGGGACUAGUCCUUUGAUUUGCACACAUAAGAUUUAUUCGGAAGAAUAUGCUAAACCCACAAGAGAAAUGCAAUGAAGGCUUAAUCUUAUUUUAAAAGAGGUGGUAGGAAAUGAAGUCAUUAAACUCUUAGAUAAUGAAAUCAUUUAUCCUAUUUUUGAUGGUAGAUGGGUAAGUCCAACCCAAGUUGUACUAAAAAAAUCCGGUGUUACUGUAGUAAAAAACGAAGAAAAUGAGUUAGUUCCAACUAGAACUGUUACUGGUUAGCACAUGUGUAUCGACUAUAGGAAUCUCAACUUAAUGACUAGGAAAGAUCAUUUUCCUUUACCUUUUAUGGAUCAAGGAAAGAGUGGCAGGACAUGAAUUUUAUUGUUUUCUAGAUGGAUAUUCUGGGUAUAACCAAAUUGAAAUUGCACCUGAGGACCAAGUAAAGACCACUUUCAAAUGUCCCUUUGGUACUUUUGCUUAUCGUAGAAUGCCUUUUGGAUUAUGCAAUGCACCAGCUACAUUUCAAAGAUGCAUGCUUAGUAUUUUUAGCGACAUAAUUGAAAGAUCUUUGGAAGUUUUCAUGGAUGAUUUUUCUGUUUUUGGAGAUUCAUUUGAUUAUUGUUUAACUAACUUACAAAAAGUUUUAGUUAGGUGUGAAGAAAAGAAUCUUGUGCUCAACGGGGAAAAAUGUCAUUUUAUGGUCACUAAUGGCAUCGUACUUGGUCAUAUUGUAUCAUCUAACGGAAUUGAGGUAGACAAAUCUAAAACUGAAUUAAUUUCUAAUUUGCCUACUCCAAAUAGUGUUAAAGAGGUAAGAUCUUCUUUAGGACAUUCUGGUUUUUAUAGAAGGUUUAUCAAAGACUUUAGUGCCAUAUCUAAAUCAUUGUGUAAUCUCUUAUCUAAAGACAUGCCUUUUGAAUGGACUAAGUCUUGUCAAGAAGCUUUUGUUAAACUUAAGAAUAUGCUUACUUGUGCUCCUAUCAUGACACCUUUGGAUUGGAAUUUAUCUUUUGAAAUCAUGUGUGAUGCUAGCGAUUAUGCCGUUGGAGCUGUCUUAGGCCAAAGAAGAGAUAAAAAGCCUCAUGUCAUUUACUAGGCAAGUAAAACUCUAAAUAGUGUUCAAAUGAAUUAUUCAUGGCUCACCAAUUGUUAUUUUUAGUGAUCAUGUAGCUUUAAAAUAACCUCUCUCUAAGAAAGAUGCUAAACCUAGGAUGAUUAGGUGGAUUCUUUUACUCCAAGAAUUUGACAUCACCAUUCGAGAAAAGAAAGGAGUAGAGAAUGUUGUAGUUGAUCACUUGACUAGGCUUACUUGUGAUGAAUCGUUUGAAACAAAAUCAAUGAAGGAUACUCUCCCUGAUGAACAGCUUCUUAGUGUUUCUGACUUGCCUUGGUUUGUUGAUAUUGCUAAUUUUCUUGUAACAGGUUAAAUACCAUCUCAUUGGAAUGUGCAAGACAAAAAGAAAUUCUUCAAAGAGGUAAGAAAUUUCUUUUUUGAUGAUCCCCACCUAUUCAAAUAUUAUCCGGACCAAAUAAUAAGAAGAUGUGUGCCAAAUAAUGAAAUCCAAAAGAUAAUUGCCUUUUGCUAUUCUGAAGCAUCUCUUUUCUUCAAAGAAAACUGCUGCAAAAAUCUUGCAGUCUGGAUUUUAUUGCCUAACUCUUUUCAAAGACACAUGAAUUUUGUAAAGCUUGUGAAUGUUGUCAAAAAAUAGGCGAGAUAACUCAUAGAAAUAUGAUGCCAUUGACACCCAUACUAGUUAUUGAAAUAUUUGAUUGUUGGGGUAUUGAUUUCAUGGGUCCAUUCUCAUUUGGUUAUUUAUACAUCUUGGUAGGAGUUGAUUAUUUUUCUAAAUGGGUAGAGGCAAUUCCUUGAAAACACGAUGAUCACAAAAUUGUUAUGAAAUUUUUGAAAGAAAAUAUUUUUUCAAGAUUUGGAAUACCUCGAGCCAUUAUAAGCGACGGCGGUUUACCGAUUGGUGUCUAAAAGUGCUUCAAAAAUAUACCAUUUACAAGGCAUUGUACAUUCACUUUGUUUAAAACCACUAAUGUUAGUCUCUAAUUUCAAUUCUCUUGCCAUAAAUUCAAUUUUCAUAAAUAUAUGGUUAAAAGAUCAAUUAAUCGAAAUGCGUAUUUAAAUACAUGUCGGCAUGAGUAUUAUACUUUUAAAGAGUAUUUAUUUGAUGUAUUUCACAUGUAUUUCCAAGGUAGAACAAGUGGAGAAAAAAAUGUUGAAAAGUAAAAAAUAUCAGCUGUCUCGAGUAAAGAUACAGCUGUCUCGGUGAAAUUGCCAUAACUCGAGUUGUAGAUAUCGAAACAAGGUGAUUCAAGUCGGGUUGGAAAGAUAAGAUAUGCAUCUACAACUUUUUUGUUUACCAAGAAGUCAAAUUCACAUCAUAAGGUAGCCAAAAUUACUGUGCAAAAUCUAACUUGUUACCUGCCGGAUACAGCUUUUUCUACUUGUGAACAACACUCAUUGUUUUGGCCAUAUCUGGAGUUGUAGAGAUCCAAUGGAUCUGACAUUGUCUCAACUGGCAACAAUUUAUCGGUGGAUCAUAAGUCCAAAUUCAUGGCAUAAAGUAUCUGAAAAUUGACAUCAAGUUGCAUAUUCUAGCUGUCUUGAAGUUGGACAGAAACAAGUUGCAUUGUCUACUUCCAUUUUGGAUGUUUCUUUGCCUAUAAAAGGGAACCUUGGCCAAGAUUUUGAGGGCAUAAAUUCCUCUUCAUCAUAUUCUAGUUUUCUUCAUUUUCUUUGUAAGAUUUGAUUAUAUAUUUCUAAACCAUUAGCUAGAACUAGGGGUGAAACUUUGGUGAAUGUGUAGUAUUGUCUUUGAUCUUUCACUUUGUUCUUCAAUGUUCAUCUUCUUAUUUGGUUGAAAUAUAUGUUCUACAAAUGGUUUUGGUUUAUUAAAGAUUUUGAUUUAUUGUUGACAAAUUUUGGCACAAUAAAUGCUUAGAUAAUUUCUACAUUCCAACAACUUAUUUUGACAUAUUCUCUCAAACAAUUAUCAAGAUCUAUCUUUUAGUAUAUUUGCAAUCAAUGUUUUAUCUUCCAUAUUUCAUAUGAGUUAAAUAAAAGAUCAAGAGUAAUUUCUACUUAUUUUUCCGAAGUGAAUCCCUAAAGCUCUAGUGUUCUUCUUCAUCAUAUUUCCACCAACAGUUUACUACUCAUAGACUAGUUUAUUUCCUUCCAAUUCCUUGUGGUUCGAUCUCGGAUUUUCGAGUUUACUACUUAAGACAACCUGCACUUAGGUUUGCAACCUUAAAGUUGUAGAGUUUACACUUCUGUAAUAAACUUUUUAAGGCCCUAAUGAAAAAAUAUGGAAUUACUCAUAAACUAUCUACUCCUUAUCACCCAAACACUAGUGGUUAAGUUGAACUCGCAAAUAGAGAGAUUAAAUGCAUUUUGGAAAAAAACAAUGAAUCCAAAUAGAAAAGAUUUGUCUUUACGAUUAACCGAUACACUUUGGGCUUAUCGUACAGCUUUCAAAACACCCCUUGGUAUGUCACCUUAUCAACUUGUUUUUGGAAAGCCUUGUCAUUUACCUGUUGAAUUGGAACACAAAGCAUUUUGAGCUAUUAAAAUAUUUAAUUUCAGUUUAGAUGAAGGUUUACUAAGGAAACUUCAAUUGAAUGAGUUGGAAGAAAUUAGGAAUGAAGCUUGUGAAAACUCUCGAAUUUACAAGGAGAGAAUGAAGGUAUUCCAUGAUAAAAAUAUUGUUAGAAAAACUUUUGAGUCUUCCCAAAAAUUUCUUUUGUACAACUCAAGAUUACAUUUAUUUCCUGAAAAAUUAUGCUCCAAAUGGAUUGGUCCUCUCAUUGUCAAAAUUGCUUACCCACAUGGAGCUGUAGAAAUUAAAAAUCCAAGUAAUGAAAAUAUUUUUAAAGUUAAUGGACAUCGUUUGAAACCAUUUUUUAAGAAUUUCUCUAGAUUAAAAGGGUCCAUUGAUCCUAAAGAUUGAUAUCAUUUUCUCAUUAGUUUAUUUUGUAUGUUUCUUUUCAAUUUUAUAAUGUUGUGCGUUUGUUUUAGGUGUGUUUCUUUUAUUGUCAUUUUUCUUUUUCUCUCCUUUUUUUUUUUUGGCUAAUGAAAUUGAAGGUUCAUUUAGGCCAAGUUUAUGCAGACUCUCCAGGUAAAUCUCAAAACCCGUUCCUUUGUUCAAAAUUUUGCUCCUUACUGUCCUUCAUAUACUUUGCAUGUUUAAUCUUCACAUUGAGGACAAUGUUUCAUUUAGGUUGGGGAGAAAGGAAUAAAAAAAAAAAAAAGACUUGCCGAGCAAUGAUGAUAUUAUUUGAAAUUGUUUUUAUAUUAUUGUGACUAGGGAAUGCUGUUUUGAUUUAGUUGAAACUUGUUCAUGUUAGAAUGAUUUACAUUGAGCACAAUAAUCAUGAAAAUCACAUAUUAUUUAGAUUGGAUCAAUGGAUAGAAUAUGUCGAAUUAACCAUGACAAAAAAAAUAAAAAAUAAAAAAUUCUACUAAACCAAUUCUAGUAUAGUUUGGGGUAGUUGAGCUGUUGUAGGGAGAAAUUAAGAUAGAUGUGGAUUCCAUGCGUGUUAAAUUUUGUGUGGAUUGCUUAAGACCAAUGAGAUGAUAAUUACGUAAAAAUUUUAAGUUAAAGAUCAAUUUUUGAGAAUAAGUAUUUAAUGAGGGGCAUUGCACUAAUCAUUGCAUAGAAGGGAAAAAAGCUGUCAUGUUGUGAAGCUAUCCUAAAAGAGCCGAAUGAGGACAAUUAUAUAUAUAAAAAGAGAUCAGGCUAGUGCACGAAACAGAAUACGCACGACAAACUUGAAAAAAGCAGGUGCAUGAAACAGAAGACGCACUACAUGCUUGAUUGAGUCCCAAACACUUAUUUUAGAGAAUUAGACAUUUGAUAAGGGAUUAGUAGUUUAGUUGAUUCUUGGAGGUUGAAUCGGUCAAAAUUAAGGAGAAUUCUCAUUUAUUAAUGUGUUGAACUAUAAUUAGUAAAAUCUAACCAAACUAGAGAGGGUGAGUAAUAGUAUAUAAAUUUAACCAUAAAUCACACCUUGAGAAAAUAGUUACAAAAUCAAGUUUGAGGAUGUGCAUCCCACGAGAGAAGAGAGAAAUAAUUGACCAUUCAGGGUUAGGAUGAGUCCAAUUUGAAAAAGUAUGUGAUUGAAUUAAUUAUGCACAUACAUACGUUGGUCGAGUAUUGGACAAGUUAGACUAUGUUUUGGUAGCAAACCUUAAAAACAUUUUGUUAAGUAGUUUCAAAUCUUGAGACAAGUGCGACAAGCUAUUUUAUUUGAACUAUUUUGAAUUUUAUUGCUAGAGACUAGUAAUAUCUUGGUUGGAAGUGUGAUUAGUGUCUAAAAAUGCUUCACAGAUAUAUCAUUUACAAGGCAUUUUAUAUUUACUUUGUUUAAAAACACUAAUGUUAGUCUCUAAUUUCAAUCCUCUUGCCGUAAAUUCAGUUUCAAUAAAUACAUGGUGAAAAGUGCAAUUAAUCGAAAUACGUAUUUAAAUACACGUCAACAUGAGUAUUAUACUUUUGAAAGAGUAUUUAUUUGAUGUAUAUCACAUGUAUUUCCAAGGUAGAACAAGUGGAACAAGUGGAGAAAAGAUGUUGAAAAGUAAAAAAUGAUUAGUUGUCUUGAGCAAGAUACUACUGUCUCGAUAAAAGGGACAUAACUCGAGCUGUAGUUAUCGAAACAAGGUGAUUCAAGUUGGGCUGGAAAGAUAAAAUACGUAUAUAAAAUUUUCAUGUUUACCAAGAGUCAAAUUCACAUCAUAAGGUAGCCAAAAUUACCAUGCAAAGUUCAACUUGUUACCUAUCGGAUACAACUUUUCUACCUGUGAAGCAGUACUUAUUGUUUUGGCCAUAUCUGGAGUUAUAGAGACCCAAUGGACCAGAUAUUUGUACCAAUGGAAAGCUAACUCAAGUGUAACAAUUUAUUUAUUGAUCAUAAGUUCAAAUUUGCUAAACAAAGUAUUUGAAAAUUGGUAUCAAAUUGCAUGUUCCAACUGUCUUGAAGCUCGACAGAAAUAAGUUGCAUUGUCCGCUUGCAUUUUGGAUGUUCCUUUGCCUAUAACCUUGGCCAAGAUUUUGAGAGCAUCAAUGACUUUAUUAUAUUCUAGUUUCUUUCAUUUUCUUUGUAACAUUUGACUAUAUAUUUCUAAACUAUUAGCUAGAGCUAUGGGUGAAACUUUGGUGAAUGUGUAGUAUUGUCUUUGAUCUUUCACUUUGUUUUUCAAUGUUCAUCUUCUUACUUAGUUGAAGUAUAUAUUCUACAAAUAGUUUUGGUUUGUUAAAGACUUUGAUUUAUUGUUGACAAUUUAGGCACAAUAAAUGCUUAGAUAAUCUCUACAUACCAACGACUUAUUUUGACAUAUUCUUUCAAACAAUUUUUAAGAUAUAUCUUUUAGUAUAAUUGUGAUCAAUGUUUUAUCUUCCAUAUUUCAUAUGAUUUAAAUAAAAGAUCAAGAGUAAUUUUUACUUAUUUAUCCGAAGUGAAUUCCCAACGCUCUAGUGUUCUUCUCCAUCGUAUUUCUACCAACUGUUCACUACUCAUAGAUUAGUUUAUUUUCUUCUAAUUCCCUGUGGUUCAACCUCGGUCUUCCGAGUUGACUACUUGGGACAACCUGUGCUUAGGUUUGCAACCUUAAAGUUGUAGCAGAAACAUGCUCGUAUUGCUUCGAUUUGCCCUUCAAAUUUAGUUGUAAAACCAUAAUGAUUAAAAUCAAAUGAAGUUCAAAAUGAUUUCUUCCAUUAAGAUCCCCCAACUCCUCUUUUGGAAUCAUUUGAUCCCCAAAUUUCAAUGGUGGCAUUGAAUUGAUCAAGUUUGUGUGGAGCCUUUUGUGGCUUAAGGUGAGAUUGAUAUAAUCAAACACCUUUUCUAUCAAUGGAUGAAUGGCUCCUCUGUCCUCAGUAUCGAAGAAAGCUUAUGAAAAACAGUGAAAGGUCGAUAAAUACCCAAAUAUUAACUAGGAUUCAAAAAACCAAUUAACAAAGUAGUAAGUAAAGUGCAAAAAAUAGAAAAAUCAACACAAGGAUUUUUUCGGCCGAAGACCCAGAAGUUCGACGAACACAUCUAACGCCUAAUCUCCUAUUGAGCAUCCAUUAUAAAUGGAUUUAGCUCGUUUGCACUAUAAAGCCAAAAUCCCGCAACAAGAAUAUAUAAUAUGUUCCAAAAAUUACAAAGAUCAAGCUACUAAGACUUAUCUUUAAGAAGAUUGAAGAAUCAAAUCACACUCUUUCAGAAACUUGAAGAAGAUCACUCAGAUUUUCUCAAAAACCCUACUGCUUGCACGAAUCACUUAGAUUCUGGGACAUUUAACUCAUAAUACAGUGCAGUAGCAUGUAGAUCUAGAGUAUUACAGAUGUUUCACUAAGAUUUAAUCAUUGAAACACUCAAGAACUCAAACCUUAAUCACGAAGAAUGAGCAAUUCUCACGAAUAGGAAAGGAGAUGAAGAGAUGAAACUCCACCCUAGAAAUUCUCUCAAAGUGUGCAAGUCAAAGAGUCACGAUCAGAAUAUAAAGCAAGAAGCAUCUAGAACUUAAUCAAACAGUCAUCACUGUACCACACGUCACAAUUUGAUUGAAGACCUCCAAUAACAAAGGUGUAAAAUCAGAAACACGCUUUCUUCACAUUUUGGAAGCACACUUUUAUAAGUAAUGAGGUCAAUGGUUCGAAACUCAACAAUCUCCACAUUGCUUCCAAAAUUCUUGGCAAUAGUGCAGCCAGGAGCUUCACCAACUAUUUAUAAUUUCAUUUGCUCUGGUACCUGUAUAGUUAAUGACAAGAAUCAACAAAUAAAUCCUUUAAACAAUUUUUGAAACUUGUUUAAAGGUAUCACUUUUGUUCCCAUAUAAGACGAAUUACACUAAGUAGGAAUUUUAUAAAUUUUCUGCAACCAUUUUAAGAUAAUAUCUGUAAUAAAACGGUAUUUGACAUCAAUGUGUUUAGUUCUUUCAUGGAACAUGGGAUUGUUACUCAAAUGGAUUACACUCUAAUUGUUAGAAUAUAGGAUUGGAUUAGUGUCUGCAAAACCAAGUUCAUUUAACAGUCCAACAGACAUCUACAUUCUUUGAUGGCAUCAGUGGCUGUAACGUAUUUAGCCUUUGUGGAAGAUAGAACAACAAUUUUCUUUAACUGAGAUUUCUUGCUUAUUAUAAUGCCACACAAAGUGUAAAAAUAUGAUGAGAUUGAUCUCAUAUUGUCUCUAUCCUCAGUAAAAUCAGAAUUUGUAUAUCCCUUUAGAAUUACACCCUCUUUAUUCAUUCUAAACAUGAACCAUAAGUUAGAUGAACCCUUUAGAUAUUUCAUUAACUAUUUCAAAGCUUUCCAGUGACUUUCAUCAGUAUUUUCCAUAAAUUUACUCAAAACACUAAUACUAUAUGCCAAGUCAGGUCUAGUGCAAAUCAUCAAGUACAUAACUGAUCCAACAACAUUAGCAUAGGGUAUUUUUGAUAUUCUUCUAAGUUCAUCUUCAGUUUUAGGGCAAUAAUCUGAUGUUAAUAUAAAAUGAUUAGUAAGGGGUAAAGACACAGGUUUACAAUCAAACACGUUAAACCUUUUUAGGUUCUUAUUCACAUAAUCUUGUUGACUUAAGAACAAGCAAUCAGAUUCUUUAUUUCUCAUGAUUUGCAUACCAAGAAUUUUCUUGGUAGGGCCAAGAUUCUUUAUAUCGAAUUUUGAUUUUAAUUUGUAUUUGAUAUCAUCAAUUUCAGAUUUAUUAGCACUGCAAGAAGUAUAUCAUCAACAUAAAGCACAAGAUAAAGAGGGUCUGUAACACCAUUUCCUUUACAAUAAAGACAUGUAUCAUAGUUGCUUCUAUUAAAACCAAGCUUUAAGACAAAUGAAUCAAAUCUUUUGUACUAUUGUAUUGGAGCUUGUUUUAAGCCAUACAAUUUUUUUUUUCAACAAACACACAGUUUUAUUAGGAUUUCCUUUAAUAAAUCCUAUGGUUGUUUCAUGUAAAUCACUUCAUCCAAUUCACCAUAAAAAAUGCAGUUUUAACAUCCAGUUGAUCAAAUUUCCACUUAAAUUGCACGACCAAAGCAAGAAUGCAUCUUAUUGUAGUACAUUUAACUAUGGGGGAAAAAUCUCAUCAUAGUUCACACCCUCUUUUUGUGUGAAACCCUUGGUAACAAGUCUAGCUUUGUAUCUAACCUUAUUAGUAUCCUCUUCCUCUUCCCCUUCUUUUAUUUUAUAAAUUCAUUUACAAUCAACUAGUUUCUGAUCCUUUGGUUUAUCAAUUGAUUCCCUUGUCUUAUUUUUGUACAAAGAAGCCAUUUCUUCUUCCAUAGCAGCCAACCACCUUUUAGAGUCUUCAGAUUUUAAGGCUUCAUUAUAUGAACUAGUUCAUAUCCUUUUUCUUCCUGGUAAGUGAAUAAAGACACAAAGUCAUCACUAUUAAACCUUGUAGAUGAUCUAAUUUGUCUCCUAUCCUUAUCUCUUGUGAGCUGGUAUUUAUCCAGUGUUACAUAUGUGUUAUCAUAUUGCUUAGGUUUUGCCAAAUCAAGCUCAUUUUCAUUCAGGUCGGCCUUAAUAGUUUCAGUUUCUAAGGGGACAAACUAUUAUUAUUAAUUUUAACAGGCUCCACCUCAAUUUGGACAUAAUUUUUCGUUAAAUUCCCUUUCUUUCCUUCCAAACAUGGCAUACGUGACUCAUUAAAGGCCACAUCCCUUCAAAUGAUAACCCUAUAACCUUUUCCCCAUAAACCCACAGCCUAUACCUUUUAAUAUUUUCAGCAUAGCCCAAAAAUACACACGUCAGUGAUCUAGAUUCAAGUUUCCCUAUGUUUUGAUUUGCAUAUGCAGCACAACCAAAAGUUUUCAAAUAAGAGUAUACAAUAGGCUUUUAUGUCCACAUAGAUUCAGGCAUAUCAAAAUUUAAAGCGCUUGUAGGACUUCUACUAAUCAAAUAUGUAGCAGUUUUAACAGUCUCACCCCAAAAUAAUUUGGGUACGCUUGUACUUAAAAGCAUGCAUCUAACCUUAUUCAAUAAAGUCCUAUUCAUUCUUUCUGCAAUUCAAUUUUGCUGGGGUGUAUGUGUUAAGAGUUCUAUGUCUUCAAAUGCCAUGCAAUUUGCAAAAAAUCAAUAAACUCAUAAUUGCAAAAUUCUAGGCCAUUGUUUGUUCUUAAAGUCUUAAUUUUCAAAUCAGUUUGAUUUUCAAUUUGGAUUUUUCAAUCUUUAAAUGUAGUAAAUGUUUCACCUUUAGUUUUCAGCAACAAAAUCCAAAUUUUCCUUAAAAAUCAUCAACAAUCAACAAGUAAUACUUGUAACCAGACAAUAUAGGUGUGGAUGAAGGGCCCCACAAAGCAAAAUGUAUAAACUCUAGAAUUUGCUUUGAUUUUUGAGUUCUAGUGGGAAAGGGAAACUUAACUUGUUUUCCAAUCAAACAUCGUUCACAAGUAAGUAAUUCACCAAUAUUUGAUUUUCCAAAUGCACCUUUAUUUUGAAGAGCCUUUAGACCUUUCAUCCCAAUGUGACCAAGUCUACAAUGCCAUAAUUUUGCCAGGUUAAAUUCAUUAUCUAAAGCUGCUAUAGAUAGACCCAUUAAAGAUUUUGCGUUUAGAAAAUAUAAACCAUGUCUCUUUGGGAUAGAAAUGAUCAAGUCACUAUAAAGAUUUAAUAUGUCCUUGACCCAAUUUAAUGUCAAACUCCAUACCAUCAAGCAUCCCUAGAGACACAAAGUUCUUUUCUAAUUCAGAAACAAAUCUAGCAUUCUUUAACAGUAAAACUUUGCCAUUUUCUAAAAGCAUUUUUAUUGUUCCAAUCCCUUUUACUUUACAAGUCAUGAUGUUUUCCAUGAUAACUUGACCUCCUUUAAUUUAUUCAAAAUUCAAAAAAUAGUUUUUGUUUGGACACAUGUGGAAAGAGCAGCCUCAGUCAAGAAUCUAUUUUUGAUUCAUGUUUCUUUCAACAUUUACAAGAACUAGGCCAUUGUUCAUUUGUUGCUUAUCAUAGGACAUAACAGCAUUAUCGUCACUUGACUCCUUUUCUUUUAAAUCAUUUUGCUUUUUAUAUUAGUCUUUAGAAAAGUGACCCAACCUACUACAAUAAUAGCACUUCUUUCCCUUGGCCUUAUUUUUAUAUUUCAUUUUAUCAUUGUUCUUUCUUCUAGGGUCAAUGGGAAAUUUUGAAUGAAAAUUAGAUUUACCAACAUUUUUGCCUUUUAUAAAAGGAUUUUCUCCAUUUUGAUUGUUAAUAGAAUCUAAUUUGAGUUCAAGAACCUUAUUUCUUAAGGCAUUUAUAAUGAUAUUAGUUGUAAGCUUAUUUCUACCAUAUUCAAGGGCAUUCUUGAGGUCUCUAUGUCUAUCAAUAAUGGAGUUUAACAAGAUCACAACCAAUUGAUCAUUUGAUGAUUUUCAUCACAGUUGGCAAGGUCCUGGGUCAAUUUUGUAAAUCUGUCUAGGUUUUCAUCCAAUUCAACAGAAGAGUCCAUUUUAAAAGAAAAGAACUGUUUAGGUAAAAAAAUUUAUUUAGGACAGUCUUUGGCUCAUAUUGAGCCUUUAAUUUGGUUCACAAUUUUUCAGCAGUUUUAGUUUUUCCUAUACACCUGAUCACAUCGUUUGAAAAGUACGAGAAAAUAGUACUCCAAGCUAUUUAUUCUAACUUAAUUCUUUUAGACACAGACAUUUCUACAGGCCAAGAAUUGUCUAAGGCUCUAGCACAUUUUAACUGCAUUAAGAUAGCUUUCAUCUUUUGGCUCCACAUAUUAAAGUCCCUCCCUUCCACCAUACAUAUUCACUUCAAACUUAGCAGUGGCCAUUACAAGAUACCCCAAGAUAAUACACAGAGAGAUACACAAUAAGUGGACAACAUGCAGAUAGGGGAUUGGGGCCAACAGUGAUGCACUUAUACUAAUUUUUUCAAAUAGUGAACACACAACACCAAUUAUAAGGGCAGGAUCACAUAACAGAGAUAGCAAUUCCUAUGUCUCAACUGACUUCUCCGGCAAGACCUUCCAUUUGCACUCCUCACUGUGUUGUUUUCUCAGAUUCCCAAGACUUUUUAGAGUCUUUGGACAAAGACCAAUCACAGGAGGGGUUAAGUGCAAGGUAAAUCAAGGGAAAACUUCAGGAGACUCUACAGCAAAGAGAUUACAAGUAGCAGUAUACACGAAAGAUCUCACCAAAGAGUUCAACAGAACUCAAAAUUUCUACAGCCAAUGUUCACUCGAUUUGAAGGUAGGUUUCAAAUCCAAUUUUUCACAAAGAUCAAUUUUCCUUCAGCAGACCAGCCUUUGAUACCAUCGGAAGGUCGAGAAAUACCCAAAUAUUAACCAAGAUUAAAAAAACAAUUAAGUAAAGUGCAGAAAAUAGAAAAAUCAACAUAAGGAUUCUUUCGACCGAAGCCCCAAAGGUUCGGGCGACCACAUCUAACGUCUAAUCCCAUGUUGAGCAUCCAUUAUAAAUGAAUUUAGCUCGGUUGCACUAUAAAGCCAAAAACCGGCAACAAGAAUAUACAAUAUGUUCCAAAAAUUACAAAGAUCGAGCCACUAAGACUUAUCUUAGAAAGAAUGAAGAAUUAGAUCACACUCCUUCAGAAACUCAAAGAAGAUCACUCAAAUCUUUUCAGAAACCCUACUGCUUGCACGAAUCACUUAGAUUCUGGUACAUUAAACUAUAACACAGUACAGUAGCAUAUAGAUCUAGAGUAUUACAAACGUCUCACUAAGAUUUAAUCACUGAAACACUCAAGAACUCAAAACCCUAAUCACGAAGAAUGAGGGAUUCUCACGAAGAGGGAAGGAGAUGAAGAGAUGAAAGCCACCCUAGAAAUUCUCUCAAAGUGUGCAAGUCAAAGAGUCACCGUUAGAAUAUAAAGCAAGAUGCAUCUAGAACUUAAUCAAGCAGUCAUUACUGCGCCACGCAUCACAAUCCGGUUAAAGACCUCCCCUAACAAAGGUGUAAAAUCAGAAACACGCUUUCUUCACAUUUUGAAAGCACGCUUUUAUAAUUAAUGAGAUCAAUGGUUCGAAACUCAACAAACGGAUUUCUCAAAAUCUGAUAACAUCCAUCUCACAUCGUCCCCGAGUUGAAAAACUAUUCCCUUUAUUCCAGUUCGAAUAGCAUAUGCUGAUUUGGAGUCGAAAAGGGCAUCAAUUUUUGGUAAAAGAGACGCCAAAGUAUCAUAUAGGCNUAAUUGAAUAAAUUGAUGAGCAUGAACGUGUUAGAGAAAAAUAAACUUUAUACUAUAUAUUACUAACAAAAUAAACUAUAUAUACUUUAUUCUGGUUUAGUUCGAUUUUAAAUCGUGAUUUUCUUCAUAUAUGAUUUAUUCUGGUUCAGUUAAAUAUUACUAACAAAAUAAACUAUAUACUAACUAUAAUCGCAAUAACUAGAAGAGUUUGCUGAGCUUUUGGGUUUACACAUUGGGACGUGAAGAAGUUUUUGUGUCUGAAAUAUGUAGUACAAACUAUGAAUAAUUAUGGAUUGUGUGCUUUAUCACAUUACAGUAUUUAGUGAGUUAUAGUUCAUCAAACUGCCUAACUUAAAUUAAAAUAGUUAUAAUAUAUUUUGUAGGUGAAUAUUUUAUCGAUUUGAUGAUUCUGAUCCGUGUUCAAUUUGGAUUAUUUUUAGAAUCCUAAUUUUUUUUAUUUGUACUUCUAUUUUUUUAUUAUUAUUAUUUUUAAAUUAUAAGCGGUCUAAUUCAAUUUCAAAUGUGAAAGCUUUAAUUGGUUUAAACAGUACUUGCAAGUUAUCACAUGUUACAUGUGAAUAUGUUCAUAAAACUUAUUUUAGGGAACAAGAAUGAAUCAUUGAAUUGAAAUGGACACGAAUUUUGGGUUAGGUGUCACUAAUUGAUGUUGGCAAUGGGUGAUAUAGCAUAUACUCUUACAAUCAAUCAAGCCAAAGUAAAAUGCUCUUCAUUUUUUUAUUUUAUUAUUAUUAUUUUUUUUUGGGUUCACACCACAUAUUUUGAUAAAUACACUACUUUUAAAUCACAUUAAAAGGUAUUAAGUUCUAUUCAUUAUUACAAUUAUAUUCUUAAAUUUUUUCAUCACAUUCUUAUUUUUAGCACUUUGUUAAUAAAUUUUUUUUGUCCUUAUUCAUGAAUUUUAAGUUCUAUUCAUUAUUACAAGUAUAUUCUUAAAUUUUUUCAUCACAUUCUUAUUUUUAACACUUCGUUGAUAAAAUUUUUUUGUCCUUAAUCAUGAAUUUUUUUGAAAAUAUUAUUAACGUGCUUUAAGAUAAUUAUAAAAUAUUAUUUAGUUUGCAUAUUCAAAAAUACAAUUGAAAAAUGAGACAUUUGACUCUAUCUUAAAAAAAAAAAUUGGAGAGAAACUAUAAUCAGAAACAAAUUAUGUUAAUUUGAGAAUAAGAAUGCGAUGAAAAAAAAUUGAGACAUAAACGUAAUAAUAUGUAAAGGUUAUGAACCUUUUAUGUAAUUAAAAUGUAGGUGAGAAUAUAUUUAGCCUUUUUUAUGUCUCUAUGUUAUAACCAUUAUAGAAAGCUUUUUGUUCUAAUAAAUAUUAACACUUUGUCAACAUUCCGCCUUUCUUUUCCAAAAUUUACUCUAUAAUGGAAUCAAGAGAUAACAAACAAAUGAGGUUAAAAUAAUCGUUUUAUUAAUCACAUUUAUUAUUUUUAUUGCACCUUUAUUACUGUUAUAGCUCGGGAAUUUUUGACAUCUAAUUAUUAGGGUUUGGUAUCUAAAGAAGAGUACCACUUUUGUUGAUAUUGGUUGUUUUCAAUUAUUUAAUAAUAUUUUGUAGAGUUUCUCCAAAUCGUUUAAUCCAAUUUGAUGUUCCAUGUGAAUCAACGAAAUUGAAUCCCUGCUCUCUAAGUUGGAUCACUUUAUCAUUUCUCUCCAAAGAUAAAUGCUAAAAGUACAAUUUUUUUUUUUAACAAAUUUUAUAUAGGAAAUACAGCUGUCUCACAAGAAAAUCAGCUAUCUUCCUAUAUAAAAUCCGGUAAAAAAAUCUGUACUCGUAGAAUAAUUCCUCUCCAACUGCACAUAAAAAAAUAAAAAAAUAAAAACGGAAGGAAAGGAAUAAUAAUUUAAGAAAGAAGUUAAUAUGGGAACAAAUAAGUUUUGACGUUAAGCUCUAACUUAUAAAUAUUGUAGUAAGUACAUCUCCAAGAACUUUAUUCCUUUUAUUAUUAUUAUUUUUUUUUUAAACAAAUAUUCCUCCAAGCUUUAUUAUUUUUUUUUCUGCAAACAUGUCUACAACCUUUCGAUUUUGUAACAAACUUGCACCAUAAUGAAUUGUUUUUUCUCAUCAUUAUUGCCCUUGAAGUUAAACAGACAUUUAACUCUCACACGACUUGCUAUUCGAUGUUAAAAUAUAUAAUAUUGUUAAAUUUAAAGAACAACCAAGUAAUAAUAAAAAAAAAAAAAGGAAAGAAAAAAAAUUCUAUUUGCCGACUCAAUAUAAAAAUUUACAUGCAUAUUAAAUAAGAUUAACAAACUAUACCUUCUAUAUCACAUUGUGUAACAUUUUACGUACUUUAAAGUAUUAUAAAUUUUUUUUUAUUUUUUUCAAUGACGGGGGAACCUGCAGCCGCUACCUUUCACGUGUGCACUGGGUAAACCCUCGAGUUGACGCAAUAGCUUGCAAACCACACCAGUCAGGUAAAUCGUACUAGCCAAGCCCUGUGCGACAGGUUCAAACGAGAAAGUGUUGGUAUUAUAAAUUGUUAGAAGCUAUUAUGUUCCAUAAAGCGCUCUUUAUGAUAUGGUAAUCUAUUAUGAGAUUUGUAUAAUUUUACUAUCUUCAACUCUUUGAACUCCAAAAAUAAUAAAUAAACUUUUAUGAACUAAUAAGGUAUUAAAAAUAUGGACAACAUUUCACUUGAUGUGUUUGCCAACAUCGCAAACAGACAAACGAGAAUUCUUAGUUGUCGAUUUUCUAAGUGAAUUUUUUUCAAAGAAAAAUAAAUUUAAAAAAUAUAAUAAUUUUUACAUAAGUUAUUAUUGUUCAACUUAAAGUUAAUAUAUAAUUACCUAUAAUAGGGAUUUAUUAGCAUUAUAUUAUUUUUAGCAGAUUACAAAAAGCUCCCUGAGGUUUAUGAAAAUUAGAGAGACACUUCCUCCAUUUUAAAAAUUUACACAAACCUUCCUUAUUUUAUGUUUUAAAUAAUGCAUACAUCCCAUUUAAGUUUGUGACAAUUUUAGAGACAUCUCUAAAAAAAUUGCACUAAUAUCUCUUAUUUCAAAUUUUAAAUAACACAUAACUCCACGGGGCAAUCUCUCUAGUUCCGAAAUUACACAAGCCUCCUUUAUUUUAAGAUUUGAAUAACACAUACCUCAUCUAAUCACUUUUCUUUUACAUAUUAGUAUAUAUCAUAGUUGUAAUGCUUAAAAUAUCCUAAUGAAUUUCUUCCAUCUUGUGGCCCAUUUAACAAUAAUUUAACAUUCAAAAUACAAUUUUAACUCUUCUAAUUAUAUCAUCAACAGGUAUUAUCUAGACUAUCAAUUCUUAAAAAAUAGAUCAAUAGAUACUUUAAUUUAAGAUAAUCAAAUAUAUUUACACAUGACGAAGUGAUGAGCACAAUCAAGAUAGUAUCCAAAUAAAAAUAGUAAUAGAUAUUUCAUUUUGCCUAUAAAUCAUCCUCUAUUUACAAAAUAUAACAAAAUACUUCAGAAAUAAGUUAUAUGUAGCAUUUAUUUAAACUCCACUUGAUUGAUCAUUAAAAAACUUCAUUUUUUUACUCUCUAUUAAAGUAAAAGUAUUUAAAAAAGUGAUAUAUGUACAAAGUUAUAAAUAUUUGAAAAAUGUAAUCAUGUUAUUAACUUUUGUUAGAUUUUGAGUUGGCAAUUUUGUGAAUAAAAGGGCCAAUCUGUCAAUGUUCAAAAGUUUGGGCUCAAUUUGUCAGUGUUUAAAAGUUAGGGGUUAAUUUGUACAUAUGUAAAAGAUGAGGGACUUAGUUUCAAUUUUGUCAAAUUAUGUUAGGGCUUGAGUUGUGAAGUAGGUUAAGAAGUGUCGUUGAAGUUUCGCUAGCUGCUCGCUAGGUGGUCCCUCGAGCGUUAAAAGCAGAGUCUCUCGCUCGCUUUUCUCCCCGGUCUCACUCGAGCGAAAUAGGGUCGCUAGCUUUUCGCUCGAGCUACAGUGUUACCUGGAGAACUCUAUUUCUUUUUUCGAGAUUUUGACCCGACCCAUAUGACCCAAAACAUCUCAUAUAAAUUUGAUUGCGCCGUUUUUCAGUUGUUUUUCUUGGGGAUUGAACUAGGAGAAAACACUCCACACCUUGAUUCUGUCAUUCGAUCCCAUAUUCUCUUAGUGCAAUCACACAAAAAACAUCAAAUCCACCUUCAUCAAAUGCUACAAUAAAUUCUUCCAGAGCAUCUGUUAAGACUUGAAGAUCAGGGAAAGAGAUCGGGAUUCUGAUCAUUGGGGAAUGAGGAGUUCUUUGAAAUUCAUAGGAGAUAGAUGAAAUCAAGAGCUGAGAAUUGGUGUAAAGCAUGCAAUCUAGGAGGGCUAGGAGCCAGGAGUUGGUGCAGGAUCAUGCAUUCCAGGAGGGCUUUUGAAAACUAUAAUCAGGAGGUCAGAAAAACUAGUGUGGGUUGAGUCUGACGGAUUAUAAGAGAUAUUUUUGUUUGUAGUGGAUUCAUACUAGCUUGGGCCCUGAGUUUUACCCACAUUGGGGUUUCUUCGUCAUCAAACAACCGUAUUCUUUACAUUUAUGCAAUUUACUUGUUUCCGAUAAUUUAAUGUGGGAUAGUAAAGCAUGUGAAUUGAUCUAAACAUAUUAAUACUUGUGACUUGUUGUAUUUAUUAAUUAAUUAAUUAAUAAAUUUCUGCAUAAACACCUAUUCAUCCCCUCUCUAGGUGUUAUUUGGAUCAAACUACAUUAUUUCAAGUGGUUUCAGAGCCAAACCUCGAGUCCUGACCCAUUGUUGUCUAGAUGAGACAAUCAUUGUCCAUGCCUCCGUAUUUUGACGGAAGCAACUAUGCCUACUGGAAGGUUAUGAUGCAUGUUUUUCUUAAGUCCCUAGAUGAACAUGUUUGGGUGAGUGUGCAAAAUGGUUGGAAGCCGCCUUCUACAACUGUGUCUGGUAUUUUUACUCUAAUUGAUAUUUCACUUUGGACUAGGGAAGAAUUAGUUGAUUACAAUUGGAAUAGAAAAGGACUCCAUGCCUUGUUUAUGGCUGUGUCUCUCGAAGAGUUUAGGAGAGUGUCAAUGUGCGAAACUGCUAAGGAGGAGUGGGACAUUCUAGAAACUACUCAUGAGGGAAUAAAACCAUAAAAAAUUCAAAACUACAUUUGCUAGCCUCUAGGUUUGAAGAAAUUAGGAUAAAGGAUGAUGAAUCGUUUAAUAAGUUUUACGCAAAAUUGAAUGGCAUUGUAAACUCUAGCUUCUAGGAGAGAAGAUUCCCAAAUCCAAAAUUGUGAGAAAGGUUCUUAGGUCUUUGCCCGAGAGGUUUACACUUAAAGUUACAGCUAUCGAAAAGAGCAAGGACCUGGACACGAUUAAGAUAGAAGAACUCAUAGGAUCCCUUCAAACCUAUGAACUCACCAUUUCACAACUUAAGAAAAACAAGUCCAUAGUGUUGAACACAGUUAAAGAAGAAGAGUAUGAGUUAUUUGCCUUAGAAACCCUUAGAAUAAAGAGAUAGCCUACUUUAUGAAGAAAUUCCAGAAAGCUUUAAAGGGCAAAAGAUAGCCCCAAGAGAAAAAAGAGGAGCCCCUAGUAAAUUCUAGAAAGAUAAGGAUGAUAAACCGACUGCUGGGAACUUUAGUAAAAAACCUCAGGCUGUUAAAUGCCAUAAAUGUCAAGGGUUUGGUCACUAUAGAAAUGAAUGUCCUAGUUUGAAGAAAAAUUUGAAAAAGGGAAAGAGUAAGGUAGCUGUGUCAUUGACUGAUGAUGAAAUAAACUCGAGUGAUCAAAGUGAUUCCUCUAGAAGUGAAGACGAAAAGUGAUGGCUUUUGUAUCCACCGUUAAGAACAAGUCAGAUAAGGAGAAUGAUAAGGUUGAGAAAGAGGUACACAGUGAGAACACUAGUGACGACACUAAGGAUGAGACCGAUAUUCAAGAGGCUUAUCAACUUCUGUUUAAGGAGAGUCCUAAAAUCAAGAAGGUAAAUAAAGUCUUAUUCAAGAAAGUAGACGAACAUGAAAGAGAAAAAGAGAGGCUCACAAGUGAUCUCUAGAAUUCAUCCAAAAAACCUUUGUGAGUUUAAAUGUGUCAAUGAGAAGCUAGAAGACAAGAUUAAGACAUUGACUAAUGAAUUAGAAAAAUCUAAUACUCACCUUCAGUCAUUCAUGAGUGGGACUAAGAAAUUGGAUAACCUGUUAGGAAUGAACAAGCCAACUAGGAAUAGGCAAGGUCUAGGAUUUGUUUAGAGUGAUAAAAACAUGGUUAGUUCAACCAAGACCACAUUCGUGAUCUUGAACUCAAAAGCAAGAGUGUCACAGAACUAAGAGCCACUAGAGCUCGUAAGAUCCUCGCACCUAAAAUUCAGCAUCAAUAGUCACGAUAUCCCUAGUCAGGUUAGCUUUCUUUCAAAUCAGAUUAGUCACUUAACUGAGAUGGUGAAAAAAUUGACUACGAUCACCUCGACCUCUAGAAAAUUUUGGGUCAAGAAAUCUGAUGUAGCUAGGUGUGAUGAGAAUCUAAAUUAUUUUGUAGCUCAUGUUGCAUAUAAGGCUCAAAAUACAUGUAUGUGGUAUCUUGAUAGUGCUUGUUUUGGACACAUGUGUGGAAAUAAGGCCUUGUUCUCUACCUUUAAUGAAUGUAACGGUGGUGUAGUUACCUUUGGGGACGGCGCUUCGACACUUAUCCGUGGUAAAGGUACCAUCAAUAUAUCUGGACUUCCUAUAAUAUCAAAUGUGCUUUAUAUAGAGGGUCUAAAGUCCAAUCUUUUGAGCAUUAGUUAAAUUUGUGAUGCUGAUUACGAAGUGAGUUUUAUCUAAAAGAGAUGUACUGUUUAUAACUCUUCGAGUGGUGUUGUCCUCGAAGGUGUUAGAACUUCUGAUAACUGUUAUGGAGUUCUCCCCAACUCAAAUUAUGUGUGUAGCAGUGCUAAAAUUAAUGUGACCGAACUUUGGCAUCAAAGACUCGGUCAUGUUAACUAUAAAAGUUUGUCAAAACUGGUCAAAAAGAAAACUGUUGAUGGUUUGCCUAAAAUUGAACAAAAUGAGAGUGCUGUGUGUAAACCCCUGUCAACAAGGGAAAUAACUUAGGAUAAAACACAAACAAACCUCUAAAAUCUUGACAAACAGAUACUUAGAACUUCUCCAUAUGGAUUUAAUGGGACCAUCUAGGAUUGAAAGCCUAGGAGGUAAACUUUAUAUUUUUUUUUUGUGGUAGAUGACUUCUCUAGAUACACCUGGAUUGAACUAUUAAGAGAAAAAUCUGAGACAUGUGAUCUGGUUAAAUCCCUAUGUAAAAGACUUAGAAUGGAACAAAAUCUUUCCAUUUCUAGGGUUCUAAUUGAUCAUGAAAAAGAGUAUGAAAACUUUGAUCUUGAAAUCUUCUGUCUGGAGGAUGGGAUUUAGCAUGAGUUCUUCUCACCAAUCACUCCACAGUAAAAUGGGGUUGUUGAGAGGAAAAAUAGAGUGCUCCAGGAAAUGGCUAGGGUCAUCCAUCAUGACAAGGAUCUAGCAAUGUAUUUCUAGAGUGAAGCCAUUAACACUGCUUGCCACAUAAUGAACAGAGUAUACUUGAGAUCGAAAACCGAUAAGACUCCUUAUGAGAUCUAAAAGGGCAAGAAGCCUACAGUCAAAUACUUUCGUGUGUUUGGCAGUAAGUGCUACAUUCUGCGUGAUAGAUAAAACUUAGGCAAAUUUGAUUCCAAGAGUGAUGAAGGGGUUUUUCUAGGAUAUUCUAAGAACGAGUAUACAACUUGCGUACUUAGAUUGUCACGGAGUCCAUAAAUGUUGCUGUUGAUGAUGCCUUCAUUGAGGGGGAGAAGGUGAAAAAUGGGGUAGAUUUAGAUGAUCUAAGUGAUGGUCAAGGAUCUACAAUUGAAGUUAAAGAACAAUCAAUCUCAAAAUCUUCGCGAUCUCGUAAAGGCAUAGACACCUCCGAUAAAGAUCUACCAACUAGUGACCUAUCUAAGAUUUCUAGAGAACCAUCAUCCAGGGUUAAAUCCAAUCAUCCAAAGGUCAACAUCUUUUGGGAUCUAGAUCAGGGUAUGAGGUUACGAAAGAGAGUUUUGAAUAAUCUAACCUAUACAAGCUAUGUAUCCCAGAUUGAACCUAAGAAAGUGGAGGAAGCACUUAGAGAUGAAUGUUGGGUGAAUACAAUGCAUGAAGAACUUAAUCAAUUUGUUUAAAACAAUGUUUGGUAUCUAGUUCCUAGGCCUGAUGAUUGCAAUGUCAUAGGUACUAAGUGGAUUUUCAAGGACAAGACCGAUGACCAGGGUACUAUAAUGAAAAAUAAGGUUAGGCUAGUUGCCCAAGGGUACACUCAGAUUGAAGGGGUAGAUUUUGAUGAGACAUUUGCCUCUGUUGCACGCCUUGAGUCCAUUCGUAUCCUUUUUGCGGUUGCUUAUACUUUAGGGUUCAAGCUAUAUCAAAUAGAUGUCAAGAAUGUCUUCUUAAAUGGAAUACUUCAAGAAGACACAUAUAUUGAAUAGCCUAAAGGAUUCAUCAAUCCUAAGUUUCCUCAUUAUGUCUACAAAUUGAAUAAAGCUUUACAUGGUCUAAAACAAGCUCCUAGAGCUUGGUAUAACAUACUGUAUAUCUCGUUGACCAUACACGAGGUGGUACUGAUAGAACGCUAUUCAUUAUGCAUAUUGAAGAAACCAAAACUAUAGCAUAGAUCUACAUCGAUGACAUUGUGUUUGGCUCUCCCAUUGACUCUCUUGCUCAUGAAUUUGCCAAAUGUAUGAAGCGAGAAUUUGAGAUUAACAUGGUUGAAGAGGUAAGUUACUUCCUUGGUCUUCAAGUGAAACAAAUUAACUAUGGAUUGUUUAUUUCUCAAUCAAAGUAUGCUAAAGAUCUAGUAAAGCGAUUUAGGCUGGAUAGUGAAAAACACACAAGGACACCCAUGAGCACGAGUGUUAAGUUAGGUCAUGAUUUUACAGGUAAGAGUGUUGAUUAGACAUUGUACAGGAGUAUGAUAGGUAGCUUACUCUAUCUUACAGCUAGUAGACCCGACAUAGGAUUCAGUGUUGGUGUGUGUGUGAGAUUUCAGGCAAAUCCUAAGGCAUCCCAUCUGAAUGCAGUGAGGCGUAUCAUUAGGUAUGUGAAUGGGAUUGUAGAUCAUGGGAUCUUGUAUUCCAAAGAGUCUAAUCUUGAUCUAGUCGGCUAUUCUGAUGUCGACUGGGCUAGAAAUACCGAUGACAGAAAGAGUAUCUCGAGUGGAUGUUUCUAUGUUGGUUCUAAUCUUGUGUCAUGGAUGAGUAAGAAACAAAACUCAGUCUCUAUGUCUACAACCUAGAUAUAAUACAUUGCAGUAGGUAGUUGUUGCACUCAAUUGCUUUGGAUGAAGCAAAGUCUGAGUGAUUAUGGGAUAAAAUAGGGUACCAUGACUGUGCUUAGUGAUAACAACAGUACUAUCAACAUCUCUAAAAAUUCUGUUCAGUAUUCUAGGACCAAACAUAUUGACAUUCGACAUCACUUUAUUUGAGAGCUAGUUGAGUCCAAUGUGGUAUCCCUAGAACAUGUCUCUGCUGAAAAUCAACUUGCCGAUCUGUUCACUAAACCUCUAGAUGGUCUGAGGUUCGAGUCACUUAGAAAGGCUGUCGGCAUUUGUGUCCCUCAUUGAUCACCUUCAUAGGUGCAUCAAUGUCUAGUUCAUAUCAAUUAUUCAUUUCUACAUUCAUUGUAUUGCAUGGUAUCAUUUUGCAUCUGUCUCUCAUUUUGCAUGCUUUAUUUCUUCAUAUAAAAAAAAAAAAAAUUGGGGGUGGUAUUUCCUUGUCACUAUAGCAUUGUAUUUCCUUGUCACUAUAGCAUUGUAGUUGUUGACUUGAAUUUACAGCUUGUAAUCAAAUAUGCAUUCCACAUAUGGUUAGCUCUAAUUCCCAUCACUUAAAUUGAGUUUGUAUGGAGUACUUGGUAUAUGUUCCUUUGCACAGCACACGCUUGGACCCUGUGAAUGAGUCUUGAUCGCAUGUGUGAGAUUUGGGAUGACUCUCAUUUGUUGGUGAGUUGGCCUUGAGAUUGAGUUGACCUUGAGAUUGGAUUGAUCUUGGACAAGAUGACCUAUAUUCUGGUGUUUUCCAAGUCAUACCAGAAAAAUAUUAUUUAUUGAAUUACAUCUUACGCCCGUCUUCAUAGCCGGGUUGACUCGAGCAAUUAUGUCUGAGAGAUUUUCAUAACCUAGUGCCCUAAAGCCAACUGCUUUGGGAGUCACUGGCCUAAAGCUCAUUACGGGGUCUUCCUAAUAGUUUAAUGGAGAUGGACUUGCACAUAAGAUUAAAAAAUAAAAAUUGGGUGCUUGGUCACAAGGGGAGAAUUAAAACUAUACACCAUGUUUCAGUGAAUUAUAGGUCCUAGUGGCAUUGGAUUUGAUUUUCAUACAUCUGGGAAUAGACUCAUUCUGUAGUGAUUUAGCUAUCCCUUCUCACAAACUUAAGGUUUUGAGUCUUGCUUGCAUGGAAUUAGUGGCACUUUUCACAUGUGGAUCAUGUAUACAAUUUACUCCAUCCGAGCUUGAUCCCUGUGUGUGGGGAAGCAUUUCUAAUCAUUGUGCAUGCCAUAUUUGUGAUCAAUUGCACUUUUGGGUGCAAAUAAAUGCUGUAGUGCGUGCCUUAGUAGUCAUUUUUUUUAAAAGGGUGCGAAAAUUCAAAGUUUUUAAAAUGGUGCUAAAUUUCAGAAUUCUCAAAAUAAUGCUUCUUUUCUGACACUUCAUGCAUUGGUGCUAUUUUUGUCAUUUUCAUGUCGCUCAAAUCUCGCAGGAUCCUCGCUUGAGCGAUAAUAACAGAUUCACUCUCGUUUGCUUCUCGCUUGAGUGUCGCUCGAGCGACAAUAGGGCUUUUUGUUUUCUUGCGUACGCCUUAAACUUCAUUUUUUUUAUUCUUCGUCCAUUUCUUCUCUCAUUUUCCCCUCACCCACUCUCUAAGACGUAUAUCCAGUGCAUUUUUGGUUGUUUUGAGGAUCAAUUCUUCAAGUUUUGUCGACUUUCACACUUGGAUUUUCAUCAUUUCACGGUAAAUGGCUCGAGAACCCUCAUGUACAAUGUGUUCUCAUUUCUUUUGGAUUUCUUCAUUUUUUUUUGUUUUUCUUGCUCCUUUGUCUUGUGUUUGAUUAGCAUUUUGUUAUGGAUUAAUUUGGGAUCAAUUUUGAUUAAUUCUUUUGGGGAUAUUUUGUUCAUUUUCGUACAGUCUUUGUGUCAUUACUUUUAGUUUUGUGGUUACAUUAGGGUACAUUCAUUUUCAUAGUUUGUUCUGGAGAUGUUGGAGUAUCGCUUGGUGCUUGGUGGGGACUAGGGACUUAGGUUACCGUGGAGAUUUUUCACCUUUUCGUCACGCAUACCACAUGUUCGAUUAAAGUUUUCUUCACUAGUUUGGUCAUUACUUCAACACCUUUCGCACACCACUAUUAUUGUCUCGAUUGCUUAUAGAUCUUCCUGGGUCUUGAUUGCCAUAUCUUCCUUGUCAUGGUGUGUUCAUUUCAUGUAGGCCAUGUCGUGACAUCUUCCCGCCUGCGCCUUGAUGUAUGUCACUUGUGUCGUAUAUCGUGGCAUUUAGUUUUUGUCAUCGCACUUCGUUGCAUAGUUUUAUGCACGUUCCUCUAUUUUGCAUUGUUUUGCAUGAAUAUUGCAUUUUUUGCUUCGUUUUGCGUGCAUUACACUGAGCUGCAUCAUUUUGCACGUCCUUGCAUAUAUUACACUAUUUUGCAUCAUUUUACGUGCCCAACUAGACUUUGGUUUGCUUUGUGUCCCAUUUGUUCAUGCAUGGCCUAUGUCCCUGAUCAGUUGCCACUGUUAUUUCUAUCAUAUGCCAUAUAAGCAUGCAAGGACUGCUGCUCAGCCUACUAGUGGGUCGACAUCCUAUAGCCGCUCUAGGUUUAUAUCCUCCAUAGCUCAGGAAGUGUUCGGGAGUUAGUUUUCCUUGCGCUCAGUCCUAGUCAAGCGUGAGGUCACCCUCUCUAACCUACUGCCCAACCUUACAGCCAUAUUCACCUCCCAGGGUUGGGUGCCCUUGUUGAUAGGUUUGAACUUACCUCCUAGUCUCCUAGUUCGAGAACUUUAUGUGAACAUUCAGCAUGUCAGCAGGUCGUCUUUUAGGGUGUUUCUUAGGGGUCAGGCGAUUAUGAUCACACCUGAUAUUAUCUCUAGCACCAUCCAUGUUCCCUGUGUCAUUCACCCCAUUUUCCCAUAUCUGUCGGCCGACACUCUCCCAACCAACGCUCUUGUCAGGUCCACCUUAUUUAACAGUCAUUUGGAUGGUGGACCGUAGGCGAUCUGCACUGGAUCCCUACUAACCGACCGUCAGAUUCCAUCGUGCAUUGUGUAUAUAAAUCUGUGGCCGAUUUCACACACUUUUUCAUUGCCUAUGGACAAGGCCGGAUUUUUAUAUGCCCAACUGCAUGGUGAUUCCAUUGACCUACCCACCUUCAUCUGUCAGUACAUUUUACGUAACUUCAGGGUACUGGGUUAUAAUAUUGGCUUUCCCUACGCUUGCUUAAUCUACUAUUUGGUGACAUCCCUCGAGGCUUCAUUUCCUUAUGGGGUUUCUCGAUGGGGUCUUUGUCCCAUCGGCCAUACUACAUUCUCCUAGAGUCGAUCACAUGGUGCUUUUUCUUCUCCUGCUCCUGUUGAGCCAGCCACGCCUGUUGACCCGACAGUGCCUGCUGAUCCUAUAGGUGACCUUGUCGCUGAUUUCUCAGCCAUUCCUCCAUCUAAGCCUGAUAUUCCUAUGUCAGCCAAUGAUAUAUAGUCUUCUUCUACUUCUGUUCUACCGCCCACUUCGCCUGCUCUGGCUAUAGCCCCUGUUGACCCCUUCGUGGCUCUCAUGGGUUAGAUGUCUAUUUUAGUUAAGCAGCAGGCUCACAUGAUAGUAGAGCUUACUUAGCUGAGGGCUACAUCCGAGCGCCAUAUUACGUAGUUUGCUACACUACAGGGAGCUAUUGCAUAUGUCCAACGUGGCAUUAGGUGGAUGCUUGAGCAUUGGGACUAUAAGACUGAUGUUGAUGAUUCUGAUGACGUGAACGAUGGAGAUGGUGGUGUUGUUAGAUGCAUUACUUUUGAUAGAUUAAGUUUUUGAUGUUUUCGCAAUAUUGAUGUAUGUUUUUGGUGUUUUGACUUACAUUGAUAUUAUAUUUUAGUCUAGCUUAUUGGUAUGAUAUUGUGAUUGUUAAUGACUGCUUGUCCUUAUUGCUUUAAUUUAUAUUAAUGUUUCUCGUGCUUUUACACUUGGUAUGUGAGUUAUGAUUUUAGGAAACAGGUUGAAAGAGGACAAGACAACAGUUAGUUGAGUCAGUUGUUUUGGGUUAUCAUUGUAGUUCAUGUUGAUACAAUGUUGUUUUGUCACAGAAUGCCAAAGGAAGAGUUUGUAAGAUUUUGAGUUGGCAAUUCUGUAAACAAAAUGGUCAAUCUAUCAAUGUUCAAAAGUUUGGGGUCAAUUAGUUAAUGUUUAAAAGUUUGUGGUUAAUUUAUACAUUUGAAAAAGAUGGGGGACUAAGUUGCAAUUUUGUCAAAAUAUGUUAGGGCUUGAGUUGUGAAUUAGGGUAAGAAGUGUCAUCGAAGUUUCACUAGCUGCUCGCCAAGUGGUUGCUCGAGUGUCAAAAGCAGAGAGUCCAUCGCUUGCUUUUCACUUCUGCCUUGCUUGAGCUAAACAAUGUCGCUCGCUUUUCGCUCGAGCGACAGUGUUACCUGAAGAACCCUAUUUUUCUUUUUUUUUUUCGAGGUUUUGACCCGACUUAUAUGACCCCAAAUAUCUCAUAUAAAUUUGAUUGCGUCGUUUUUCUUGGGGAUUGAACUCGGAGAAAAUAUUCCACACCUUGAUUCUUUCAUUCGAUCCCAGAUUCUGUUAGUGUAAUCACACAAAAAACAUCAAACCCACCUUCAUCAAAUACUACAAUAAAUCCUUCCAGAGCAUUUGGUGAGACUUGAAGAUCAAGGAAGGAGAUCGGGGUUUCGAUAAUUGGAGAACGAGGAGUUCUCUGAAAUUCACAAGAGACAAACGAAAUCAAGAGCCAAGAAUUGGCGUAAAGCACGCAAUCCAGAAAGGCUAGGAGCCAGGAGUUGGUGCAGGAUCACGCAUUCUAGGAAGGCUUUUGGGAAGCUACAAUCAGGAGGUCAGAAAAACUAGUAUGGGUUGAGUCUGACGGAUUGUAAGAGGUAUUUUCGUUUGUAGUAGAUUCGUACUGGUUUGGACCUGAAGUUUUACCCACAUUGGGAUUUCUCCAUCAUCAAACAAUUGUGUUCUUUACAUUUCUGCUAUUUACUUGUUUCCCGUAAUCCAACGUAGGAUAGUAAAGCAUGUGAAUUAAUCUGGACAUAUUAAUCCUUGUGAUUUGUUGGAUUUAUUUAUUAGUUAGUAAAAAUUCUACAAAAACACAUAUUCACCCCCCUCUAGGUGUUAUUUGGAUCUAAUUACAUUAUUCCAACUUUCAAAGAAGAAAGCAUUUCACUCAAAACUAUAAAAUUUCUAAGCACACAUUUAAGAUGAAAUCACAACAAGAAUCUAUCUAUCUUGUGUUCUUGAAUAUAAUUAUUCAAAAUUAAUUAAAUGUUUAAAGUGUUUUUGAAGAAUUUACCGUCUAAACAAUAGUUUUUUGUUGAUAUAGUAGGAAGUGUUUACAUCGUAUUUGAGGUAUUACAUGAUUAUUGUUAUAAGAACAACAAGAUGGAAGAAAGUUGAAAAUGUAUUUCAAGCAUUACCACUAUUAUUCACCCUAAAAUAAUUUUUUUUUUUUAUCUCCAUUAGAAGAGAUCAUCGAUUUAUGUAACAGAUGAUGCGCUAUAAAAUGAUAAGUUCCAUUAAAUGUAAAAAUAUGAAACUCACUUUAUUGGUCUUAUCAUUUAAUGUUACAUUAUAUAGCGAUCAUAUCUAAUAGAGAUAAAUAUCAUUACUCUUUGAGCUAACAUGUAAAAGAAAAGUGGUCAAGAGAGGUUUGCAUUAUUUAAAACUUGAAAUAAAAGACGUAUCUAUAAUUUUCUAAAUUAGAGAGCGUGUCUUUGAAAUUGCUAUAAAAAUUCAAGGAUUUAUACAUUAUUGAAAACUUGAGAUAAAGAAGGUUCAUGAAAAGGAAGUAGGUAUCUAUGAAAUUCUUAUCUGUAAAAAUCUCAUCUUUUCUUUGUGACGUAAUUCUAGAGAUAAUAUUAUGUCUCCCUCUCUCUUGCGAGUAUUGUCUUUGUUUUGAUCUAGUAUGCUCAAACCUCUCUUCUAAGAACAUGUGGAUUUAUAUAUAUAUAUAUAUAAAAGUGAAGUAGAAAUUGAGCAAAUAAGAGGAGGGUUAGAAAGAGAUGGAAACAAAUGGAUUGCAGGUGGUUCCAUUGAUAAUGACUGAUAAGUGCAUUUUUAUGCACUUAUUUAAUUCACAAACAUGACUAAAUUACGAGCAAAGUGUUUGAAUUGUGGCUUAAUUUCGUUUGAUUUGUGCAUCGUAGGCUAUAUUGAUGGACAGGCUGGAAUCCACGAGAAAAGAUUCGAAAAAGGGCCAAAAUGAAGCAAAGUGAAAGUUAAAGGACCAAAGCAUAAAUAUCCAAAAGUUGAACUAAAACACGAAUCGAGAAUGCAUACGAGCUAAUUAUUAACUUAGGGAUAAUGCGGGGUGAUCAGAAGAAGAAAAACAAGAAAAGGAUGAGAACGAAGAAAACGAAAGGCUAGGGACUAAAAUGCAUUGAGUCGAGGGAGUAAUCGAGAAUUUGAUCGAGCCAAGUACCAAUUCGAGGUUAAUAUUGGUCGAUGGAAUGAGAAGAAUGAAGAAGUGAGGUCAAAAUGGAAGAAAAGAAAGUUUAAGGACAAAAAUGAACAUAUUUGAAAAAAAUACUAUGCGACCGCCUGUAAUACUUCUAUUUAGUCGCAUGCAUGGUGAUCGAAAGUUGUUGGGCCAAAAAUUUUACUUCUAUGCGGUCACAUAGUGUUAAAUUGGGGGUCGAAUCUACAGUUCCCUGUUUUUGUUAAAACUCUUUUGGAAUUCGAUUUGGACGCAAUAUAAAGACCUAGACUUAUCAUAUUUUAGGGGAGAACGCAUUAGGAGGCAACAAAACACAUCUUGGAGAAGAUUUAGAGCUAAAGUAAUGAAGGAUUUCUCAAAGAUCAUGAGAUUUCAUGCGAAUUCAUAACCUGGUGUUUUUUAUCUUCAAGAAAUCAUGUGUUCUGUUAUUUUCUCCAUGUUAGGAUAAAUAUUUUUGUACCAGAAGAUCGAUGAACUAUGUGAUGUGAUAUUUGGAUUCUUAGUUUUGCAAUUCGACAUUCAAACACGUGUUUGAUUAUUUGAAUGAUUUAUAUACAUCAAUUUCUUCUAUAAUUAAGUGCACAUAAUUAUGUGAUCUGUGGUGAUUUAUUUCUUACACUCGAGGGAAGGAAAAUAAAUUUGACAAGGUAUAAAUCAUCGUAGGAUCUGACAGGGGAUAGAGAUAUAUCCCUAUGCCUUGCGUGAAUCUUUAAGUGCUCAUAAAAUCACAUGCAUUCUUGUAUAUAUGCAUCUGUUAUAGAGAAUAGGUUCAAUACUGCUUGAGAGAGAGUGUUUGAUAGAUUUAAGAGCAUUGAUUUUUCUAUAAUUUAAUCAUGUUGUCAUAUUGUGAGACUAGGGUUUAAGGUGAUCAUUGCCUGGGAAUUUGUGAUCCUAGUGCAUUUAAUUUUCAUUGAAUAAAAUCAACUUGCGUUCAAAUCAACAUAUUGCAUUACAAUUCCUUGGCGGUCUUUUAAAUUGAACCACUUUAUUACUUGUUAACGAGACGUACACUUGCGGUUUUUAAAUCGAAAGAAUAAUUUUGUGAACAAGUUUUUUGCGCUAUUGUCGGGGAUUGGGUAUUCGUUUAAUUUUAUUUACAUUGGCACUAAUUCAAACAUUAAUAGUUGUAGUUUUAUUUAUUUAUUUAUAUUAUUUCCUUUUAUCUUAUUUUUGUUUUGCUUUGUUUUUUUUGUUAUUUGCUUCCUAAGCACUCUUAUUGAUUUUUCUCGCUGAUUUGCAUGUUAAGGUCUACUGAAGGAGACCUGAUCCUAGCCGAUCUAGAAAUGGAAUGAACUUUACGCCGAAUGUAGCCAGAAAAUAGAGAAGCACAGCAAUAAAUGACUAAUGUACAGAACAAUCUCAUUUUUCAAGUCAAUGAAGGAGGGGCAGCGGAUGAAGGCAAUAUGCUUGUAAGAGAUUUCAUGACCCCUCAGAUAAUUCAGAGCCAGUCGAACAUUGUGUAUCCAUCGUUUGGGUAGCCUAACUUCCAAUUGAAGACCAACGUGAUACAACUGUUUCAAAACGGAUAUCAAUUUUACGAAAGAACUAAAGAGAAUCCACAUAUGCACAUCACUCGCUUUUUGGAGAUGUGCCAACACUUCAGAUAUCAAGGAAUCUUAGACGAUGCAAUCAGAUUAAGGUUGUUCCCACAAGGCAAUCGAAUAGCUAGAUUCGCAAUCAAUCGCCAGCAUCACUACAUGGAAUGAUCUAGCUCAGAAAUUCUACACCAAGUUCUUCCUGCCUGCCAAGAUUGCAAAGCUCAAGCACGACAUAUCUGUUUUCCGACAAGGCGACUAAGAGAACUUUGAUGAAGCUUGGAAUAGAUUCAAAAAUAUGUUGCGAAAGUAUCCACAUCAUGGGAUUAGUAAAGGACUCCAGGUCCAAUACUUUUAUACAGGAUUACUUCCAGCCUUCAAGAGCAUGGUCGGCUCAUCAUCAAACGGAUCACUGCCAUAAAGACAACUGAUGAAGCACUGAAACUAUUCGAGACUAUGGCCACUACAUCAGCUAUGUGACAUCGAAAUGAGCAGUUCUAAGAUGACAUCGAAAGUUUAUGAAGUGGACGUUUAUUUUGCCUUAUCUGCCAAAAUUGACUUAUUAUUUCACAAGGCGAAAAACAUGUCACAAUCAGCUAACGCAACAUAGUCGAAGAAGACCAAUGGUGAGGAAUGUGGAGCUAAGCACAAAAAAUAGAGUACCCAAUCUUAAUGCAAUAAAUUGAGCAGGCAAACUUUGUACAAUGGGGACAACACUAACAAAACAAUUUGUAUGGGAAAACAUACAAUCCCAGUUGGAAGAAGCAUCCCAACUUCUCUUGGAGCAAUUUAAAUUAGAAUAGGCCACAAGGAUAGUUUCAACUGCAAGAGAAGAGGCCUCAAUUGGAAUAGAUGUUAGGGAAAUUCAUGGAGAAAGCCGAAGCCACUCUUCAAAACCAAAAUGCUGCUAUCAAAAAUUAGAAAACUCAGAUGGGACAGAUAGCCAUUGUGUUGACUGACAAAGCACCAGGUAAUUUGCCAAGUAACACAGAAAUCGACCCAGGGACGAUGCUAAGGGCACUACAACUCAAAGUGGGGUGUAGCUACCUGAAAUACAUGUCAAGAGGCCGAGUGUGAAUGGAGAGACAACAUCUUCUCAGAGGAACGGGAUGAACAACCAAAGGAAUCAACCCUAAAGAAAAGUUCAGAGAAAUCACGGGAUAAGACCACAGCUACAGUCAACCCCUACGAACCUCCAAUUCCAUUUUUCCUACAGUUGAAAAAGCAUAAAAUUGAGCAGCAAUAUAAGAAAUUUCUAGAAGUCUUCAAGAAGCUCCACAUCAAUAUCCCUCUCCACAAUGCACUAUUCUAGAUGCCUAGCUAUGCAAAGUUUCUGAAGGACAUACUAUCAAAUAAACGCAAGCUAGAGGACCACGAGACAGUAAUGCUAACAGAGAAGCACAGCGCUAGAAUUCAAAAAAAGCUUCCACCGAAUUGAAAGAUCCAGGGAGUUUUACUGUUCCUUGCACUAUUGGUGAAGUUUACUUUGAUAAAGCCUUAUGUGAUCUUGGUGUAAGUAUUAAUCUAACGCCUCUGUCCAUUUUUAGGAAACUUGGCUUGGGAGAGGCUAAGGUGACUACUGUGACACUACAGCUGGCUAACAAGUCAUUGACACGCCCCAGGUGAAUAAUAGAUGACGUGCUUAUCAAGGUUUAAAAAUUCAUAUUCCCUACAGAUUUCCUUAUCUUGGACAUGGAAGAAGACAAGGACAUUCCUUUGAUACUUGACAGAUCGUUCUUGGCAACCAGGAGAGCUUUAAUUGAUGUUCAGAUAGGGCUAUUGAUUUUAAGAUUGGGGAGGAACGGAAAUCAUUCAAUGUCUUUAAGGCUAUAAAACUUCCUGCAGAAUCAGAUAGCUGUUUCCAAAUUGAUGUCAUUGACAAGGUGGUCAAGGAUACAUUCUUACUUCAUAGCCCAUCUGAUGCUUAUGAGGCAUGUAUUGAACAUUCCCAAUCAACUAAGUUAGAUCCUCUUGAGAUUGAGACAUUUACAAGGUUUUUGGAGACCAACCCACCAUACAUACGAAAAAAGUACUUCGAGGAACUUGAAACAUGAACCACAAAGCCACCACAUUUCAUUCAGCAAUCGCCCGUAUUGGAACUCAAGCAACUGCUGCCACAUAUCAUAUAUGCCUAUUUGGGAUAGUCAUGUACACCCUCGGUGAUUAUUUCAAACACAGUGAGUGAGGUGGAGGAAGAAAAACUACUUAGGGUACUCAAAGAAAAUAAGACGAUGAUUGGGUGCACGAUAGCAGACACUAAAGGGAUCAGCCCUUCACUGUGUAUGCAUAAGAUUCUCAUGGAGGAGAAUUGUAAGCCCAGUGUAGAGGGUCAGAGAAGGCUAAAUCCAAAUAUGAAAGAAGUGGUCAGGGUAGAGGUACUGAAAUUAUUGGAUGUAGGCAUUAUCUACGCAAUUUCAGACAGCGCAUAGAUCAGCCUAGUUCAAGUUGUGCCAAAGAAAUGAGGAAUCACCAUGGUACUAAAUGAGAAGAAUGAGCUAAUUCCCACUAGAACAGUGACGGGAUGGAGUGUUUGCAUAGAUUAUCGUAAACUCAAUACAACUACAAGAAAAGAUCACUUCUCACUCCCAUUUAUUGAUCAGAUGCUGGAGAGAUUAGCAGGACAUUCACACUACUGCUUUCUUGAUGGAUAUUCGGGCUAUAAUCAAAUACCAGUUAUGCCAAAUGAUCAGGAGAAAACUACCUUUACUUGUCCGUAUGACACUUUUGCCUACCGUAGGAUGCCCUUUGAUCUUUACAACGCUCCGGUCACAUCUCAGAUAUGCAUGAUGGCAAUAUUCUCCAAUAUGAUUGAAAUAUUCAUAGAGGUGUUCAUGGACGAUUUCUCAAUUUUUGGGUCUUCAUUUGAUGAAUGAUUAGAGCACCUAAAUUUAGUCUUACAGAGAUGCAAAGAGACUAAUCUGAUUUUGAACUGGGAAAAAUGCCAUUUUAUGGUGCAGGAAGGGAUUGUACUUGGGCAUCGAGUCUCAACUAAAGGAAUUGAGGUGGACAAAGCAAAAAUUCAUGUCAUUGAGAAGCUACUGCUGCCUACAUCAGUUAAAGGGGUUCGUAGUUUCUUGGGACAUGCCGAGUUUUACAUGAGAUUUAUCAAGGAUUUUUCAAAAAUCACUAAGCCACCAUGCAACAUGUUGAUGAAAGAUGUGCCAUUUGAGUUUAAUGAGGAAUGUUCGAUAGCUUUCAACACUUUGAAGGAGAAACUCACGUCAGCACCGAUAAUUGUAGCACCAGAUUGGGAACUGGCUUUUGAACUAAUGUAUGACACCAAUGAUCAUGCCAUGGAUGCAGUAUUGGGAUACCGAAGAAACAAGAUUUUUCAUGUGAUCUACUAUGCAAGCUGAACCCUAAAUAAUGCACAGAUCAACUAUGUUACCACUGAAAAGGAGCUCUUAGCCAUGGUAUAUACAUUCGGCAAAUUUAGGUCAUAUCUUGUGGGGUCUAAGAUCAUCAUCUACACAGAUCACGCUGAACUGAAAUAUCUGAUGACAAAGAAGGAUGCUAAGCCGAGAUUGAUACAUUGGGUACUACCGCUACAAGAAUUUGAUAUUGAAAUUGGGACAAAAAGGACAGUGAAAAUGUGGUAGCUGAUCACUUAUCGUGAUCGGAACUUGAAGAACCAGAAGAGUCAAUGGAUAAUAACGAGAUUUUCCAGAUGAGCAGAUAUUCAGUAUGGAAGAAGCACUGUGGUAUGGAGAUAUUGUUAUAUAUCUGGCUAAGUCCAUCCUACCGCCAGAUUACUCAAGUCACCAGAGGAAAAAUUCUUUGCCGAACUAAAGUACAAUUUUUGGGAAGAUCUUGUUCUCUAUAGGCGAGGGGCUGAUCAUAUUGUGAGAUGUAUACCUGAAGAUGAAGUACCCAAAAUUCUUGAGCAUUGCCAUUCAUUUGCCUAUUCGGGAUACUCUGGAGCUUCAAAGACUGCUACAAAGAUUUUAUAGUCAGGGUUUUAUUAGCCUACAUUGUUCAAAGACGCCUUUAAGUUUGUCAACAGAUGUGAUAGAUGGCAACUCACUAAAAAUAUCUCAAGGAGAAAUGAAAUGCCGCUUAACAAUAUAUUUGAAGUUGAGAUAUUUGACGUCUAGAUAAUCGACUUUAUGGGACCUUUUCCCCCGUCGUUUUCAAAUCAGUAUAUUUUGGUGGCCGUUGACUAUGUAUCUAAAUGGGUAGAAGCAGUUGCAUUGCCAACCAAUGAUGGGAAUGUGGUAAUUGGGUUCUAGAAAAAAUACAUCUUCACUAGAUAUAGCACACCGCGGGUGAUAAUCAGUGAUGGGACAAACACUUCUGCAAUUGCCAAUUUGAACAGUUGUUGAGUAAAUAUGGCGUUAAACACCGUGUAGCUACCUCAUAUCAUCCCCAAACUAGGGGGCAAGUUGAAAUUUCGAAUCGGCAGUUGAAGAGAAUAUUUGAAGUUACAGUCAAUUCAUCCUAAAAGGACCGGUCUAAAAAGCUAGACGAUGCAUUGUGUACAUAUUGAACAACAUUUAAGAUAUCGAUAGGCAUGUCUCCAUACUGCCUAAUUUUUGGGAAAGCGUGCCACCUCCCACUAGAAAUAGAACACUGUGCAUAUUGGGCUAUGAAACAGUUAAAUAUAGAUUUGAAGGUCGUCGGCGAAAAGCCUUUACUGUAGCUUAAUGAGUUCGAUGAAUUCAAGAUAGAAGCAUAUGAAAACUCAAAGCUCUACAAAGAGCGCACCAAAAAGUGGCAUGACUUACACAUUCAGAGGCGAGAGUUUGAAGUGGGCAGGAAGUUCUAUUAUAUAACUCGAGACUCAAGCUCUUCCUUAUAAAAUUAAGGUCAAGAUGGUCAGGUCCUUACAUUGUCAUAAAGGUUUUGCCAUAUGGAGCCAUAGAAAUUAGCCAUGAAACAAAGGGUACCUUCACAAUUAAUGGGCAAAGGUUGAAACACUAUUGAGGCGGUGACUUCUCGAAGAAAAAGUCUACUGUUCAACUCGGAACACCAAAUUGAAGCAGAAGUACGCACUGUAUCAUUUUUAAUUUAUUUUGCUUUUUGCAUUAGCUUAUGACUUUUUCAAUUUCACGUUCACAUUGACGAUGGUUAGGUCAUCGAUCAUCCAUGCAUGUCAAAAUAGUCUAAGCGCUACCCUCACGAAGCCCUAUGCAUCGAGCACGAGUUGGGAUUGAUUUGAGUUGUCUUGGGUGAUUGGGUGUGACAUUCAUGCAUUUCGAGGCACAUAGUCGUUUUUCAAAUUUUUUUUUUUGAGGUAUGGUGUGAAUUCAAUUCAAAAAUUGGUUUUGGCACUAAGUCCAUGGCCGACACAUAUCCCAUGUUGCUUAAAAUAUUUUCAAAAUUUUGUGAGUAUGUGAGAAGUUGGGUUAAUUCAACGAUCGAAAACCACGUUCUGGGAUAUAUUUGAUAAAAGUCAUGUUUGUAGAGUCAAAUGUAUUUUCAAAAAAUUUUUUAGGUGCAUAUUCAUUAUAAAAAAAAAUAAAAAUUAACUUGUCUAUUGCAAGUCUAUGCAACCGCAUAGACUAACAAUAGAUGUGGUCGCAUAGCAAGGCUUAGGUCCUAAAAUGGCAUCAAAGUACUCUAUGUAUAAAAAAAAAUUCUCGCGUUUAAAAAAAAAAAAAAAGACAAACCACACACACACCCAAAACAUGAAAAAUCUCCCUUAUCCAACCCUCACACUCACGACACACACACCCAACACACGCAACUCUACACACACUUAGCAAAAUCUAUUGCACAAAUCACACCAUUAUCUCGCAUUUAAGUUGGUAAGGGUGCCUAAUUCUUCCACAUUCAUACCAAAUCUCAAGGUAAAUCUUCCAAAUCCUAAUCUAUCAAAUUCAUUUUGAAGUUAUUAGGUUUUAAUGUUUUUGGACGUUGAUUGAUUAUGAGGGUACAUGAUUGUGAAUGUGAUUUGAGUAUAUUGUGAUUGAGGGGAUUGAAGCUAUACAUAUGCAUUGUCAAAAUAGAAAGAAAACACCAUUCACGCAACGAGCUCAAUGAAAUGCCUAAGUGAUGAAUUUUAUGCAAUUUUGUAAACUUUGCUUUUGUGGUGCACGACAAUUGAGUUGAGUUGCAUUUGGUGACAAGAUAUCACAGCAAAGGCAUUAGAAAACACAAAACCCCGAAUCGCACACACGUAGGCAUGUCAUGGCUAGGUUACGGCACCCUACGUUACCCACUUGGCCCCUUCAUUUACCUAAACAAAUGACCUCCUAUCAACUUGAAAUUUGAAUAUGUGUUAGAGUACAUUGAAUACUUCCAUACAUCUGGAGAUCUCCUAAGAAAAUUUCGAUAUUUCUCGAUGAUUCCAAGGGUUAAAGUCCUCAUUUGGUCAUGGGUCAAAAUUUUAUAAAGUGCAUGUUCGGGCCUAAUUUUGUUGAUUUUUCUUAUUUUUGCAAUAUUGAUACUAUCUUGAACUUAAUUUCUUGAAUAUUGCACACCAACAUGUUAUACAUGCGUCUUGAAGCAAAGUUUGGGAGGGGGGUUUGCGCUUCGUGUUUGAUAUUCCAUGCUUUCUUGCUACCCUAUUAUACUUGAUGGUCUAAAUUGAAAUGGGUAUGUGUUGCAAGAUGCCGCCAAAAGGAACUUCGAAAGAGAAGGAAAAUGUUGGAUCAUCAUCUGGGACAGCAUGUACUAGAGAGCUUGAUGGGGGCAUAUGGAGAUUCCUAGAUCCUGAGGCUGCAGCUGGCUAUGCAAACAUCGUAAGUCGGUGGGCAAUGAUUCCAGAGCAGCAAGUGAAGUUAGAUGACUUUCCCGAUUUUGAACUGGUUACCUUGGUCGAAAAUUAUAGAUGAGAGAAAAUAGUGGAGCGAUCGUACCCCGUAUAUGAAAGUUUGGUUGGAGAGUUUUAUACAAAUCUCAAUGCAGAGAUUGACACACCAGGCUCUGACCAUCUGUAUUAGAUGUGGGUUAGGGGAUAGUGGAUCAUGUUUUCACUAUAAGUUAUCCAUGACUUUUAUCAGCUCACUUGGAACAACAUUACCCCCAUCCUAGGCGAGUUCAAUUGGAAUGAAGUGGCAGAGAUCUUAUUGGGGCGAGAGAAUGCUUGGCCACUCCCAACCACUGAAUGGCACCAAAUUGAACUGACACCACCUAUAGCCAUCUUGUGGCUGUUUAUGUGCCAUAAUGUUGAGCCGACCUCGCAUGGAACAACAUUUACAGAUCCCAGGACUAGUUUCAUAUAUCGUUUGGUUCGGGAAAACAAGAUCGAUCUUGCCACACUUUGCUAUGACCAGGUACAUAAUGUGGGUACUUAGGGAGACAGGCACAGUUCUCUAAUUUUCCCUAGCCUCAUCAGCGAAAUUUGUAGGGCCGCAAGUAUUACCAUCCUAUCAGGGAAAGUACCUAAGAAGCUUAGCCCUUUCAUCAAGCGUACUACACUAGAAGCUUAGGACAGAGUCAGGAUAAAGCACUGGGAGAAAGAUAGAAAAUGAGAACCGUAGGCAGCAAUAGGCCACGGCAGGACAAGUAGCUGAAGAUAUAGAGAUGCCACAAGCUCCUCCACCACUUGUUGAUGUGGACACACAGUUGUUGAGACAGAUCUUCAUCACCAUGACAUAUUCCAGUAGAGAUAUACAGAGCCUUCAGCAGGCAUUUGGAGCCAUGACCACCGAUGUAUAUAAGAUACAAAAUGAUAUCUUCACCUCCAGAAAUUUCACAAUAGACGCCAGGAACGAAGCCCAAGCAGCGAAAAGAGAGGUUGACGCCAUAAAUAGUCGGUUGAAUAUGUAUGUGGGCCAGGUGGAUGGUAUACAGCUGAGGUUUAAUGAGACAUGGGAUCGAGUACGUAGUAUAGAGGCAAAGGCUAGGGAACAGAGUAAUAUGAUGAGAGAUAUGCAGACCUAGCGGUCAGAACUAUUAAUGUAGAUCUUGUUCCAUCUCUCUUCACCACCAGGAGAUGACACUGCAAGACCCAGUUUUCAGUCACCACCACCACAGUGAUCUAAGGAGUCCUGUUUAACCCAUUUUGUUACUUCAAUUUGUACUUGUCCUUUAAAUUCUAGCAUUUAAACUUCCACUUUUCACAUUGAGGACAAUAUAAUGUAUAAAUUUGGGAUAGUGGCAUAUUUUGAACUAAACAAUCGGCAUGGAAUCUAUUUUGAAUUUCUAUCAAUCCAUCAAUACCUUUGUUUAAUGGUUGCAUAUUGUGUGCUUGAAGAGUGAUUAUUAGAUUCUAUUCAAUAUGCUGUACUACAUUCCUUACAUGAUUGUGUGGGCUUGAUAGCCUUACCGGCUAUGAUAUGACCAUUGGACUAGUAUAAUUUAGAAAUUAUAGAUAUGGUGCUGAAUAUAUUAACUGACUUGCUGGUGUAGUACAUGACACUCUUUAUGCACGCCACUCAUGAUCUACAUGCUGAGUUAGUGAUUGGUCUUUUUUUUUUUACACUAGCUAGGAGAAGAGUGAUAACCCUCUACAGAAUGAAAUAGUAAACCAUUUUAAGACAGUUUGGGGAUGAUUGAGCAAUUAUAGGGGAACAUUGAGAUAAGUAGGGGCUCCAUGUAUAAAUCUUGUUGUGUCGAUUGCCUAGACAUGUGAGAUGAAGACUAAAUGAAAGUCCCAAAUUCGGGGUUGAUUUUAGAAACCAAAUGUCUAGAAAAAUAAUAAAGUGCAUAAAUCUAAGUUAUGAAAACAUGAUAGCUUUUUCCAUGUCUUUAUGACUCGAGCAAGUAAGCCUGUAAGAAUACUUCGAAUUUGGUGCCCUAAAGCCAACUGGUCUAGAAGUCACCGAUCAAAAGUUCGUUACACGGGUUAUAUAGAAAACAAAUGAGAAGGUGGUACAACAACAAAAAAAUAAAAAUAAAAAUAAAAAUUUUGUAUUAAAAUGAAUAACUAAAGACAGGAUAGAUUGGAUAAAGCCCUUGGACAUUUGAUUGAUAAAAUUACACCGUUGAGGCGAGACAAGUAACCUAGUUUAAUCUUAAGUGUUAAAGCAAACAAGUCUAGGAGAGCCUUAAUUUUUUGACAUGUGAAUUUGUGAUAGCAAGAUCUAUCCAAACAAAGAGAGGGUAAGGAAUACAGUUACGAGAACCUUAACUUUAAAACACAACCCCUGGAUAAUUAGGUGAAAAGAAUAAGCUUGAGAGGUUGUGUAUCUCUGGAGCGAAGUGAGGACAUAAUUGACUACUCUGGGUUGGGACUAACUCCAUCAUGAACUUGAUAUGUUGGCAUGACUUCACACACACACGUCAAGUAUGCACUUAACAGGUAAAUGUUGAUUUCAUUCAUGCACUAUUGAAACUUUUUCUAAUGAUAAAUACUUAGUUCCGAUCCCGAGACAUGGCAGGUUAUUAAGCCAUGUUUGUUUAGAAUUAAGUCACUAUUUUGUUUGAGAACAAACAAUAGUUUAAGUUUGGAGGGGUUUGAUAAGUACGUUUUUAUGUACUUAUUUAAUUCACAAACAUGACUCAAUUACGAGCAAAGUAUUUGAAUUGUGGUUUCAUUUCAUUUUGAUUUGUGUAACGUAGGCUAUAUUGAUAGACAUGCUGGAAUCGACGAGAAAAGAUUCGAAAAAGGGCAAAAAAAAAAAAAAAGCAAAGUGAAAGUACCAAAGCGCACAUACCCAAAAGUUGAAUUAAAAGGCGAAUCGAGAAUGCAAACAAGCUACCAACUCGAGGAUAAUGUGGGAUGAUAAGAAGAAUAAAGACAAGAAAAAUGACAAGAACAAAUAAAAACGAAAGUCUAGGGAUGUAAUUAUCCAAAAGAUGAACCGAGGGAGUAAUUGAGGAUUCGAUCGAGCCAAGUACCAAUUGAAAGUUAAUAUUGGUCGAUGGAAUGAGAAGAAUGAAGAAACGAGGUCAAAAGGGAAGAAAAGAAAGUUUAAGGACCAAAAUGAACAACUUUGGAAAAAGUACUACUAUGCGACUACAAGUAAUAGUUCCAUGCACUCGCAUGCAUGGUGACCAAAGCUUAUUGGGCCAAAAAAUUUACUUCUAUGCGGUCGCAUAGUGUUAAAUCUGGGGCCAAAUCUGUAGUUUCCUGUUUUCGUUAAAACUCUUUUAGAAUUCGAUUUGAAAGCGAUAUAAAGACCUCGACUCGUCAUAUUUCAGGGGAGAACACAUUAGGAGGUAACAAGACACAUCUUGGAGAAGAUUUUGAGCAAAAGUAAUGAAGGUUUUCACAAAGAUCAUCGAGAUUUCACGCGAAUUCAUAACCGGGUGAUGUUUUAUCUUCAAGAAAUCACGUAUUCUGUUAUUUUCUUCAUGGCUAAAUAUUUUUGUACUAGGAGAUUGAUAAACUAUGUGAUGUGAUCUUUGAAUUCUUAGUUUUACAAUUCGACAUUAAAACAUGCAUUUGAUUAUUUGAAUGAUUUAUAUACAUUAAUUUCCUCCAUAAUUAAGUGUAGGUAAUUAUGUGAUGUGUGGUGAUUUAUUUCUUGCAUUCGAGAGAAGAGAAAUAAAUUUGACAAGGUAUAAAUCUUCGCAGGGUCCAAUAAGGGAUAGAGAUAUAACCCUAUACUUUGCGUGAAUUUUUAAGUGCUUAUAAAAUCACAUGCAUUCUUGUAUAUAUGCAUCCGUCAUAGAAAUAUAGGCCAGUGAUAUAUGAGAAUAGGUUCAAUACCGCCUGAAAUAGAGUGUUGGAUAGAUUUAGGAGUAUUGAUUCUUUAAUAAUUUAAUUGUGUUGUCAUAUUAUGAAACUAGGGUUUAAGGUGAUCAUGACAUGAGAAUUCGUGAUUCUAGUGUGUUUAAUUCUUAUUGAAUAAAAUCAACUUGCGUUCCAACCAUCAUAUUGCAUUCCAAUUCAUUUAAAUACAUCGUUUUGCAUUUUUAAUUUAUUCAACUAUCACUUUUGCGAAAUUAGGUUUUUCUGUAAUUAGGGUUUUUCUAAAUUAGGGAUUCUUAGGUUAAAAAUUCACUUUGAAUAAAUUGGUUUCGGUUAAGGCUAUGUUAGAUAAAAUUGAACUAGUCAAUCUCUAUGGGAUGACAUUCGGACUCAAUUGAACCACUUUAUUAUUUAUUAACGAACUGUACACUUGCGGUGUUUUAAAUCGAAAGAAUAAUUUCGUGAACAAUGACUCUUGACGUUACUUUUUUGGGCAUAAAAUGGCAACCUCAUACUUCAUUUUCAGAGCAUUAUAUUAAUUUUCGACCAAAAAAAUGAAAAAGGAAAGAAAUUGUUGUCAUCCUAUUAUCAAGGAAAAUGAGAAAAUGUAGUGGGUUACCAAUUUGCUGUAAAAAUAAAUAUUAUAUAAAUUUCAUUAGAAUAAUAUAAUUAUUUUUUUAAUAUUCACGUGUCAAUAAAUUUGUAUCAUUUCACGUCUGUUAUCUGCAGUAAAUUUGAAGAUUCAGUUUAGAAAAAUACAAUUACAAUUUUCAUAUCUCUUUGAACAAGUUAAAUAAGUAGGGGACGCCACUGCAAUUUAUCUUGUUAACAAUCAAAGAAGAAAUUUGUAUAUAAACUUAUCUCUUUUGAGACAUAACAGUCGAAUAAAAAUUGUCAUGUAACCCAAAUCGAUUUGUAAAAUCGAUCAACUCAAAAGAUCUAGGAUAUAUUUCUAUUGCCAACAAGCUUUUAUAGCAAAGAAAGAAGAAUUUUAAUCAUAUGUAUGAAUAUUCGUAUAUCAAUGGACUGAAAAUGAUAUAGUAUUAAGACAAGUAUGAAGUGUGUGCAUAAAGAAUGUAAUUUGAAAAUUGUUGUUGGUAUUACGGUUUUUCCAAAAAUACAAAAUUUACGAAGAAAUAAUCUCGAAUUAUAUAUUAAAGUUUUUUUAAUCUGCAUUUUAUAUUCGUAUUGGGUAAAAUAAAGCAUAGAUAUCUUGUUUUCUAAAAUAAUAAUUAUGUUUGAAUUACCAAAUAUAUCACAAUCAACAAACGAGCCUCACUUAAAUAAUUUUGUCAAAUUUGACUACUUGAAACUCUAAAACCAUCCCAAACAGUACUUGAAAAUUCCAAAAUUCUCCACUCAUGUCUUAUUAAUGCCUAGAUAAGAUACUUUUGUACAAUAAUUAUGUGUGUAUUUAUUUACCAAAGUAAAAAAAUAUUCAUAAUAUGAUCUUGAUUUAUACACGAGAUUGUGUUUAACUCUAGAACUAUCACAAUCGACAAACAAGUCACACUUAUUCUUUGAAUCAUUUGACUAUUUGCAAUUCUAAAACCAUUCCAAACACUUGAGAAUCUCAAUAAUGUCUUAUAAAUCAAUGCAAUGUAAACCAUCAAACAUUUAAUCUUCUAUAAAUUAGUGUGAUUGUAUAUUAUUUCAACUUUGUUUUACGAAACAUAUAAAUUUUUCUUGCUAGUUCCUUGUCGAGAAAGGUACAAGCUAAGGACACGUUGGUACAACCGCAAAAGAAAGACGUAUAAACCCUUUUUUCGUGUAAAUAAUAUGAUAAAAGAGAUAAAGAACCAUCAAUUAGAAGGGAUAAACUAUUUUAUAAUAUUAUUUAUAUAAAUUGAAUAAAUGAAAGCCAACUGUAGGGUGCACGUAUAGGACAACUGCGUCAAGGUCCUCCGCUUAUUUUAUACAUUUGUUUAUAUAUAGUUUUGUGAUGUAAAAUGUUUUCUUUUUGUUAGUACAUUGUUGAGACACUUUCAAAAAUACAGUGCCACGACCACAAACGAACAGACAUAAAUUAUUUCAUUAGUUGGCUUCAUAGGAAAUAAAUAGAAUUUUCUAUUCGUACCUCGACUGAAAAAUGUCACGAUUCAAACCAUUUUUCUAUUUAUUUUAUAAUUAAUGGUGUAAAAUAUCAUGGUUUUCAAAAAUUAUUUAAUAAGGUCUAUGUAUAAAAAGACACAACAAUAAAUUAAGAAACACUUUAUUAUUAUUUUUAAUAGCUCAUGAACUUCCAAAAUGUCACAUGUCAUAUUAGUUAACUAGGAACGAUACUUUUGAAUAUUUUAAGCUAUCAUGCGUGCCGACUAUAUAUAUAUAUAUGGAUCGAAAAUUAUUGUCAGGAAAUAAUCUCAUCUCAAUAAACUUUCGUUCCAAAACUUAACUAAUAAAACAUAUUCCUUAUAUACAUGACUUUUAGAAAAUAAUAAUCUUCACUAGUAGAUAAAUUCAUAAAUCGAAGCAUUCUGUUUAUCAUCUUAGCACUCGCCUCAACUCUCUAAUGGCUCCUGAAAUGUUGUGAAUCACAAUAUGAUCAAAAACUUGUCCAAUGAGCAGAACAUUUGUCAAUUUAAAAUGUUAAAACUUAUAAAAGAGUGUUAAACAUUUAAAUUAAUUGGAACGAAAUCUACAAUUGAUUUCCCAAAACACACGUUUAACAAAAUUCAAAGCACCUAAAACUGGGGUUUGUAAUCUACCAUUAACUAGUUAUGGUGAGUGAAGGAUGCCACCGUUUUUUCUGACAUUUCACUUUCAAAUUUGUGAUUUAUGCAUAAAAAAAAUUAAAAAAUAAUAAUAAUAAAAUACACACACAGGUUACAGCAUAAAGACAAAGAAAUGCAAGAAAUGAAAGGCUUGAAAUGUAACUCAAACAAUUGAUUUUAAAAUGCUUUUAAGUUCUUGCUGCCAACGUUUUUUUAGAACGUGGGGCUGAUUUUUCAUCUUCUUCAAAUUAUUCACAUUCCUUUUAUAUAUAUAUGCAAAAUACAAGUUUCACACGGAAAAAAUAAAAAAUAAUAAUAAUAAUAAAAUAAAUUAAUAAUAAAUUAAAAUAAAGAGUGCACACUUUGAUCAAGGAAAAAGACUUUCAAAAGAAAGAAAGGAGCAAAUUUCUUAAGCUUCGGGUACCGUAGGGAAACAACAUUCAUCAUCCAAUAUCCGUCCAAUUCAAAGUUUCAAAUUAAGGUAGGUAGAGGUGCAAGUGUUUAUUUCGUUUUCAAAUUAUGAUUUUUCGAUAAAAGUUUGAAUGAAUUGGUACCUUCGGGUACGAUGUUUCGGCACUACUAUAGUUUGAUUGAAAUGGUACCUUCGGCUACAGUAUUUCGAUACUGCUAUAGUUUGAAUGAUCAUCUUUAGCUCUACGUGUUAUGAUAAUGCUAUAGAAAAUCAAAUUUUGGUGAAAAUUCAUCUACAUGUGAUGGUAUGAAUCUACAGUUCAAAAUUUCUAAUUUUAAUAGCGAAAUGCACCUAUGAUAUCUAUUGAGUUUUAAACUUAUGGGUUAAUCCCUUUCCUAUAGAUUGAUUGAUUUUGCUUGGAAGCACGGAUGAUGGUAGAUAAAGAUGCAAUAUGCCAUGGAGAAGCUGGCGAUUUAACGUCUUUAAUUAUAUUAUGAAAAUGUUUACGUUUACUUUUAAAUAGAUUUCCAUGGACGUCGUAUGUGAACUAUUCUACGAACACUUCUUUAUGACUAAAUUAUGCUUUUCAAAAAGAUACAUGUUCUAGAAAUUAUCUUUCAAAUCAUAGUUUCCAAAAAAACAAAAAAAAAAACGUGUUAGCGAUUUAAAUGUUGUUGUUCCUUAAAAAUUUCAGCUUCUACAUUGACUUUAAAAAUUUGUAACUCGAUCAUUACUUAGAAUUUUUAGACACGAUCAGUGUCGCUUGAUAGUCUCAUAGGUUAGCUAUUGAAUAAACUUGAAAUCAUGUCAAUCCAAUGUCGGUAGAAUUUUAUAUGUCACUUAAAGUAAACUGCACUAGAUAGUGUUGCUAUUUUCCAGCUUUUGUCUUGACUUCAAAAAUUCAUAACUCAAUCAUUCUUGAAAUUUCCGAAUGAAACCAAUUGGUCUUGAUAUUCUCAUGGAUUCUCGUCUCUUUUCUUAUUUAAUAAAUGCUUUUGAAAUUAUGUUACUAUAUAAAAGUUGAUUUUUAAUGGAAAAUUCAUUAGUAGUUAUUAUAUAUAUAUGUGUGUGUGUGUGUGUGGUUCUGAAGGAAUUUUUUUAAUCUUAAAUUCUUAAAUUUAAUUAUUAUUUUAAAUAAAUUUUAAGUCUAAAGUUAAGGUACAAUUGUUUGAGUGAUGCUUCUGUCCGGUGGGUCGGGGCGUUACAGGAAUAUUUGAGGAAAUUUGACCUCAAGAGUGAUGAAAGAAUGUUCAUUGGGCAUUCAAAAAAUAGUCGGGCUUAUGGAGUGGAUAACAUGAGGACUCAAACUAUUGUUGAACCAUAAAUAUUAAAAUUAAUGAUACUGGUGAUUAUUCUUCUUGUUCACAAGAACCUAAGAUUCAGAAUUUGGAGAAACAGCUUGAAACUACUCAGAAUACUCAAGAAACUUGUGCUGCAAAUUUUGAAGACGGACCCACCCACCUCCUUAUUAGAAGUGACUCAUUCCACUCUACCCUAACUCAGUACAUCCCAGAAGUACAGAGAUGUACCGAGACCUUAAGGAAGUGUUUUGGUAGAAAGGCAUGGAGAGAAAUAUAGCUGAGUAUGUCGAAAAAUGUUUUGUAUGUCAACAAGUAAAAGCUGAACACCAACGACCAUCAUAAUUACUUGAACCGUCAGAAGUUCCGGAAUGGAAAUUGGAGCAUGUAACGAUAGACUUUGUGGUCGGUUUUCCAAAGCCAACAAUGUAUCAAUGAGGCUAUUUGGGUCAUUGUAGAUCGACUCACCAAAUCGGCUCAUUUUUUGCCGGUUCGGAUGACAUUCUCAAUGGAUCAAUUGGCAUAGUUGUAUGUGAGUUAGAUAGUAAUGUUGCAUGGUGUACCUGUUUCAAUUGUAUCAGAUAGAGAUCUAAGGUUCACAUCAAACUUCUGAAAAAGCCUGCACCGAGCUAUGGGAACUAAGCUAAAAUUUAGUACAACUUUUCACCCUUAGACAGAUGGCUAAUCUGAGUGAACGAUUCAAACACUAGAAGAUAUGCUUCGAACAUCUGUCCUCGAGUUUGGAGGACAUUGGCAGAAACAUUUACCCUUGAUCUAGUUCACAUAUAACAACAAUUAUCAUGCCUCUAUUGACAUGGCACCAUAUGAGGCAUGAUAUGGGAGGAAGUGUAUAUCACCAGUUCAUUAGAGUAAAGUUGGUGAGCGAAAGAUUUUGGACCAGAGAUCUUUGAACAAACAGUGCAGACUAUUGAGAAAAUUCAAGUUAGUAUGAAAAUUUUCUAGGAUAGAUAAAAGAGUUAUGUUGACAGAAGAAGAAAAUAAUUGAAAUUUUUGGCAGGUGACAGAGUAUUUCUCAAGGUAGCACCAAUGAAGGGAGUAUUACGUUUUGUUGUGAAAUGAAAGUUGCAAGAUUUCAAACGGACUAAUACCCAUACCUAUGACCUAAUUUUAUUAAUUUAGGUUUAACCCGUAAAAAACUAGAAAAAUAGAAAAGAUUAAUAUUUUAGCCUGACAAUCACGUGGGAGCCCAUUAUGUGAAAUUAUAACCCACAUCUUUUUGUUUUAUUUUCCCUUUUGGGCUUAAACUUAAGUUGUUGAUUUUUUUAAUUUUAAUUAAAUAAUGGAGAUAAUAUUUUAAUUUUAUCUCUUUUAAUUAUAUUGGAAUUUUAAAUGAUUGAGAUAAAAUCAAAUUCCUAUUAAGAUAAUAUUUUGAUUUUAUCUCUACUCUAUUUAAUUUUAGAAAUUAUGGAGAUAAUAUUUUUAUUAUUAUUUUAAAUUCAUAAUCUUAUUACAUUAGCUGAAAUAUGAUUGAGAUAAUGACAAGAUUUUAUCACUUCUAAAAUUCAAAGUUCAUUUGAAUUAGAACUUACAAAGCAUGGUGGCCCCUAUAAAUAGGAAUCAUAUGUUCUAUUUUCAAGUAUAUUCAUUUCUCCGUGAAAUACACGGAUACAAAUAUAGUAUAUUCUUUAGUACGUGGGUCAACAGUUGAAGUCCCCAAUAUAUUCCAAUAUUUCUCUUAUCAUUUUCAUAAGAUAUGGUAAGUGUAUAAAUAAUUUUUUUUUAAUAGAAUUACAUGCGUACGUUAGAUUUUUGGAACAUUGAUUAUGUGGUCCUUUAUGUAUGUUCUAAGUUUGAACUGGAAUAUGACAGUACUACGCCUUAAAGUUUUAUAACACCUAUGUUCGGUAUAGAUUUUCAUGUCUCACUACGUACGUAUGUAUGUAUGUAUGAAGUUCCUUAAAUUCUGUAUAAAUAUUAAUUCAUGUACUAUAUGCUUAUUGAUAUUUAGUCUCACACUCCUUUUAUCUUUUUUUUAGGAAAUUGAUGGUUCGUGGAAAUUAAGGCAUGAGAGGGCUGACAAAUUGGCAAGCGAAAGAAACCCACCAGGAUUAUUUGUUUUUGUUACACCUAUAAAUUACCACUUUAUAUUGGGCCAUCUUAUUGGACUCGGACGAGGCCCAUCAGAAUUAGGCCUCAAAGCCGAGGCUCUGACGAGGCUAGCCGAGACUCCAUCGGGGCCCUAAGGAGUUCAACUGAGGCACUCGCCGAAGUGCCUAUUAUUAUGUUCAUAUGAUCACCUUCUUAUUGGGCUUGGACUACGACCAACAAACCUGUUUGGCCUAUUCACUUCCAUUUCUCGAUAUAUAUAUGGAUUCACCCACACAACUAAGGUAUGUUCUAUACUCUCUAGCCAAACCCCUAUCUCCAUACUAUUGCACUCUAUAUGUCUAUUUCUGUCCAGCCGUUGACUUGACCGUCGAAGUGCAAAACGUCAUCAGACCUUUUUCUCGUCCGACCGCCUUUGCCUCUUGACGGGGUGCUACUUGCGCAGGUUUCGAGGGGACGGCGCUAGUGAACCUAUUGGAGCCAUUUUUUGGAGGUCAACAGAUUGGCGCUAUAUGUGGGAACCGGUACAUUAACGCAUUAUACCAUGUACAAAAACAUCGUUGGAAAUUGAAAAAUUUUCGAGGGGCAGUGUUCUACCAAAAGAGAACUAAGGCAGCAGAAGAUGAUUUUUCUACCAAAAAUUCAAGGAAUCCAGCCACCAAAGAAUGAAGUAAAAAUGCCACAACAAGAUGUCCUGAAAAAGGAUAUUUUUUUUGCAUGAAAAAUGAGAAAAAUCAGCACAAAUAUAGAAGAAAAAUGUCACUGGAAAUAGAAAUUUUCCAAGGAGAUCAACCAUGAAAAUGGUCAAUAUGAGUUGAAAAUAUUUUGGUAACUUGGGCAACCUACAAAUUGGUUUCAAUGAUUUGUCCAAAGUGUAGAGCAAAGGAACCACCAGAAACGAAGAUGUGUUGGGUCACCUAAGGGACAAAUUUUCAACUAAAUUGGGGGGAAUCAGAUUGAAACAAGGAAACAUAUGGUAGAGACUAAAAAAUUGUCAAAACCAAAAAUGGAAAUUCAUCCCCAAAGUUCCUUCGCAUAUUCUGCCUUUACCAACCAAGGAAAGAUAGUGGAAGAUUUAAAAGCAUACAAUAAGAAACUCCCAAAGAUUCUCUAUAGUGGAGUCCAAUCCUCUUGCCACUUUCUCAACACAGUUUCAAAUAACCAAAUGAGUUCAUUGUCUCCAAUACAAAUAUGAAAUACCCAUUUGUGUAAGGCUUUCAACAAAUGCCGUCAGUAGAGCUUUGGCCGAAAUUAAGCUGUUAAGGUAGUCACGGUGCUUGUAGCUCCUCCAACCAAUUGUGGUACAAAGCAUUAAUUUUUUGAUGGGGGACAAGAGAGGUUGCGUAUGUUGACAGUUUCUUGGGCUGUCCAUUUCUAUCUUUUGUAGACGGAUUUCCUAGCAUAGAUAAGUAGACUUUUGCAGGCAAAAUUUUCUCCAGAUUGUGGCUACUUUACGUGCUAUUUGCUACCUUCUUUUUUUUUUUUUUUUUUUUUUUUUUUUUUUUUUUAAGUAUUUAUCAAAUUAAUUGGUCACAGAUUUAUUCACUGGCCACAUAUAUUUUUUUUUAUAGAUUACAAAUUAUUUCGAGGCCACAUAUCAAAAAUUUUAGAGGUCACGAAUUUUUUUAAGUAACGGAUUAUCAAAUUUUAAGGUCACAGACCAAAUCGUUAAGGUCACAGAUUAAUUUUUUUAGUCACAGAUUGUCAAAUUUUAAGGUCACAUGCCAAAUCGUUGAUCACAUAUACCAAAUACUCCACUGCCGAACCAAAUCCAUCACCAAUGCUUGGUCACAGAGCAACCAAAUGAUCACCACCACAACACCGCAUUACCAGACCCUAUUACGAUCCCAUUCCCACCACAACACCGCAUUACCAGACCCUAUUACGAUCCCAUUCCACCACAAUAUUUGGUCACAAACACUACCCCCCCUCCCCCGUCACAACAACACCACAACCACCACCACCACAUGAAAACUACCACCGCACCAAGCCAAGCCGGCCACCAGGCGCUACCUAUUCCUCUUCAACAUACCAACAAUACUACCUCACAAACAUCACAUUGCCACUGAAGAACAUAUCACCCGCUACUGCAGAACAACACAAUACUGUUGCAGCUAUCGUAAACAUCGUGGCUGGUGAACUGAGAGUUACCACUCACACCACGAAAAAACACCGACCACUAUAGCCACCGCCUGCACCAUACCAUACCGCCAGCUAGAUCCACACCAUACCCACAACACCAUACCAUCGCGACACUGCCAUUCGCAGCAACGUCGACCAGCAAAAAUUGAGCAGAGAAGAAGUGCUCUUGCAAUUCCAUCGUCGUCGUAGUGAGCAGAGAAGAAUUGGCUCUCAAACCCCAGGCAAAUGCCAUGAAUCACCGGUGAAAUUUCCAAUCGCCGUAAGACUCAGCCGCUGCACUUCGGCCUGAGUGAGCAGUAGGCGAUGGUAUGGUGUGGUCUCCGGCAAUGAUCGUCGAUGUGAGUUCGACGAUGGUCUUCGACAGUGGGCUUGGUCUCCAGCAAUGGACGGCGGCAUAGGAGAUGUGGGUUAACUAGAGAGAGUGAGGAGAGAAGAUACCCUAAAAUUGAAUUUUAGGGAUGAAUUGGGGAUGAAAUAUUUAGUAUUAAUAUUAUUAUUUAAAUUAAUAUCUGAAUUCUGAAUAAAAAACCUUCCUACCUGAUUUUUGCAUUGGGAUCUUUAAAAGCCUGGACUUUUGUAAUUUCCACAAAUAAAAAUUGUUUGAAGGCUUUUUAUUGAGGUCCACAUAUGGGUAUGUAUUAUUAGGUCAUAUAAUUUAAUUUCCUUGGGCCUCAUAGCCUCUUCUUGUCUAAAAUGGUUGGAACCAAUUGGUUACCUCAAUUUUCUUGUACCAUCUUAUGUCUGGGGCUGCUACUAGGGCUGGACAAAACUUCCGAAUCGAACCGAGAUGAACUGAACCCGACGGUUCUUCUCAAGUUAAAUACCCAAACGAGUAUUUGAAUCAAGAACCAACGGGUAUGGUUCAGUUCUCGGUUCUAGGCCAAAACCCGAAAAAUCGAAUAAGAAUCGAAACUCCGUAAUUUUUUAAUUAAUUUAUUUUAAAUAAGUAAAAUUAUUUUAUUUUUCUAAAUAAAUUUGUUAACUAGUUAAUUUAGUUCAAACUACAAAAUAUGAUUUUCCUAUUUCUAAUUUUCAAUUCAAAAUCAACUUAAUCAAAUUGGCCUCAAUUUUAUCCAAAUCUGUUAUUUUACUGUAGUGUCGUUUCUACCGGAGAAAAUCGAGUUAAAACUCUACAACAUCUUUCUUAAUUAUUUUGAGCUCACUAUUUUUCUCUUUUUCUGAUUUUAGUAAUCAAUUUAUGAAGAAUUCAGCAAAGAGAGACACGAAAUACAUAAGAUUGAACUACGUUAUUUUGUAAGAGCUAAUAUUGAACAUACCAUUAAUUAAAUUAACGUAACUUUGUAUAUAUUAAAAAAUUUAAUUAUAAUACGGAACCGAAUGAAACCAAAUCGGAUCGAAUCGAAGAGAACCAAACCCGAACGGUUCCACUUACUGAAUAUCCGAAAAUUUCGGGUUGGUUCGGUUCUCAUUAGAACCGAACCAGACCAUGUCCAGCCCUAACUGCUACCAUAUGUUUUCUCACAAGUUUAUGAACUUGGUUGAAAGUGGGUUGUGACGUUAUAAGCCUUUAUCAAAUGUCAUUGCUUCCAUUUAUAAGCUUCUUGGUGGGAUUAUUAUUAUCAUAUUUUUCAUUGGGCAUGCUGGACUUUUUCCCAUUUCUACACUCAUAAAGUGUAAUUGGGCUUACUAAUUUAUGUUCGCCGAUCCAUUCCUGCUUGUAAAAGUUAUUGGUUCUUUGGUUUUUUAAUGUGCCAGCAAUUCUUCUUCUUCUUGGGCAUGUUAUAUUUAAGAGUGGUAAUUCUGUGGCCCACUUUGUUGUGCUCAAUCUUAUGGCAACCAAAAUGGAAGGCGGAAAGAACUAAUGGCAUGGUAAGAUUUUGUGAAUGCUCUAUCACAACGCUUUGCAACGAAAUAAAUUGAUAUCUUCAAUCCAAGGCCGAAUUGGCCAUAGAUUUUAUAUGAUGUGGUACUGUGCUGCGGCAAUUUGCAAAGCCCCAUUGAUCAUGCUAAUUGCUCAAGGCGAGCCCAAAAUUAUGGAUUUCUUAUUAUCCCGUGCGGUAUUUUAUAAGUCCUGCUCCUUGAAUAAAGGAAGAGGCGAUAUCUAUUAGGAUCCUUGUUCCUUGAUAAAGGAAGAGGCAAAUCGUUAGACGUGUUUGCCCUUACAAAUGGAGUCUUCCUUGGCCUUACUUGCGGGAUGUUUAUUUCUCACCUUGCCAGAUGCUUAUCCUUGACUUCGCGGGAUGUCUAUUCCCUGCCUCCCAGAUGCUUAACUUUGGCUUCGCGAGAUGUCUAUUCCUUAUCCAUCACUAUCGUCGAGCCUAGCUCUAAGUCCUCGUUUAUCCAAGGCCAGCUUAUAAGACUCCGAUAGUUUGAGAGUUAUUUGCGGGAUGCCUAUUCCCCACCUCGCCAGAUGCUUAUCUCUGGCUUCACAAGAUGUCUAUUCCUCGCCCCUCAUUAUCAUCAAGCCUAGCUCUAAAUCCUCGUUUAUCCGAGGCCAGCUUAUAAGACUACGAUAGUUCGAGAGUUAUAUAUGGGAUGCCUGUUCUCGGCCUCGCUAGAUGCUUAUCCCUGGCUUCAUGAGAUGCUCAUUCCUCACGUCUUACUAUUAUUGAGCUGAGCAGUAAGACCUUGUUUAUCCGAGACUUUCUUAUAAGACUUCGAUCGUUCGACAGUUCGUUAGAUGUUUAUUCAUGGCUUCGCGAGAUGACUUUUUCUCACCCCACUAUCGUUGAGCUUAGCUCUAAGUUCAAGGCCAGCUUAUAAGAUUUUGAUAGUUCGAUAGUUAGUCGGAUGUCUAUUCCUGGCUUCGCGAGAUGUUUAUUCCUCAUCUCACUAUCGUCGAGCUUAGCUCUAAGUCCUCUUCUAUUCGAGGCCAACUUGUAAGACUCUGAUAGUUCGCUAGAUGUUUAUCCUUGACUUCGCGAGAUAUCUAUUCCUCACUCACUAUCCUUGAGCUUAGCUCUAAGUCCUUGUCUAUCCGAGGAUAGCUUAUAAGACUUCAAUAAUUCGACAGUUCGCCAGAUGUUUAUUCCUAGUUUUGGGAUGCUUUUUCCUCACUCCUCACUAUCGUUGAGCUUAACUUUAAGCCCUCGUCUACCCGAGGUCAGCUUAUAAAACUCUGAUAGUUCGACACUUCGCUGGAUGUUUAUCCCUGACUUCGCGAGAUAUCUUUUCCUCGCUUCGCUAUCGUCGACCUUAGCUUUUAAGCCCUCAUCUACCUGAGGCCAGCUUAUAAAACUCCGAUAGUUCGACACUUCGUCAAAUGUUUAUCCUUGGCUUUGCGAGAUGUGUUCUCCUCGCUUCACUAUCGUCAAGCAGAGUUCUAAGUCCUCUACAUUCCAAGGCUGGUUAUGGCUUCGAUAGUUCGAGUUACUCGCGGGACAUCUAUCCACUGCCUCACUAGAUGUCCUUAGCUUUACAAAGUUUAGACGCACCUGACCUGGAGUCCUCUGUGGGUCAUCGCUUCGACCGUUGCGUUCUCUCCUAAGCUUUACAAAGCUUUAGCCAUCUCCCAACGCGUCGUCCCCUGUGGGUCAGCGCACUGGUGGCAGAUGAGCUCCUCACUCAGCUUUAAAAAGUUUAGACGCACCUGGCAAAAGUUUCUAUGGGUCAUCGUCUCGAUUGCUACAUUUCGUCCUAAACUUUACAACGCUUUAGCCUAUCUCCCAACGCGUCGUCCCCUGUGGGUCAGCGCAUCGGUGGCAGAUGAGCUCCUCACUCAGCUUUACAAAGUUUAGACGCACCUGACGUAAAUCCCCUCUAGGUCAUCGCCUCGGUGGCUGCAUUCCCUCCUAAGCUUUACAAAGCUUAGUGGUCUCCCAACGCGUUGUCCCCUGUGGGUCAGAUCACCGAUGGCAGAUGAACUCCUUCUUCAAGCAGCAUCGAAGCUUUGACACCUCAGUCAAAGAUAUAUCCCAACUUUCAGCUUCACAAGCUUCAGCAUCUCCCCCGCGCGUCGUCCUAUGAGUCAGCACUUCGAUAGAGAUAGUUGAACCUACAACCGCAGCAGCAACCAUACACUCAGCUGAUCUUAAAAAGUCAACGACUGAUAUACAUCGAUAUGCUUCAGUAUCGGUACAGCUACUUAUAUUCAGUUUAGAGCAUCGCCUCUGCUACUUCAUCCAGAGCACAGCUUCUGCUACUGUGUCCAGAGCAUCGUCUCUGCUACUACAUCCAGAACAUCUCCUUUGCUACUACAAUCAGAGCAUUACCUCUGCAUCCAACGCAUCGCCCCUGUCACCUAUGCUACUUACAUUCAGAGCAUCGUCUCUACAUCAACUUUAUCACAGUAGCUUAUAUUUCAAGUCUGACCCGCAUAUAAAUAAUACGACUCAGACUUGGGAGAUUGCAUAUUACUGCUAGCAUACGCAUCACAUUACUGCUUUCAAACACGAAUGCGAUAUCACUGCUAGCAUAUGAUCCAUUAUUUUCAUCAAUGUCAGUACGUAUGUCGUGUUAUCAUCAUUUUUACUUUAUUGUCAACAUCAUGUUACUUGCUUCAUAUAGCACUAUUGAUACACUGAUUUGUGUGAGCACAUGAUUUACUAUAAUGCAUGACAGACCCUCUGCACGUAUCUUGGAGAAAUGUGAUAUGUCACACCUUAUAGUUUUGAGCAUUUGAAGGGGAAAAUAGACCCCAAAUUUAUUUGGUAUAUGUGCUGUGGAUAUAUUUUAUUGUAUUACAGGAUUGGUUUAGUCCAUAUUAAAGAGGAGAUGCUGCCGAAAUUUCGAAACAAUAUAUACAGUAUAUCUUUCGAGGCAAUUCGUAAGUCCUCACUUAUUCUAACUCACACACAUUUUCUGAGGCAGUUCGUAAGUCCUUACUUAUUGGAGCAACUCAUAUUUCUCGAGGCAAUACGUAAGUCCUCGGCUGUUUGAGAUUGAUACAUAUUUUCGAGGCAGUUCGUAAGUCCUCGCUUAUUGGAGCUACCCAUCUUUCUGAGGCAAUCUGUAAGACCUCGCGCUACUUGACAGUUUAUAUUUCAAGUCCAACCCACAGAUAAAUAAUACGACUCGGAUUUGGGGGACUACUGUUACGCCUAUAAAUUACCACUUCAUAUUGGGCCAUCUUAUUGGACUCAGACGAGGCUCAUUAGAAUUGGGCCCCAAAGUCGAGGCUCUGAAGAGGCCAGUCGAGGCUUCACUGAGGCCCUAAGGAGUUCAACCGAGGCACUUGUCGAAGUGCCUAUUAUUAUGUUCAUAUGAUCACCCCUUUAUUGGGCUUGGACUUUGGCCCACGAACCCGUUUGCCCCAUUCACUUCCAUUUCUCUAUAUAUAUGGAUUCACUCACACAACUAAGGUAUGUCCUACACCCUCUAGCCAAACCCCCCAUCUCCAUACUAUUGCACUCUAUAUAUCUAUCUCUGUCCGGCCUUGACUUGACCGUCAGAGUGCAAACAGUUGUCGGACCUUUUUCUCGUCCGAUCGCCUUUGCCUCUUGACCGGGUGCUAUUUGCACAGGUUUCGAGGGGAUGAGGCUAGGGAACCUAUUGGAGCCAUUUUUGGAGGUCAACAGUUUUUUAAUUUAAGAAUUUAUUUAAUUAUUGGUUUGAUAUUAAGAUUGCUAAACUUCUAGUAUUUUAUUUUAUGUUGACGUCAAAAUUUUAUGUAUUCACUCUUACAAUUUCAUAAUAUAAGCUUUUGAAAGUGCAAUAUGAUAUUCAAGAUAUGAUUUUAGUGGCAUUCGAACUUUAGAACUCGGGUCAUCACACGUCCCCACGAGUUUCCAAACACAUACUUCCUAAUGACAAUUCAGGGAGGCUUUCUGGAGGGACAACUUAGGAUGGUGAAGAACCAAGUUGGUCAGAUUUUCUUGAAAACUCAAAAGUUUUCAGAUGAUUUCAAAGUUACACGCAGGAUAUUAGAGAAAAUUACUUACCUUGGUGAUGGAAGGAUUAAGACUACAUGGGAGAGGAGCACUCUAGGAUUACCAGAGUAUUAGCAUGAGAAACCUGUAGCAACAAGUGUUGCACCAGUUACCACUGCCAGUCAAAAUCGUUUGGCACCAGAAGUGUAUGGUCCUGACCUACCUCCUCCAGGCCAUACCGUAGAUGUUCAUACUCAGCAGCUGUGGCAUUCCGCAAGCCCGGUGGUGAUAUCAAAUCACCUGGUGCUAAGAAAUCUAAAAAGCAAUGAUGCUUUAGUUUUAUCCUCCUAUACUCUCACCACAUGAUCUAACUAUUUGAUGGAUAUGUAUAAGUUAAUAUUGCCCCUAAAUAUUUGAUUCACACACACUUGGAUAACUUUUUAAUUUGAUACACUUGUGGUUUGGUUGGUAUAUUCCUUCUCCAUACCUUAAUAACAAGCCUUUUAAUUUCAAAAAAUUGGGAGUAGGUAAUUGGUGAUGGUUGAAAAACAUGAACAUCUAUGACGUAUAUAGGCUGCUUGAAUGGUUUUAAAUUGGAUGAACUUUCCAAUUUGCAGUAGUAUUGCUCUAUGUCAUUGUUGCCUGAUUGCAUAUCUGCUAGUUUUAGAUUUCCGACAUGCUAUGUGGGACAUUGGUUUGAUUCAUGAUUUUCAGGUUGUGUAAGUUAGGGAGAAUUGUGUGUGCUAUGUGAGAACUAACUGAGGAGGUGUAGUUCAUGUGCACAAUUUGGUCAACACUUAACACACUCACAAACACAAGUAGUUUUUGAAAUUAAGCCAAGCCAUAUAUAUAUAUAUAUGUCAAGGACAUGUGCCAAAAAUGGGAUUAAUAGGAUGUAGUCCAUGGAAGGUUGUCGGUUUUAACUGAUUGGAUGGUAUAGGUUUCAACAGAAUUAUGUGACAGCGGAUUCAUAGUUUCAAUACCAAAACAGGACUAAAUCUUUAGUUUUCGUGCUACAGCUAUCGCAGAUUUAUUUACCCAUCAUCCUAAAUAUUAUACGAUAAGCUAAAUAAUAAAAGUUAAUGAAAUACUGAUUUAAAUAUAAAACUUUCCUUAAGUUUCUUUUUUGCCUUAUCAAAUAUAUAUUGAUUAAAUUUACAGCUUUGAGAAAACGUAUUCUGAUACCAUGCAGCGAAACUUUUUGCUAGCGUCCAAUGAGUUCAUAAGGUAGCAUGUAUUAUUAAAUAAUCUAAUAGAAAAAUCGUGUUCUUCAACUGUACUUGAAGAAAAGACACCAACAUAUGAAUGAUCGAUCCAGUUCAAAGAUCAAACUGCUUGGUGUGAAUUAAGAAUUGAGAUUCUUAAUCCAAGUGGUGGUUGUAGCCAAGUACAACACUGAAAUGAUGAUAAAGUCAAGAUCGAGAAGUUUGAUUCCUCUUCUAUAAUAAGUCAAAAGAAGAAGAAAAUGAGGAAUUUGUUCUAGAUUUCUUUUGAUUUUUAUUUGUUAAUUUUGUGAAAUUACAAAAUUGAGACUAUUGUAUUUUUUAUUGUUUGAUUUAGUGGAUUGUUUUACUCGUGACAUGGGGUCUGUGAAUGUUUUUCUAUGGAGUUUAUCUCGUUACAUCUGGCUUUCAUGUUUUAAUAUGCUAGUUAAUUUUCGUCAUUGAUUAUAACCACUUAGGACACUAGAUUCUGUUUACACGCUGCGAUCAUAGUUGCUUAGAAACUGGUAAUAGGAAAUUCUAACUGCGUAGCGCGUACUGUUUUAAAUUGGAUAAUUAAAACAAGUUUUUAAAUUUACUAGGUUUUAGCAUUUACACACAUCAUACACGUUCAUAUGUUUUCAAGUACAUGUUCACUCAUAAAUGUGUGAAGCAUAUAAACAUAAUCUAUUCUUUCUCAUAAAAUCAUUAAUCAUAUACAUUAAAUAAACGUACUCAACUCACCUAUAACAUCCAAUAUCCGCCUCAACUUAUUGAGGUUGAUCCUUUCUUUGAUCUAUAGUACACAAUGGAUUGCUCAAUGUUUAAAGAAUAUGUGCACAGUGCUGACAUUUGUAAGACAAGGCCUCGUACUUUUUGUGCAAAAUAUUGAUACACAUUCGGAUGCAGUUAAUAGAAAGUUUGACACUCGUUCGCAAGUGUGUACACUUAGCAAUAGAAAGCUAUUUUUUAGGAAAACGAUUUACAAGUGUCGACCCUUGAAAGUGUCAAAAAGAUGAGAUUCACAAAUAUUUAAUGGAUACAAUUGAAGACAUUGUUGAGCAAAAUUUAACAUAUUGAAUUGGUGGAAGAUCAAUAUUCCAAAUUUGCGAGGAAUGUACUUUUCAUUUCUAUAUCUACAGUUGCUUCUAAGUUAGCAUUAAAACUAGAGGAUGCAUUCCUAAUUCGUUUAGGUGUCCUUUAACUUCUAAAACAGUUGAGGCUUUAGUUUCUACUCAAAACAAGUUACGAGAAGAAUUUAGACUUUUGAAAGUACCAAAAAUCAAAAUUUGCAUUGAAGAAAUGAAGUUCUAUGAUGAUAUUAAGAUGGUUAAUAAAAAAUCAACUAAAUAUUUUCAAAUCACGUCUUAUUAAUUGUAAAAGCUUUAGUUGAUUUGUGUUUGUUUUAACUAUGCCUUUUUUUAUUAUGUUUUGUAGAGUUUCUCUACAGUCCAAUCAAUCGAAGAUUAAAUAGUUGGUAUAUACUAAGUAAUACCAUAAAAAUAUCUUAUUUCUAUUACUUUCAACUUUAUGUAUUACAUUUCAUUUUUUUCAUUUAGUUCUGAAGGCUUCAUUUACAGGAAUCGAUCGGAUGGAUCAUGAAGAUGGAACUUGAUAUUAGUAAUUUUUAUCAUUAGUUUGCUGAUAAGCAAGCUCUUAUUCGGACUUCUAUGCUUGUUUAUUUGUAUGCAACUUGAUUGAAUAUUUACUUAGUUUGUGUAAAUUAUGUUAAUUAUAGGAAAUUUCUAACCUGGAUACAAUUUAUAUAAAAGAGACCUUUUGGAGUUUAAUUGGAAUUGAUUUGAAGCAAUUGAAAAUUAACCAGAUUGGAAGAGAUCAAUUGGAAGUAUUAAUGGAGUAUUCGAUUAACAUUCAUAAGUUUCGGGAGUUAAAUUUGACAAUUGAAAAUUUUAAAGACCAAAUUGCAAACUUUUGGUACUUGACUCAUGUCAACCAUAAUAAUUUUAGAAUGAAGACGGUUUAAUUACAAAUAUUGGAAGAUGAAGGACUAAAAUCUCAUUAUAGAAGGAGUUCAAUUGGAAAAGGGAUUUGUUUCCCCUUUUUAUCUUUUUUUUUUUUUUUCAAACUCUUUGAUGGAAAACAAAUUGAAGAAGGAUUUUACCUAAAUCUUGUUCUAUAAAUAUAUACCUUAGUCACACAAUUAGAGGAGGCUUGUAAAGUUUCAUUAUACACAUGUUAAGACCGAGGCUUGUGGGGGAUUCAAUAUACAUAUAUUAUAUAAGCCUAGAAGGAAGAAAAAAAAAUCAAGAAAUCAAUCAAGGAGUUCAGGUUUCAAGAUUUUACAAGAAGGAAUAUUGGUUCAUGAUCUUCAUUUUUCCUCUCUUUUUUUUAUUUUUUUUUCUCUUUAAACCCAAUGAUAUACUUUAAUUCUUUCAAGUUUUAUUCUUCUCCAUGAUGUGUAAUUAAGUAUUUAGCUAUGAUGAAUGAUUAUAACCUAGAUUUGAACCUUCAUUUUAAUUAAAAAAAUUUAAAUCUUCAAUUAAUUUUUUAAAUCGUUUUACCUUCCAAUCUUAAUAUUUGAAUUAAUUGGUCACUAUUGCAUUGAUAUUGCGAGCGUAAUUACGUUGAGAGGCAGAUUAUUUAUUUAGACCACAUAGUUAAAGUUGGGAUCCAGUAUCAAAGACAAACAUACAUUUUUUCCAGUCUUUGUGAUUAGUGUCUAAAAGUGCUUUAAAAAUAUAUCAUUUACAAGGUAUUUUACAUUCAUUUUUUGUAUAAGUUUACUAAUGUUAGUCUCUAUUUCAAUUCUUUUGCCAUAAAUUCAAUUUCUGUAAAUACAUGGUUAAAAGUGCAAUUAAUCGAAAUACGCAUUUACAUACAUGUCGGCAUGAGUAUUAUACUUUUGAAAGAGUAUUUAUUUGAUGUAUUUCCAAUGUAGAACAAGUGGAGCAAAAAAUGUUGAAAAGUCAAGAAUGAUGAGUUGUCUCCAACAAAGAUACAACUAUCUCGGUAAAAUUGUCAUAACUCGAGCUGUAGUUAUCUAAAUAAGGUGAUUCAAGUUGGGUUAAAAAAAAAAGAUAUGUAUCUACAACUUUCAUGUUUUACAAGAAGUCAAAUUCGCAUCAUAAAGAAGCUAAAAUUACCAUGCAAAAAUCCAAGUUGUUACCUGUCGGAUACAGUUUUUCUAUCUGUGAGCAGCACUCAUUGUUUUGGCCAUAUCUGGAGUUGUAGAGAUCCAAUGGACCUGAAAUUUGUAUCAAUGAAAAGAUAAAUCAACUAAACAAUUUAUCUGCAGAUCAAAAGUCCAAAUUCACAGCAAAAAGUAUCUGAAAAUUGGCAUCAAGUUGCAUAUUCCAGCUGUCUUCAAAUUGGACAGAAACAAGUUGCAUUGUUCACUUGCAUUUUGGAUGUUCCUUUGCGUAUAAAAAGGAGACCUCGACCAAGAUUUUGAGAGCUUUAAUUUCUGUUCAUCAUAUUCUAGUUUCCUUCAUUUUCUUUAUAACAUUUCAUUAUGUAUUUCUAAACAAUUAGCUAGAGUUAGGGGUGAAACUUUGAUGAAUGUUUAGUAUUGUCUUUGAUCUUUCAUUUUGUUCUUCAAUGUCCAUCUUCUUCCUUGGUUGAAGUAUAUAUUCUAUAAAUGAUUUUGAUUUGUUAAAGACUUUGAUUUAUUGUUGACAAUUUUGGCACAAUAAAUGCUUAGAUAAUCUCUACAUAUCAACAACUUAUUUUGACAUAUUCUCUCAAACAAUUAUCAAGAACUAUCUUUUAGUAUAUUUGUGAUCAAUGUUCUAUCUUCCAUAUGAGAUCACUCCCUAGUUGAUUUUCAUAUGAGUUAAAUAAAAGAUCAAGAGUAAUUUCUACUCAUUUAUCCAAAGAGAAUCUCCAACGCUUUAGCAUUCUUCUCUAUCGUAUUUUUACUAACCGUUUACUACUCAUAGACUAGUUCAUUUCCUUCCAAUUCCAUGUGAUUCGACCUCGGACUUCUAAGUUUACUACUUGAGACAACUUGCACUUGGGUUUGGAACCAUAAAGUUGUAGCAAGUUUUUGACACCGUUACCGGGGAUUUGCGUCAAGGAUUAUUUUCUACUAUUUUCUGUGAGGUAUUCUUCUCUUUUGUAAUCUUCAUAAAUCAGGUACGCUCGUUCCUUUUUCCAACUUAUUACUUUAGUUAUUUUACUUCAAAUAAAGGCCGAGCUUCCUUCGUUCUUUUAUUUUCUUUAGUUAAAAGGAAGGCCAAGCCUCCCAAUCUGCCCUUUCUUUAUUAUAUGGUUGGCCGUGCCACCUAAUUUUCGUUAUUUACAUCUACUUUUUGUUAUUUUAUGCUAUAUUAGUAUCGUGAAUUUAAUUCUCAUCGUUUAGUUAAAGAUAACUGUGAAACUUUUUUUAGUAAUUUGUUUGACUUACCUCAACACACUCACAUCUUCCACCAUGGCUGAUAAUGAAAGCGUACAUGAUGAAAAUCAAAACCAACAAGCGCGAACCAUGCAUGAUUACUUGCAGCCUUCUCGAAAUUCUGCUCCUUCAUGUUUCAUUUUCCCUCUUAAUGCUAAUAAUUUCCUAUUCAAGUCGGGUAUGAUUCCAUUACUUCCUAAUUUUCAUGGUCUAGAAUUUGAAAGUCUAUAUUUGCAUCUUAAAGAAUUUGAAGAAGUAUGUGCCACGUUUAAUGAUCGAACUUGGUCCAAUGAAAUUGUUAAGUUGAAAUUGUUUCCUUUUUCUCCAAAAGAUAAAGCAAAAAGUUGGCUUAACUCUUUAAAACCUAGGUCAAUUGGCACAUGGCAAGAAAUGCAAAGUGAGUUUUCGAAGAAAUUCUUUUCAGCACAUAAAACUAAUGCUCUAAAAAGAAAAAUCCAAAAUUUUCUCAAAAAACCAAUGAAGCAUACUUUCAAUGUUUAGAAAGAUUUAAAGAUUUUAAAUACAUGCCUACAUCAUGGUUUUGAAAAAUGCGUACUAUAAGUUUCUUUUAUGAGGGCUUAACUCCUGAAACAAAACAAUUUGUAGAAAAGAUGUGCAAUAGUGAAUUUUUAUAUAAAGAUCCUGAUAAAGCUUUAGAAUUUCUAGAUCAUCUAGUUGAAAAUUCUCAAUCUUGGCAAAUAGUAAAGCCAAUCGAAACCUCAAUCAGAUCCAAUUUUGCUAGUUCUAGUAGAGGAAAAUAUCAAUUGAGUCAAGAUGAUGAUCUAAAUGCUAGGAUUGCUACUUUGUCUAGAAAGGUUGAAGCUAUGGAAUUAAGAAAAAUAAAGGAAGUUAAACCCUUGCAAAAUGAUGAAAUUUGUAGCAUUUGUGAAACUUUUGGGCAUCCAACGCAUGAUUGUCAUAACAUCCCAGUUUUCAAAGAAGUUUUACAUUGUCAAGCCAAUGCUAUGAAGACUUUCAAAAAGCCUUUUCCUUCUCCAUUCUCAGAAAAUAAUCAACAAUGGAGAAAUCAUUCCAACUUUAGUUGGAGAGAUGAUAAUCGUGUUCAUAUAUCACAACCUCAAGGGUUUUCAAAAUUUCCUUAUUUUCCACUACCAGAAUAAAAAAAAAACUCUUGAGGAAACAUUGCAAUCAGUCAUGCAAGGACAAGCAAAUAUCAAUAAUCAAACUUCACAAGCCAUCAAUGAAAUCAAGAACACACUUUAUUUAUUAACCUCUUCUUUGCGUUUUCAAGAGAAAGGUAAAUUUCAUGCUCAACCUCAACCAAAUCCUUCUGGCCAAUUUAAUGUAAAUACUUCUAGUUCGUCUGAAAGUCAACAAGAAAAUGUCAACUCCAUUACGACUCUUCGCAGUGGAAAAAUUAUUGACAAAACCAUUCCUUUAACAGAACUAAAAUCCAAAAUUGAGGAAAAAUUCAUUUCUGAACUCGUAUUGAAAAAUGUUCCAUUCCAGCUCCAUUUUCUCAAUGAUUACAACCAAUUUCAAAACUCAACCAUAAUUCUAAAAUUAUUGAACUUUUCAAACAAGUCAAAAUAACAUACCAUUAUUGGAUGUAAUCAAACAAGUUCCUUCAUAUGCAAAAUUUUUAAAAGACUUGUGCACUGUUAAGAGGAAACUAAUGUUCAACAAAAAACAUUUUCGACAGAGAACGUGAGCUCAAUCAUUCAACAAAACACUCCACCUAAAUUCAAAGAUCCUGGUUAUCCAACAAUUUAUUGUGUGAUUGGGAAUAAUAGGAUAAGGCAUGCUUUAUUUGAUCUUGGUGCUAGUGUUAAUCUAUUACCUUUUUCUGUGUAUGAGAUACUUGGUUUGGGAGAGCUUAAGCCAACAACAACAACACUUCAACUUGCUGAUUUUUCACUAAAAGUUCCAAGAGGAGUUGUAGAGGAUGUUCUAGUUCAAAUUGAUAAAUUCUGUUAUCCCAUUGACUUUAUAGUUUUGGACACACGGAAGUUUUAGAUUCAAAUGCACAAAUACCUGUCAUUUUAGGACGUCCCUUUCUUGUUACUUCAAAUGCAUUGAUAAAUUGUAGAAAUGGUAUCUUGAAACUCUCUUUUGGAAAUAUGACCAUGGAAAUGAAUGUUUUUAACAUUUGCAAGUAACAUGGAGAUAAAAAUAAUUUGCAUGAAGUAGAUUUUAUUGAACAACUUGUUGAUGAUCAAUUUAUUGCUACAUCUUCAUCUUAUGCGCUAGAAUUUGAAUUCAAUGAUAAUUCUAAAAAUUCGGAUAUAAUUUCUUUGUUGAAUUCUUUUCAGGAGAAAAAGACAAGUGAUUGGAAAUCAAAAUUUGAAAAAUUAUCACAAUAGUCCAAUAUGUCCAUGAUUUCAAGUGUUCAAAUGCCAAAGCUCGACUUGAAGUCAUUACCAUCUAAUCUAAAAUACUCAUUUUUGGGUGAAGAUGAAACUUUUUCGGUAAUAAUUUCUUCCCAACUUGAUGUGCACCAAGAAGGUAAGUUGUUACAAUAUUUGAAAAUACAUAAAAGUAUUUUAGGAUGGUCCAUAGCUGAUAUAAAGCUGAUUAGUCCUUUGAUUUGCACACAUAAGAUUUAUUUGGAGGAAUACGCUAAACCUACAAGAGAAAUGCAACAAAGGCUUAAUCCUAUUUUAAAAGAGGUGGUAAGAAAUGAAAUCAUUAAAGUCUUAGAUAAUGAAAUCAUUUAUCCUAUUUCUGAUAGUAGAUGGGUAUGUCCAACCUAAGUUGUAUCAAAAAAAUCUGGGAUUACUGUAGUCAAAAAUGAAGAAAAUGAGUUAAUUCCAACUAGAACUGUUACUGGCUGGUGCGUGUGUAUUGACUAUAAGAAACGCAACUCAAUGACUAGGAAAUAUCAUUUUCCUUUACCAUUUAUGGAUCAAAUGUUGGAAAGAGUGGCAGCACAUGAAUUCUAUUGUUUUCUAGAUGGAUAUUCUGGGUAUAACCAAAUUGAAAUUGCACCUGAGGACCAGGAAAAGACCACUUUCACAUGUCCCUUUGGUACUUUUGCUUAUCAUAGAAUGCCUUUUGGAUUAUGUAAUGCACUAGCUACAUUUCAAAGAUGCGUGAUUAGUAUUUUUAACGACAUGAUUGAAAGAUCUUUGGAAGUUUUCAUGGAUGAUUUUACUGUUUUUGGAGAUUCAUUUGAUGAUUGUUUAACUAACUAGCAAAAAGUUUUAGUUAGGUGUGAAGAAAAGAAUUUUGUGAUAAAUUGGAAAAAAUGUCAUUUUAUGGUCACUAAUGACAUCGUACUUGGUCAUAUUGUAUCAUCUAACAGAAUUGAGGUAGACAAAUCUAAAACUGAAUUGAUUUCUAAUUUGCCUACUCAAAUAGUGUUAAAGAGGUAAGAUCUUUUUUAGGACAUGCUGAUUUUAUAGAAAGUUUAUCAAAGACUUUAGUGUCAUUCUAAACCAUUGUGUAAUCUCUUAUCUAAAGACAUGCCUUUUGAAUGGACUAAGUCUUGUCAAGAAGCUUUUGUUAAACUUAAGAACAUGCUUACUUAUGUUCCUAUCAUGCAACCUUCGGAUUGGAAUUCACCUUUUGAAAUCAUGUGUGAUGCUAGUGAUUAUGCUGUUGGAGCUAUCUUAGGCCAAAGAAGAGAUAAAAAACAUCAUGUCAUUUACUAUGCAAUUAAAACUCUAAAUAGUGCUCAAACGAAUUAUUUUACCACUGAAAAAGAAUUGCUUGCUAUAGUAUUUGCUUUGGAUAAAUUUCAAUCAUAUCUUAUUCGCUCACCAAUUGUUAUUUUUAGUGAUCAUGCAGCUUUGAAAUAUCUUCUCUCUAAGAAAGAUGCCAAACCUUGAUUGAUUAGGUAGAUUCUUUUACUCCAAGAAUUUGACAUCACCAUUUGAGAAAAAAAGAAGUAGAGAAUGUUGUAGAUGAUCACUUCUCUAGGCUUACUUGUGAUGAAUCGUUUGAAACAACAUCGAUCAAGGACACUUUCCCUGAUGAACAACUUUUUAGUAUUUCUAACCUGCCUUGGUUUGCUUAUAUUACUAAUUUUCUUGUGAUAGGUCAAAUACCAUCUCAUUGGAAUGCCCAAGGCAAAAAGAAAUUCUUCAAAAAGGUACGAAAUUUUUUUGGGGAUGAUCCUCACCUAUUUAAAUAUUGUCCAGACCAAAUAAUAAGAAGAUGUCUGCCAAAUAAUGAAAUUCAAAAGAUCAUUUCUUUUUGUCAUUCUGAAGCAUGUGGUGGUCACUUUUCUUCAAAGAAAACUGCUGCAAAAAUCUUGCAGUCUGGAUUUUAUUGGACAACUCUUUUCAAAGACACACAUGAAUUUUGUAAAGCUUGUGAAUGUUGUCAAAAUUUAGGUGGGAUAACUCGUAGAAAUAUGAUGCCACUGAAACCCGUACUAGUUAUUGAAAUAUUUGAUUAUUGGGGUAUUGAUUUCUCCAUUCCCAUUAUCUUUUGGUUAUUUAUACAUCAUGGUAGGAGUUGAUUAUGUUUCUAAAUGGGUGGAGGCAAUUCCUUGUAAACACAAUGAUCACAAAAUUGUUUUAAAAUUUUUGAAAGAAAAUAUUUUGUCAAGAUUUGGAAUACCUCGAGCCAUUAUAAGCGAUGGGGGUUUACACUUCUGUAAUAAACCUUUUAAGGCCCGAAUGAAAAAAUAUGGGAUGACCCAUAAAGUGUCUACUCCUUAUCACCCAAACACUAGUGGUCAAGCUGAACUUGCAAAUAGAGAGAUCAAAUGGAUUUUGGAAAAAAUAGUGAAUCCAAAUAAAAAAGAUUGGUCUUUACGAUUAACUGAUGCACUAUGGGCUUAUCGUACAUCUUUCAAAAGACCUCUUAGUAUGUCACUUUAUCGACUUGUUUUUGGAAAGUCUUGUCAUUUACCAGUUGAAUUAGAACACAAAGCAUUUUUGGGCUAUUAAAAUGUUUAAUUUCAAUUUAGAUGAGACAGGUUCACUUAGGAAACUUGAACUCAAUGAGUAGGAAAAAAUUAGGAAUGAAACUUAUGAAAACUCUCGAAUUUAUAAGGAAGCAAUGAAGGUAUUCCCUGAUAAAAACAUCGCUAGAAAAAUUUUGAGCCUUCCCAAAAAGUUCUUUUGUACAACUCAAGGUUACAUUUAUUUCCUAAAAAAUUACACUCCAAGUGGACGACCCUUUCAUUGUCAAAACUGUUUACCCACACGGAGCUGUAGAAAUUGAAAAUCCAAGUAAUGGAAAUACUUUCAAAGUUAAUGGACAUCGUUUGAAAACAUUUUUUGAGAAUUUCUAUAAAUUGGAAGAGUCCAUUACCUUGCAUGAUUUUAAAGAUUGAUAUCAUUUUCUCAUUAUUUUAUUUUGUAUGGUUCUUUUCAAUGUUAUGUGUUUGUUUUAGGUGUGUUUCUUUUUUUCGUCUUUUUUCUUUUUCUCUCUUAUUUUUUUUAAUGAAAUUGAAGGUUCAUCUAGGCCAAGUUUAUAUAGACUCUCCAGGUACAACUCAAAACUCAUCUCUUUGUUUAAAAUUUUGCUCCUUACUGUCCUUCAUAUAUUUUGCAUGUUUAAUUUUCAAAUUGAGGACAAUGUUUCAUUUAGGUUGGGGGACCGAUGAUGAUAUUAUUUAAAAUUGUUUUUAUAUUAUGAAUUUUGACUAUGGGAUGCUGCUUUGAUUUAAUUGAAGCUUGUUCAUGUUAGAUUGAUUUACAUUGAGUACAAUAAUCAUGAAAAUCACAUAUUAUUUAGAUUGGAUUAAUGGACAGAAUAGGUAAAAUUAACUAUGACAAAAAAAAAUUCCUAUUAAACCAAUUCUAGGAUAAUUUGGUAUGGUUGAGUUGUUGUAAGGAAACAUUGAGAUAGAUGUGGAUUCCACGUGUGUUAAAUUUUGUGUGAAUUGCUUAAAACCAAUGAGAUGAUAAUUAGGUGAAAAUCUUAAGUUAGAGAUCGAUUUUCAAGAAUGGGUGUUUAAUAAGAGGCAUUGCACUAAUCAUUGCAUAUAAGGAAAAAAGCUGACAUGUUGUGAAGCUACCCUAAAAGAUCCCAAUGAGGACAAUUAUGGAUAUAAAAAAAAAAGAUUAGGCUAGUACAUGAAACAGAAUACACAUGGCAAACUUGAAAAAAAGUAGGUGCAUAAAACAGAAGGCGCACUACAUGCCAUGAUUAAGUCUCAAACACUUAUUUUAGAGAAUUAGACCUUUGAUAAGAGAUUAGUAGCUUAAUUGAUUCUUGGAUGUUGAAUCAGUCAAAAAUAAGGAGAAUCCUCAUUUAUUGAUGUGUUGAGCUGCAAUUAGUAAAAUAUAACCAAACAAGAGAGGGUGGGUACUAAUAUAUAAAUUUAACCAUAAAUCACACCAUUGGAAAAUAGUUACAAAAUAAAGUUUGUGGACGUCCAUCCCAUGAGAGAAGAAAGAAAUAAUUGGCCAUUGUGGGUUGGGACGAGUCCAAUUUGAAAAAGUAUGUGAUUGAAUUGAUUAUGCACACACACACAUUGGUAGAGCAUUGGACAAGUUAGACUAUGUUUUGAUAUAAAACCUUAUAAGCAUUUUGUUAAGCAGUUUCAAAUCCUGAGACAAGUGCGACAAGCUAUUUCAUUUAAACUAUUUUUGAAUUUUUAUUGCUAGAGACUAGCAAUAUCUUGAUUUGGGAGUGUGAUUAGUGUCUAAAAGUAUUUCAAAGAUAUAUCAUUUACAAGACAUUUUACAUUUAUUUUUGUAUAAGUUUACUAAUGUUAGUCUCUAUUUCAAUUCUUUUGCCAUAAAUUCAAUUUUCGUAAAUACAUGGUUAAAAGUGUAAUUAAUCGAAAUACGCAUUUACAUACAUGUCGGCAGGAGUAUUAUACUUUUGAAAGAGUAUUUAUUUGAUGUAUUUCACAUGCAUUUUCAAUGUAGAACAAGUGGAGCAAGUGGAGCAAAAAAUGUUGAAAAGUCAAGAAUAAUGAGCUGUCUUCAGCGAAGAUGCAGCUGUCUCGAUAAAAUGGUCAUAACUUGAGUUGUAGAUAUCAAAACAAGGUGAUUUAAGUUGUAUUGGAAACAUAAGAUAUGUAUCUACAACUUUUAUGUUUUACAAGAAGUCAAAUUCUCAUCAUAAGGCAGCUAAAAUUACCAUGAAAAAUUCAAGUUGUUACCUGCUAGAUACAUCUUUUCUACCUUGAGCAGCACUCAUUAUUUUGAUCAUAUCUGGUGUUGUAGGGAUUCAAUGGACCUAAAAUUUGUACCAAUGAAAUAUAACUCAGUUGGAAACAAUUUAUCUGUUGAUCAAAAGUCCUAAUUCUCCGCACAAAGUAUCUGAAAAUUGGCAUCAAAUUGUAUGUUCCAGCUGUCUUCAAGUUGGAUAGAAACAAGUUGCAUUGUCCUCUUGCAUUUUUGAUGUUCCUUUACCUAUAAAAGGGGACCUUGGCCUAAAUUUUGAGAGCAUCAAUUUCAUUUCAUCAUAUUCUAGUUUCCUUCAUUUUCUUUGUAACAUAUCAUUAUGUAUUUCUCAACAAUUAGCUAGAGCUAGGGGUGAAACUUUGCUGAAUGUUUAGUAUUGUCUUUGAUCUUUCACUUUGUUUUUCAAUGUUCAUCUUCUUACUUGGUUGAAAUAUAUGUUCUAUAAAUGGUUUUGAUUUGUUAAAGAUUUUGAUUUAUUAUUGACAAUUUUGGCACAAUAAAUACUUAGAUAAUCUCUACAUACCAACAACUUAUUUUGACAUAUUUUUUCAAACAAUUAUUAAGAACUAUAUUUUAGUAUAUUUGUGAUCAAUGUUCUAUUUUCCAUAUGAGAUUACUCCCUAGUUGAUUUUCAUAUGAGUUAAAUCAAAGAUCAAGAGUAAUUUCUACUCAUUUAUCCAAAGUGAAUCCCCAACGCUCUACUAUUCUUCUCCAUCGUAUUUUCACCAACCGUUUACUACUCAUAGACUAGUUCAUUUCCUUCCAAUUCCCUGUGGUUCGACCUCGGACUUUCGAGUUUACUACUUGAGACAACCUGCACUUGGAUUUGCAACCUUAAAGUUGCAGCACUUUGCAUGGACCUUAGAGAUUUAAUUCACAUAGAGAUAUGGAAUUGAUAUUGUUAAAUAAAAUCAAUUUGAACUUGAAAGAGGUAAAUUGAGUAUGUUAGUUGAAUUUGACUAAGUUAACAUAAUCAAUUGUUAUGAAAUUUGUUGAUUGAAGUUAAGAUGACAGUUAUGAUAAACUGAAACUUGACCCCAUCGUAUAAAAAAUCAAUUUUUAUUGUUUUACUACAUUUAAAAAAAAUCACAAAAGAAAAUAACUAUUUUUAUUAAUUCUCAAUCGAAUUGAAGUUAGGAAUAAUUUAACCAGUAGUUAGAUUGUAGUUCUCUUGGGAAUGAUAUUCAGAUUCUAAGGUUCACUUUAUUACUUGUUACGACCCAAACAUUUACGAGAUAUAAAAAUCGACAACAAUUUUUUGGCGUCUACAAUAGCGGAUAGUUGUUGCUAGAUAAUAUUUUGUAUGGAGAUGGAAUUUGUAUCUGUGUUUUAAACUUCAACUAAGUUUGUUUGUUUGUUUGGCUAUUUUGAAUGAAUUUUAUUAGACAAUAUUUUGUUUGAGGGUUGAACUUGUCGUUUUCAUUAAAUUAUGCUUAUUAUUAUUUUUAUUUUAGUUUGGAGUUAUAUAAUAUUUAGUUGUGGUGAUAGAACUUUAAUUUGCAUUUAUAAUUUGAAAAGUUAAGUUUUGGAACCAAAACUAAACAAAACCAACUCCCAAUCGAAUGGUUUGAUUUUGGUUCAGUUCCAUUAUUACAAAUGAAAUCAAUGGUUUCGUUACCAAAACAACAAUAAUAAUAAUAAUAUCAUUGUUCUUAGUUUGACUCGAUUAUGUUGGAUCCAGAAUCAAAUCGAACCAUGCACCUUCUUAUUGCUCACACUUUGUUUUCAUAUCCAUUUUUCUUAAUCAUCCUCAUCAAACUCACCAAAUUAAUAAAGUUUGCAAUUCAAUAAAAUAAAACUUCUAACAUGUUAGCAAAAUAAUCUCAUAUCUGUAUAGAAAAGAAAAGACAUAACUUGAAAGAUCGCAUUGUCGAGUCUAUUAUAUGAAUUCUUGAAGUCAGUCAAAUCAUAGAAGUCUGUUAAACAUACUGUGAUCAUUUUAAUAGACUGCAAUAUCGCCUUGCAAAAAAUUCAUUCAAACACACUAAGUCCAUGUGUACAUUCUAAGAAAAAAUGCAUUAUUCAUGUCAAAUCAAUGGGAAAUGUGUGGUUAAAAAAAGAAAAAAUUUUUAGAUUUGUGUGUAAUAUUAUUUUUUUGAAAAAUUUGUAGUUGAAAUGAUGUCAAAUCACUGUUGAAAAAAGUAUUUUUUUUUUUUUUAAAUAAUGUGACUCAAACAAACCCUAAAUUUACAAUGAAUAAGUAAAAACAAAAGCAAAACCAAGGGUUUAUUAGUUACUUAUACUUAAACAAAACUGAUCUCCUGCUCCACUGGGCUGGAUAUUAGUUUUUCCAUCGUACCAUAUCAGCAGUUCGACGUUCUAUUUUAUUUUUUGACUUUUCUCCCUACCAAAACCCGCUAUGCCCCUUUAUUGCCUCACUAUCCCCAUUUACUUUAUUAUCACCCGAUCACCGUUUCAUUAUCCUCCACCCAUUUUAUUCCCUAUUCUUAUCUGCCACUUUGAUUUUCCCAACCACUUCUCUUCACCUGUCAUUGGUCUUCUUUGUAAUAUUUUCGAUAUAUAUUAUUUAUUUAAUUUGAUUGUAAAAUUAAUUAAAAUGGCCAAAAUUUAUUUUUUAUUCAUGGUUUUCACAUCAAAUUAGGUCAUUCCGAUUCAUAUUUUAGAGUGUCAAGAUCACUGAAUCAUUUAUUUCAUUAUUUUUAGUAAUUUGUAAAGUGUAGUAGUUGAAAAUAAAAUACAUAAAUGCAAUGUAAAUUGAAAAUCCGUGCUAUAUGGAAAUAGUUCAAAAACAAACCGUCAAAAAAUAAAAAGUAAAAACAAAAAUAAAAAGAAUUAGAAAACUCUUACAUAUAUAUCCCGACUCAAAUGUCGCCACUUAUAUAUACACACUUCAUUACAACAAUGAGUGGUACAAGCAUACAUGUCCACAGUAUAGUAAACCAAAAAAGUGCACAAGUGAAAACUCAGUGUCCUAAACUCAGUAAGAAGGGAUUGUAUAUCGUCCUAAACACAGUCCAGAGGAAAUACACAAAAAUGGCUCUUCCACUGUAGCAAAAAUUGACAUUGGUCUUUGACCCAUUAAAUGAAUUAAAAAAAAAACAAAUUAAGUUAAAAAAAAAAAACUUCACAGUAAAAACCCAUUUUACCCUUCAGACUGUUUGAAUUAUCUCUCACCGACCGAUCGACCAGUGCAGAAAUCCGACCGACCGACCACCGGAGUUACACCAACGUCGCAAUCAACAACCAUCAUCUACAGUGGAAAUUAAAGAACCAGUUAGUUUUCUGAUAUUUUCUCCAGUUCGAAUGCUUUUUUUCAUAGUAUCCCAUUAAAUUAGAUCCAUGGGCAUGAGUAGUUAAAUUGUGGGCAUGCUGGAUUGUGAAAAAUGUGAUUUUUUGCCAUUUUUUGGAGCUCAGUGGCCGGGAAUGGCAGUUUUCGAUCGUUUCCCGGCCACCGGGCUCGUUGCAGUCGCACCAACCGACUGUAACAGUCGGUGUAACCGACUGUUAACAGUCUGGGCCGAAUGUCAGACUGUUAACAGUCGGGCAGUCUGGGCCGGUAAACCGGCCCAGAUUAAAUAUUUAAAUUAAAAUUUUUUUUAUAAUUUUUGUAAUUAAUUAAAUUUUUUUAUUUGAUUAAAUAGUAAUUAUAUUAUUUAUUUAUUUAAUUUUUUUAUCAUUGUCAAUAUAAUAUAAUAAUUGAAUUAUUGUAAAAUUAAACAAUGUUGAUUAUUUUUUUUAUGAAAUAAUCUUUAAUUUAUUUUUUCAAAUUUAUUUAAAUAAUAUAAAUAGUCUUUACAUUUUUCGAAAAUGUAAAGUAAUUAUUUAUUUAAUUUUUAUAUUUGUCUUUUAUAUAAUUUAAUAAUUGAAAUAUUCUAAAAUUAACAAUUUUGUGUUGUUCUUUUUUUUUUUUAUGAAAUAAUCUUUAAUUUAUUUUUUAAAUUAUUUAAAUAAUAUUUAUAUUCUUUAAUUUUUUUGACAAUACAUUUAAUUUGAUUUGUUGUUUUUUGUAAAUAUAUUUUUCAAAUGUAAUAUUUGUAAUUGUAUGAUAGUUAGAGUUCGGUUCUCUUGAUUUUGUGAGAUUAUGCUUUAUUUUGUUAUCUCUUGUUUAAUGCUAUAACAUUUAAAUUUUUGCAGGAUGGAGUAUCAUUUAGAUGCAGAGUUGAGACGGAUGUCGGGGAAAGCUACUUGGAACAGUAGCUUUGAGAGUUUUACUGUUGUAUUGGAACUGCUCGAUGAUCAGCAUGGAGAUAUUCUACGACAGUCCUUCUUGUGGCCACUAUACCAGUUGCGAGAGGUGCAGUACUCAGGACAGAUCAUUGAUGCACUUCUAUGUCAGCUUCUGAGGCCAGUCGCCGGCGAUUCCCUCCAGUUCGACCUCAGGGGCAAGGUCGUCAGUUUCUCGAUGUUUGAGUUUACAUUGAUCACUGGACUGAAGAUUACGGGCGACGAUGCAGCCAUGGAGAGAAGCAGUAGGCUGUAUGAGACGUACUUCCAGGGACAUGGGUCGGUGCUUCUACCCGGCUUGAUGGUCGCGAUCAGGGAGUGCGACCAUAUGCUAGAUAGAUUGAAGCUUGGGCUGGUCUACAUCCUCGAGAGUGUGAUGAGGUGUCAUCACAAGAAGACUGCCAUUGACAUUUUUCAUUUGCAAGUUGUUGACGACAUCGAUGCGUUCAACAACUAUCCGUGGGGCCGAAGAUGCUACGAAGACACCGUACAUGUGUUCACCAGAUCGCACUCGAGGCCCAGGGGGUCGAUGGGUAAAUACGAUACAUAUGGAUUACCGUUAGCAGUGCAGGUAAAUGUUUAAUAUAAUCAAAGUUAAAGUUUUAGUGUAUUACAUUGAUGCUUAAUAAGUGUAUGUGUUACAGAUUUGGGUGUAUGAGACAGUUCCUGUACUGGGGGCCCGCUUUGCGCAGCGAGGGGAGACACGCUGCCCUCGGAUGCAUCAUUGGAGAUCAUCGCGAGCGGAGGGAUGUCCCACUGGGAAGCAGUUAUCGGCCCUCCUCGACGAUCCUCGGGUAAGUAUUAUGCAUUUGUGAUUUAUAUUAUACGUAGUUUAAAAUUUUGUUUACAUGAUCGUUAAAUAGUUGAAAUGUCAAUAUGUCAGCUUGAAGUCAUACCUGAGUUGACGCCAUCGAUGGAAGAGGAGGCUCGGGGUCUUGUGCGGGAUUUAGGCGUUCCGCACACCCCAGACGAGGAGAUGCCUGAUCCGAGCUUGGACCGAGAUUGGGUAUGUGAAUGAAAUAUAAUUUAUUGAAUAUGAUCGACGUAUAAAUUUAUUGAAUAAUUUAUUGAAUAAUUUUUCAUUUUAUUUAUUUAGGAGGGCGGUCCAGCUGAUCGACGAUCACCUCCGCCGGGGCCAUCGUCGCUACCAUUGGCAUCAUCUCCGCCGAGAGUAUCGUGCCCGCCAUUGGCAUCACCUCCGUCGAGGGCAUCACCGCCGCUAGUGGCAUCACCUCCGCCGGGGCUAUCGCCGACGCCAUUGGCAUCACCUCCGUCCAGACACCUCCCCCGUGUGUCUCCGGGGCACAGUGAUGAUUUGUAUGCCCGUUUGACUGGAUUUAUAGCGGAGGAGGUCGGCGUGCUAUGACGAGAUUUGACGGAGAGGGUCGAUGAUAUGGGACGAGAGUUGACAGGGUGGGCCAACGAUCUGGCAGGGAAGGUUGACUAUAUGACAGGGAGGGUUGACGAUCUAUCCCAUGAUGUUGGAAUACUACAGUCUUCCGUUGUCGACCUUCAGGAUACAGUAGCGGCGCUUAGAGGAGAUUUAGCCGACAGACGAUGGGGGGACAGAGAGGAUGGCAGAGAUCAUGAUCGAGAUGGUGGCAGAGAUGGUGAUGGAGAGGGGGGUCACCCACAUUUUUGGCGUGAUGAGACAUUGGAGUCCUUGUGGUUGUCUAUGGAGGGAUGGCCCAUAUGGGGAUGGGAGAGGGGACUACGAAGGGGGCGGCCCCGACGGGAGGGGCGGAGGAAGUGGCGACGGAGGGGGAGGCCCCGACGGGAGGGGCGGAGGAGGCCCCCAUGGAGGGGGCGAAGGAGGUGGCCCCGGAGGUCGAGAGGACGCCCGGCGUGAUUGAGAGUAAGAGACAUGCUGUUGACGAGACGGAGCAGGUGGUCGGCAAGAGAUUGAGAGUGCCGUCACAGUAUGUUGUUUCCCCCUUCACGACUGAGGCCAAGAGGAGGACGUUCAUCGAUGGGACGUACCCGAACUUAUUCAGAGAGGUGGACAAUGCCAAGUGGAAAGCGUUCGAGACAUAGUGGAGGAGAAUUAUCCCCGGGUAAGUAUUGUAUGAUUUUAAUAAAGCACUGUACGCUAACUCGUCUACGCUUAUUUUAACAUUUCCCUCUUUUUUACAGAGCUAGCCGCACGAUAGGACAAAGGACAGUCUCGGACCCUUACAAGUGGUUCCACGAUAUCACCACUGCGGGAGCUUGGCUCGCUGACGAUGUAAGUAAACUAUUCAUUUCGUGUUUUUUAUGUAUAUGUGACCUUGUGUUUAUUAAAUGAAUAACUCAUACUUUUUCGGUGUUUCCUGCUGCAGCACAUCGACCUGGCCAUGGACUUGCUACGAGAUCGAGCUCAAAGACAUCCAAAAUCAUUUGAUGUCCAUGUACUCGACUAUAUAUUUGUAUGACCCAGAUCAUUCAUGUUUGACACAAGGCCAGUUGGAGCAAAAUCUGGAGUCCGUGGCUGUCAUUGUUCCUAUGAUGGCCAGACGAGCGGGGGGUAAAUGUAUAGGACAGAUUGCGGAUCGUUCGGAACACGACGACAGCACGACAGUCCGUAAGGUAAGUGUUUGAACGUUAUUGUUUUCAUUUUUCAGAUUUAGUUUUUAUUUACACAGUACUAAACUGAUUCAUUCUUGUUCAAUUGCAGCGGCGAAUGCGGCAUAUUUGCCAUUAAGUACGUUGAAUUUUUAAGUAUAUGACAUAAGGUUGAUGAAAUCAACCAGUCGUGGAUACAGAACUGGAGAAAGAAGCUAGCAUGUGAUUUGUUCGAAUUUAAUGCUGACCCAUAAAUUUCAUUUAUAUAUAUGUAACAUUUCAAUUGUAAAUUUAAUUAUUUUUGUAAUUAUGAAAUAAUUGUAAAUUUGUGUUCAAUGUAUAUAACAUUCAAAUUGGAAAUUUAAUUAUUUUUUGUUAUUUUGAAAUAAUUGUAAAUUUGUGUUCAAUGUAUAUAACAUUCAAAUUGGAAAUUUAAUUAUUUUUGGUUAUUUUACCCGUAUGCCGAGUGUGGAACUAUUUUUUGUAUAUUGAAGAUUUAUAAAUAACAAAUAUUGAACUGUGUAAAGUAAAAGGAAAUAUUAUUCAUUUCACGUACCUGUCUAGUCGUCAUUUAGGGGAAUUUGACUGGUACAAAAUUGUCGAGUAUGCCCUAUGGCUUUGCACCGGCCACACCUACGCGGUCGAGGAAACUCUCCGGUAGAUGGUAUUCUAGAUGUACUUGGACGUCCAGGACCACGCGGUUCAACUGCUGGUGGUAACAAAUUAUGAAAUGGGAGAAUGUGCUCGGGAACUUCCCACUCGGCUUCAUUCGGCAGAGGAAAUAUAGUCUCGGCAUAUGCUUUUCUCCAAGACUCAGUCGUAUAAUACAAAGAGCACAACGUUCUCGCAGCAAAGCCUCGAUACAUGGCCACCGUAACUGCAUGCUCACAUGGAAAACUCUCUAACUGAAAUCUCGUAGAAGUGCAUGUAUUAUCAGUCAAGUCCACCAUAUAUGCCGUAUUACGUGCACAUUGCACGAAGAAGCGAAACUCAUCUAGUGCUUCCACAUUCAACUUCUUCGCAACCUCUGCCGCCUUAAACAGUUUCUCCUCUUGAGCUGGGGCCAACACGCUAGUGUAACUCUUUGAUGCCGCACGUCGGUCAUGAAACCACUGUUGUAGCUUGUUACGAAUGUUCUCAAUCAUUACGAGAAUUGGUAACUCUCGAUCCUUCUUAAACAAUGCAUUGAGAGACUCCGCGUUAUUCGACGUCAUCAUGUUGUAUCGACGUCCUGGAAAGUAUGACCGCGUCCAAUGUUCGAUCCCCAUCUUCGUCAGAUACUCCAACGCCGGUAAUGAUUUACUUCCUAUCUCGAGCAUAAACUUAUUACACUCUUCAGCACUGUAAGCUUCGGCUGCUCUCCUGAACAAUGAAACGAUGCCUGUGCCCCGAUACCUAGUCUUCAAAUUACCUUGUAUAUGGUACAUGCAAUACCCGUGAUGUGCCUCGGGAAAAACUUCAGCGAUACCGUUUAUUAUAGACUGUCCUCGAUCGGUUACAAAGGCAAGGUUUUCAACUUCCCCGAUCACUUCCCUCAGUUUAGAAAAGAACCAACGCAUGGACAGAUCAUUCUCGCUGUCGACUAUGCGGAAUGCAAUAGGGUAAAUUUGGAUGUUGGCAUCUUGACAUUUAGAAAUAAUUAAUUUGCCUUGAUAUUUAGCUUUCAGAGUCGUACCAUCAACUAGAAUUACGGGUCGCAUUGCAUUUCAAAAACCCCGAAUACAUUGUCCGAGAGCCAUGAAAAAAUACUUAAAACAAUUAUCACCCCCCGUCUCAAUAAAAAAUGUCGUGCCAGGAUUAGUUGUCCCUAUGUUAUGGCAAUACCUAGCCAAUUUAGCAUAGCUCUCUUUAGCCGAUCCCAUUAAAUCCUCCAACGCAUAUUCUUUGGCCUUCCAUGCUUUCUGAUAGCUCAUGACCACUCCGUACUCUCGACGGACGUCGUUAAUGAUGUUUGAAGGUCUGUAGAUCGUUCGUGGAUCCUGAUACUUGUACAUUAUCUGUCGACCAAUAAACCAUGCUCGAGCUUGCCUGUGAUCGUUUCAAAAAAUUCCCACUUCGCAAGUAUGUUCCCGUAAAUACUUGCGAAUUACGAAGCACUCAUUCGUGUCCAUCUUAGUUGCUCUCAAGCGCCAAUUGCAACUGUCUUCGACGCAAGCAACUGUCAACAAUGACUUGUUUGAUUUCUUUACCUUGAACUCAAAGUUAUAUUUUAAUGCCAGCCGGUGCACAGCUUCCUGCAAAUCUUUCUUGGUUUCAAACAGUUUCUCGACCUGCAAGUCCUCAUCAUUGGGAGCUACACGGGAAGAAUUCGAGGAUGGUCCACUUGUUCCAACCUGUGAGCUCCCACCAAGCUCGUGUCUCUGUCAGGAUAAAGCAAUCAAAUUCUCAUUUGUAAAGUCGUUUAUGUUCUCAUUGUCUUCAACUGUUGACGGAAUUCUGCGCGUAACAGCGACAUCACGAUCAGAAGCAACUGUCUCAGGAAUAUCCACAUCAUCCGCAGGAACUAUCUCCACUGUCUCCCAAAAACCUCGAUCACUGUUAUCCGCCCUAUCCGAAUCUUCGCGUUCACUUUCGAUAACAUCCUUCGUAAUUAAAGUCACACCAAGAACAGUCGGAGUCCGAUGCAUUUUAUUCAAUUCUAAUAGAUAAUUCAAUUCAGCAUCAUUAGUAACGAAUACCGAUGGCAUCGGAAUGGAUAAAUCCCCAUAAUCGUUGAAUAGAUAUCUCAAUUGCAUAUCGCAUUGAGAUUGAUCGACAUUCAGCUUAUUUUGCAAAUCGUGGUACAUUUCUAAGUAUGGUGUACUCUCUGUUACGGGAAUUGCAAUACAACCACGUAUGUCACUCGUCCAUCUCCAUUCCCACCGAUUAUUUUCAUUCAAUUCGAAAUCACCGAAAUAACACACGGGGAUUAUCGUAUCUGCAUGAGGAAAUGGUUUUAAUCAACUUCAAAUAUUAAUUAUAAGAAAGAAAAAGGCAAAAAAUCAGCUGCAGCCAAGGCUGUUUAACAGCCGGCUAUUAGGCUGUUUAACAGCCAACAGCCGGACUGUUUCAGACUGUUUUCACUGUUUGUUAAGUUAAACCAGUUUGCCGUAGGAGAAUACCGUUCUAAAAACGAAAUUAAGCAUGCGUAAUUUAAACGUAAAUUAUACAUCCGUUUAAUUUUUUUUUGAUAGGUUCUGUUAAAAACAAUCUAUGUCGACAUAAAAUUUCUCUAUUUAAACGUAUACUAAUUUACUUAAAACGAAAUUAAAUAUGCGUAAAUGUACUUACCGAUUUGAAAUAAUUGAUGUGAAAAAAAUUUCCAGCUUCAACGUUCCAAAGUUCUUCUAGAUUUUGAGGUUCAAGCAGAUGAAAAGAUGAGAGUUUUUUCUGUGUUGGAAGCUCGUUUUGAAGUUUUUAUAAGUGGAGAAAUGUUUGGUUUUCAAUUAUUAAGUAAAAGUGUAGUAUAGUCCUUUCAAUAAUAUAUUGUUUUGUAAUUGUACAAAAUAUUUAAGGACAUCUUUGUCUUUUACCAUACAAGAGGCCAAUGUCAUAAUAUUCAUGAUUUUGGAAAUCAAACUGAAAUUUUGCUCUUUUGCCUGGGUCAAAAUUAAAAGUACCCCGUCCAAUGCAAUACAAACCAAAAACACGCGUCACUGAAUGAGAAUUCAUUAGAGGUUCAAACAUAUUUAAUUUAUGAAAACUUAUCUCUUGUCCACAGUGGUAGGACAUCAAAUGCCUUGCUAUCGGACAAUAACAAAACAGCACAAUCAUGGCUGCAAAUCAUUGGUUGCACGAGCAAUAGAGACAAAAUGUCUCCUAGUGCCAGGUUACCACCCCAAGAUACAAGUCAACAUUUAUAGUAAUCCAAAUAAAAAUUUCACAAAAUCAUCAUCAUACUCUUUUCAUUUACAUAGCAUACCAAAAAAAUGAUUUGCACAGCAAUGUUCAAAUUAGAAUUUCAUGAAAUCAUCACCACAUCAUGUUUAUUUUCCACUAGCAGAUUAAAAAAAAAAUGACUUGCACAGCCAUGAUUUAGUCCCCCGCCCAUCCCUUUUCCCUUUCAUCCAUUUCUCCCAAUCACUGACUUUGGAAAACACGCCUUUUUAAAAUUUGUUUACUUUUCUUGUAUAAAUUUUGAAAAAAUCAUGGCAGUAGCCCUUACCUAUCCCCACCCAGUACAACAUCAUCAACCCAACACUAUUAACCAAAAAUUUUAAAGAUCCAUAUCUUAAAUCUUAGAAAAACCACAGCAAAAUCAUAUGAUACAAUAAUGACCAAUAGAUACAUAUGGUGAAAAACAUUAAAAUAGUAAAUAUUGUUAGUGAUAGAGAGUUUGGCGACAGCAACAAUGAUGAUGGAUACAGGGUUAAAGGAAAAUAGGAAGGGGAGAGGGAAAAGGUUCUAUGGAAGCUCGCUCCAAGAUUUUCGAAACGAUGAUUUUCGUGCUUAGUUUCACAUUACCUUUCUUUACCAGAUAAUCAAUCCAAAAUUUUUUGACCCACUGUUAAUUACUUGUGGGCUGCCUCACAUGAUUCUUGGCUUCGUGGGCCUCUGCUAUUGGCCAAAUGCUCCACCAGGUUGCUGUGGCUAUUUCAAGUUUGAUAAAAUCGUGUUUUGAUAAAAACACCUCUUCAAGAAUUAAUAUUAGCCGUAUCGUGGCUAAAUCUCUGCCCUCUGAUUGUUUGGAUUAAUACGGAUACUUACACUGGGUCUUGGCCUUUUCAUUUGCUAUUCUAGAGAAUUCUUUUGGGGAAUCUCUUCGUCUUACUCUCUGUCGUUCUCUUUGUCCUUCGUUUUCUGAGUGAAAAUAAGGGUUUGGCCAUGUUAGAUGAAAUCGAUCUUUGUGAUUGAUAAUAUUCUGUUCUUUGUGUAGAGAAAUGGUUAUUUUGUGCAAUCUGUGAAAGUGAUAGCAGUGUUGUGUUGUUGUGUCAAGAGGCAAGAUAAACUCGAAGAAAUUUCCAAUUUCUUCGUACAUUUAUACACUGUUCUUGUUCGUUAUUAGUGGAUCUAGAGCUUAAUCUCGUGAGAAAUGCUCAACGGGUGAUUAGGUUGCAAAAUCGAACAUCCAGGCCCUUUUAAAAGGGCAAAACAUAUCUUGUUUUAAUUUUCUUUAAUUUCUGCAGUUCUUUAAUGGUUUUCUAAAGAUCGAUCCCAAUGUUUUAAGUUUUAAAAUAUAACACCCACAACUAAUAAAUUUACCUCGGUUGCUUCUCAAUCUUACCUACAAAUGAUAAGAUAAUGGUGUUGAAGUUUGCAAGCCACAAAGGCACAAGAAAAAAUGAUGGAAAAAAAAAAGCACAAGAUAGAGGUCAAAGCCACAUAUAUAGUAAUCGAUUUUUCUCUCAAGCAAGUUGUCCGAUUUUUCACAACAAGAGGGCAACCACGGUUUUUUCUCUUCACAUGCAAAUUAUACACUCCACAACGGCUAAGUUAAGCAACAUAUAUAUAGGAAUAGGUUAUUCUUUAGCUGGAACAAUAAAUGGGUUAAAUGGGUCAAGAUCAAGAGUCGUCUAAUAGGUAAAUAUAUGGAUUAUGAGCAACAUUAAUUUCUUAAGCUACUUGCAACGGUCCAUAUUGUUUUCGUGUCUAGCCUUUAAACUUGAUUGUUGGUAAUCAAUUCACCAUAAGUCCAGGCCCGUGAAAAUAUAUUCCGACAUUUUACAUCAUCACUCGGGAUUUAUUGGGUAUCAAAACCCAACAAAAGGGGUUGGGGAGAGAAAAAUGGACGAUUUAGUAAUAUUACUGUGUGCAAUGCAGAUUUCGAUGACGACGAGGGCGAAGGCGAAGUCUAACGAUGGAGGAAGCCCAAAAUGAUCAGAGAGAAUGAAUGAAAGGAAAAAUGUAGCUAGAAAAUAAUGGGAAGGGUGGGUGAGUGGGUUUUUGGGAAGGGUGGGUGAGUGGGUUUUUGUACCAUUGAUGUGGCAACUAAUAUCUUGCACGCUAAGGGAAAGGAUUAGUUCCGUUAUUUUAAAUACAAAGAAAGAAAAAAAAUGGAGGGAGAUGUAGUUUGUUAACGUUCUUUCAAAUUUUCAACAUGGAGAACAAUUCUAAUGGUAUAAAUGUCCCUUUGUAAACAUAUAAGGGACACUUUUAGCCUCUGCUGUCUUCAUUUGAAAUAAAACCUUUUAAUUUUCAUAUUCAUUUUCUACCACACAUUUACAGAAUAAAAUAUUUUUCACGAAAAUCCAAAAAUUGUCUCUAUUUUAUAACCAAACAUUCUUUAAAAAAAUUACUAUUCAAAAUAUCAUUUUUUUCCCUACCAUCAAACAUGGACUUAAAAUAUAAGGGUAUUUCUGAUUUUUUAACAUAUAAUGGGCCUUAAGAACUUAUUUUGAGUAAGCUACACUCCUAAUCACAUUUGAUAGUUUGACAACAUUUUCUAGAAAAUAGCCACAUCAGUUCUAUUUUAUCUGUUCAACAAGUUUGUGGAUGGAAUUUCUGAAGAAGAGUUAGAAUGGAAUUUUCUGGGAGGCUAGUAGUCCUUAUAUAGCACACAUGGAUUACUUACUGUCCUGUUUCGCCAUUUAAUUGGGGACUUCAACGUAAUACGUUGUGUUGGAAAAAUAAUAGAGUGAAGACUUUAAAAACCAAAAACAAACUUACCGACCUUACCAAAAUUGGACAAAAUAUUAGCAAGGAAACAAGGAAAUAAUAACGUCAAAUGAAAUGGAUGUAAAAUCGAGACAAGAGUUGAACUCUUCGUCCUUAAGUCAACUUUGCCCCAUAACGGUGCCUACGAGAUGGCAAUCGAUUCCCAAGAUACAAUAACUAUCCUAUUAUGUUAGAAGCACUCUAAAACACAAGAUCAUUGAACCAAAACCGAAUUUUGUACACCUUUUGAAUGAACAAAAGAAAACCAGAAUUUAUAUAGAAUUUUGGUAAAAAAAAGAAGAAGAGGAAAUAGUGUUAUGCUAUGAUUGCAUAUCAUUAGGAUGAAGAAAUGGAUGUCCCAAGGGUUCUAUUUAUUGAGGGAGAGAGGUUGCGAGUGAAGAGACACGAUCCAAACUCAGCAACCUUUGCCAAGAGUCAUAGCUUUUUCUGUCGCUUGUUUUUCGCUUUUGCCUCACUCAAGUGUCAAAAAUAGUGGGCCCAUUGCUCGCCUGCCAUUGGCCUAUCGCUCGAGCGAUAGCCUCACCGCUUGAGCACCAAGCGAGUGGCAAAGUUGGUCGAACUCCAACCAUUUUUCCUCUCUUUUUUCACUUUGGACUGCAAUUUUUCAUUCAUUCGGAACUGAUUUCGACAUUCCAAAUAUACAACAACAAUCUACUUGAUGAGUAGAACAAGAUAUUCUAUUUGUAUUAGUAAUUUAACUAUCGAAUCAAGUCCGAAUAUUUGGUGGAAAUUGACACGAAAGUCACUUUUUCCAUUUUUAUACUUAACCAAUUUCAACAACUUCCCACAUGAACGAAAAUUCACAAUAUUCAAUGCACAAUGCAAAUGAUAUGCAUACUCUAACAAAAGGAGUACAUAUGACAAGUUAUUACAUCAACAUAGGUGGCUUAUGGCUUGAACCUUCCUUAGUUGUGCAUAAUUGAAUUUACUAAGCUAAUUGUUGAAUUUGACAUCUUGAACCAUUUAGCUAUUCGUGUAAAUCAAAAUAACUGUACCAAUACCAUAACUUAUCUUACCAGUUCAAUUCUCAUGGUUGUGUUUAUUUUCGCCCUAAACAACUCUUGUUUCAUAAGUGUUUUAGGAGAAUUUAAGCCUUAAAUUAGUUAGAAGCAGUCCCACUUCACACUUAUAUAGGUGAUCUUCUACCUUUCUGCCAAGGUAUAGGAAUCAUUAAUGUAUACACUUAUCCUUAUACAAAGUUUUACUCUAGCACAUAAGGUUUGUAGGAAUGGGAGUAAGUACUUUACUCUGAAUCUUUUAUAAUUUAGUUGUCCCAUUGAACCAAGAUCUUGAGAUCACCAAUGGAAUUUCGUUAUGGUGAUUCUAUUUGAUAGGCUAUAGGUUCAUACCUCCUCGAAAGAUGGUAUACUUGAUCUCUUGUAAGUCCUUUUGUCAAAGGAUCCACUACGUUGUCUUUUGGUUCAACAUAAUGGAUCGAGAUUAUACCAUUUGAUAUCAACUAUUUAAUGGUGUUAUAUCUCCAACAUAUAUGUCAAGAUUUACUAUUAUACAUACUAUUUUAUACCCUUGCAAUUGCCAAUUGAUUAUCACAAUGGAUAUUAAUCGCAGGUACGAACUUAUCCCAACAUGGAAUAUCUUUGAGAAAAUUAUGAGGUCAUUCCGCUUCUUCUCCUGUUUUAUCCAAAGCAAUAAACUCAUUUUCUAUUGUGGAUCGACCUAUAAAAGUUUUGCUUAGAUGAUUUUCAGGACACAUCUCCACCUCCAAAAUAGACUUUGGAAUCUUUUGCGUCAAAUAUCUAAUUUGCAUCGGUAUAUCCUUUUAGUACAACAGGAUAUCUUGAGUAGUGUAAUCCAUACCCAACCGUGUGUCUUAAGUAUUUAAGUACUCGGGUCAAUAGCUUCCAAUGAUCAAUACUUGGAUUACUUGUAAACAUACUUAACUUGUUGACUACAUAUGCUAUAUCUGGACGUGUGCAGUUGGUAAUGUACAUCAAAUUGCCUAUAACACACGAAUAUUCCAAUUGAGAUACGGGAUCACUCGUGUGUUUUGGCUUAAGUGUAAACUAAAGUCUACCAGUGUCUUAACCGGUUUAUCAUCAUACGCCUUAAAUUUCUUAAAUAUAGCCUCAAUAUAGUGUGAUUGAGACAAUGAUAAACCAUCAAGUGUCUUAGAGAUCUUAAUCCCUAAUAUUAUGUCUACAGUUCCCAUAUCUUUCACGUCAAAAUGUUUUAUCAACAUUUUUUUAGUUUAGAAAAUAUUGUUCGCGCUAUUUCCCAUGAUUAACAUAUCAUCAACAGGCAUACAAUCACGUAUUUGUUAGGUGUGUUUUUGAUGUAGACACACUUGUCUCAUUCAUUGAUUUUGAAGCCAUUUGGUAACAUAAUUUUGUCAAACUUUUCAUCCCAUUGCUUCGAUGCUUGUUUUAAACUAUAUGACGAUUUCACAAGCUUAAACACCUUCUUCUCAUUUUUCGAAGCAACAAAUCCUUCAGAUUGUCCAUAUAUAUUUCUUUUUUUAAUUCACCAUUUAGGCAUGUAAUUUUAACAUCCAUUUGAUGUAUUUCAAGAUUAUGCAAUGCCACGAUUGCAACCAAUACACAUAUAGAAGUGAUCUUAGUAACAGGUGAAUAGGUAACGAAGAAAUCUAGUCAUUCCUUUUGUCUAUACCUUUUAGCUGCUAAUCUAGAUUUAUAUUUGUCUAUUGAUCCAUACGAUUUCAAUUUUCUUCUGAAGAUCCACUUGCAACCUAAAGCUUUGCUUUCCGGAGGGAGUUCAACCAAUUCCCAAGUAUGUUUAUUCAUGAUGGAUUCAAUUUCAUUAUUAACCGCUUCUUUCCAAAAAAGAGCUUUAGGAGAGGAAAUUGUUUCAUCAAAUGUCAUUGGAUCAUUUUGUAGCAGAUGUGUUAGAAAUUUUGGACCAAAUGUCUUAUGAAUCAUUUGUCGUUUACUGGGCCUUGGUUCUUCAUCUUCUUGAUUAUUAUCACCUUCUAGAUGGUUUCUGCUUGUACCAUUAUAAAUUCAUUUGUGUGAAUUUAUUUCUUUUCCUUACACGAAAAAAUAUCUUCAAAGAAAGCAAUAUUCCUUGAUUCAAUGAUCGUUCCUUCAUGUACAUCAAGUAUUUUCGAUCUAUGAACCAAAAAUCAAUAUGUAUUACUAUUAUUUGCAUAUUCACUAAAGAUACAAUCUAUUUUCUUUGAUCCAAUCUUUACUUGUUUAUGUUUAUGUAUUUGUACCUUUGCUAAAUUUUCCCACACUUUAAGUAGUUGUAGGAAGGUUUUCGACCUUUCCAUAACUUAUAAGUUAAUUCAAUCUUACUUUUGUAUGAUAGUUUAUUAAGGAUAUAAUUUGUAGAAAGAAUUGCCUCUCCCUCAUAAGUUUUAAGGUAAGCUUGAACUAAUGAACAAUGCAUUCAUCAUUUCCUUAAUGGUUCAUCUUUUGUGUUCAGUAACCCCAUUUAACUGAGGUGAGUAUGGUGUUAUAGUUUGAUGAAUAAUUCCAAAUUCUAAACAAAAUUCUUCAAAUGGAGUGGUAUAUUCUCCAUCUCGAUCAAUACAAAUAAUUUUUAUUCGUUUUCCAAGUUGAUUUUUAACUUCAAUUUUAUAGUGCUUAAACAUUUCUAAAGCUUCAUCUUUACUUUUCAACAAAUAUACAUAGCAGUAUCUUGUACAAUCAUUUAUGAAUGUGAUGAGACCUUUUACCACCUCUCGUUUGUACAAACUUUAAAUCACAUAUAUCAAUGUAAAUAAGUUCUAAAGGUGUUGUGCUUCGUUAACUGAGUAAAACGGUGUUUUGGCUAACUUAAGCUCUACACAUAUUUCGCUUUUCCCAUUAUUAAAAUGUAUACUAGGUAAUAAACUUAAAUUCGUUAACUUGCGUAUAAAAUUGAAGUUUACAUGUCCUAAUCUAUGAUGCUAUAAAUUAGACAACUCAAGAAUAUAGGCAAAAGAAGAUAUUUUAUUCCUUGGGUUAUUUAGUAUAAUAGUAAGGGCAUUCAUCUUGAAUAGUCCAUCUUUUACAUAGCCUUUGCCUACACACAUAUUAUUUUUUGUAAAUAUACUUAUCAUAUACAAAGACCAGCUUAAAGCCAUUCUUGCUUAAUAGAGAACUUGAUACUGAAUUCUUGCGAAUAUCCGGCACAUGAAGAACAUUGUUGAGGUUAAAUUCCUUGACUGAUGUCAUCUUUAAGAUUACUUUGCCUUGUCCUUCUACUUUUGAACUUGAUGGAUUUUUCUUUGACAACUUCUCACCCUCGGCUGGAGUAUAGAAAGAGAACAUUCAUUUAUCGGCACAUAUGUGAUGGGUAGCUCCCUAUCCACCCACUACUCCAUGGGAUUUUUAACAUUGUUGCAUUAUGAAAUAAUGGCUGACAAAUUAUAUUUGAUAUACCAUCAGAUAUAGCAUCAGAUUCAGUGAUAUUUUUCUUGGUUCGCUUCUUAGGUUUGCAACAAUCGAUAGAGCGAGUUCGGCCUUUCCAUAGUUAUAGCAACUGUCCUUGAAUUUCUUUGCAUUCUUUUCAGAAGUUUCUAUGGAAUGUUUUCUUUCCUUGCUCUUGUUAUUUGACUCCACCCCAUUGGCCUUAGGCAUAUGGCAUCCAACACAUUUGUUCGGAGUUCUAUUAUCUUCUUCAAUUCUCAAUUGAAUGAUGAGAUCUCAUUUAUUCAUCUCAUUGCGCUUGUGUUUGAGAUAAUUCUUGAGGUCCUUUCAUAUGGAUAAAAGUUUCUUGAUAAUUAUAGUCACUUGAAAUUAUUUAUUUAGAGACAUAUUCUCUACGUGAAUGUUUUUGAGAAUCCCAAGUAAUUCUUGUACUUGACUGAUGACCGUCUUUGAAUCUACCAUUUUGUAGUCCAAAAAUUUAUCCAUGUUGAACUUUUCGCUUCAACGUCUUCAGUUUUGUAUUUCUUUUCUAAAGAUUUCCAUAGUUCUUUGGCAGAUUUCUUGGAGCUGUAUGUGUUAUAUAGCGCAUUAUCCAACCCAUUCAAUAUGUAGCUCUCACAUAAGAAAUUUGAAUGUUUUCAAGCAUCCAAUGCUAUUAGUGUGCCCUGUUAUUUUCCCUUCUUGCACAACGGGAUCAUCUUCAUUUUAGAAUAUUGCCAGGUUUAAGUCGUGAGAUAGAACAACAGUUUCUGCUGCCAUCACUUAAACUCAACUCCAAUAAAUUUAUCCGAUUUCUCUCCAUGUGGAAUGGAGUUUGUAUGAAUGGUGGGAGGGGCAACCGCAACACAAGGGAUCGUACCGGUAGGAACAAUUCCUUUUGAAGUUCCCAUAUUCAAUGUAUCAUUGGAAGUAGAAUUGGUAUUGAAAACCGUAUUCAUUUUUGUUUAAAUAAAGUAGAAGAUUAACCACAAAUCAAAUCCUAGAUGGAUAGAAUAUCUUAAAUCGAAGUGAAAUCAGCUUAACCGAGUAGGAUAAAGUAAUCACUCUAAAAAUUGACUAAAGAUGUUUGGAAAAAUAAUAGAGAGAUGACUUCAAAAACUGAAAACAAACUUACUUACCUUACCAAAAUUGAAUAGAAUACUGGCAAGGGAAGAAGGAAAAAAUAACGCCAGAUGAAAUAGAUGUAAAGUCGAGGCAAAAGUUGAACUCUUUAUCCUUAAGUCAAUUUUGUCCCACAAUUGUGCCUAGGAUGAUGGAAAUCAGCUCUCAAGAUACAACGACUAUCCUCUUGUGUUAGUAGCACUCCAAAACACAAGAUCAACGAACCAAAAUCGGAUUUUGUACUCCUUUUUGAAUGAAUAAAAGAAAACCAGAAUUUAUGCUGAAUUUUGGUAGAGAAAGAGGAAAUUAAUGUUAUGCUAUGAUUGCAUAUCGUCAGGAUGAAGAAAUGGACGUCCCUAAGGUCCUGCUUAUAAAGGGGAGAGGUUGUAAGUGAAGAGACUCAACCCAAACUCAGCAACCUUUGCUAUGAGUUGCGGCUUUUGCUGUCGCUCGCUAAUUACCUUUGCCUAUCUCGAGCGUUAAAAAUAGUGAGGAGGUCGUUUGCCUGUUGCUAGCUUGUCACUCUAGCGAUAGCCUCACAGUCACUGCUCGAGCGCCAAGCUAUCACUAGGCGAGCGGUGGAGUUGGUUGAAUUCUAGCCAAUUGUUUCUCUCUUUCUUUCCAACUUUGGAUUGGAAUUUCUCAUUCAUCCCAAAUUGGUUUUGAGAUUUCAAAUAUACCAUGACGAUUUACUCUACAAGUAGAAUAAGUUAGUCUAUUUACAUUAAUAAUUUGACUAUCCGAUCAAGUCUAAAUAUCUGGCCGAAAUUGACACGAAAGUCACUUUUUCAUGUUUAUACUUAACCAAUUCCAAAACAAUGGUCAUUGGUUUCAUUUCACAUCCAAGUUUCCAACAUAAACUGAAAUUCUGUCAAGUUAAUUGCGUUACACUCUUCACUAUGUAUCAGAAAUCACAGCUAACUUGAUUGUCAAAGUGAAACAUUUUUUCAACUUGUGACACAAACUAAUGCUUGCAGCUUGCAUUUGAGAAAAUGUUUCUUAGCCAUAUUAUUGCUUCCAUCAAAAAAAAUAUUAGUUUGUUUGGUGUGACUCCAAAUGAAACUCAUAUCUAAUGGAUUGAAAAGAGAAGAAUGCUAUAACUUAGCAAGAUAGCAUAAAAAAGAUUAGCUAACAGAAGAUGCUAUUUAUGAAGCAUAACUCAGUGAAGGCUAAGGCAGAAAUAUAAAAAAGAAGCAAGCUAUACUAGAUAAUUUGCACUAGACUUCUACGAUAUUUGGAGCUUCGGGAUAUGGGAAAUAUGAUCCAAUAUUGGUCUUCAGUUUCCUUCUUGUAUUUCUGCUGCAUGAUUGGACAAUUCUGGAUACCCAACUUCCUUAUUGGUGUCAUUUUAAAGAGAGGAUCCGGUAGUGCCUUCAGAUUGCUGCAAUUGUAAAGUUUCAAAAAGUGGAGUUUAGGCAUGACCUUGAUGUCUGCAGUUCUGAUCAUGUUCCAUUCUUCCCAACUUCCCAUGUCUGAAAUUUUCAGUUUCUUCAACUUUGGGAAUGCAAUAUAUUCUUCUGAUGAUAAUGCCAAUGAUCUGUCUUUGCUGUCUGCUGUGAUUUGAUCGUUCACAUUGUCUGUUGCACCCAAAAAUUCGAGCCCAGGAGAUUUAAUGCAGACCAUCUAUGUGGAGAGUUACCAGGGACGGAAGCCUUGCAAGAGGAGACAAAAUUGUGCAAUUUUGGCACUCUUGAAGCGAAAGAUCUUUCAGAUUGGUUAAACUUACCAUCCAAUUUGGGAAUCGAGUGCCUUCAUAUGAACUUACUACUAAAGAUUGCAACCCGGGAUGCAACUGAAGAGCUUAAAUCACUUCGUCUUGGUUGCUUGCUUGAGCCUUAGAGUUGAAGUCGAGGUGCAAGUCAGAAAUAUGUUUCUUUUCACUCAACUCUGCUAUCCGGGCCUCAUUAGCAUUUGUCACGCAACUCAAUCCUUCAAUUUUAAGACAUCCUCGGAGAUUCUUCAUUAUUUCAAAUCCUCUAGUCCACAUGUCGCUGCUUCACCACCAAUACCACGAACACUGACCAAUUUGCUCAAAGUCUGAAGUGAGCUCAAGUUGCCAAUCCCUUUUGGUAAUGUCUUAAGACUAUCAGUGCAAUUUAUCUAAAGGUACCUCAAAUUUACUAAUUUUCCCAUUUCUUGAGGCAACUUUCUGAGAUUGUCACAGGCAGAAAGGUUCAAGGUUUGUAAUUUUGGAAGUUCACGCAACCUGUUACGACUUAAAUCUAACGCCUUGAGACAUGCCAAGCGAUUGCAUAAAUCUGGCUCAAUCUUGUCCAAUUCACUUAUAAUUGGAGGCGUAUCAAAGAAAGAUUGAACCCAAAACUGUUGGGCGCGAAAGCUCCAAUAACACACGUUGAUUCCAAACUGGAUUGUAGAGAACGAAAUUUUAAAGACAAUAUUGAAGUAAACAAGAUCACACGACGAAACAAGGUUUAAAUUGUAAAGAAGAACAAAUGAAUUAACACAGAGGAACGAUGUUUAUUGAAUCAAUAAUAUGGAGAAUACAAAGCAUUCUUGCGAUUGGCUUCUAUCUGUUACCUCUAAUAAAACUGACAAAGAAGCCUUGUAUUUAUAGGUCAACCCUAAAAGAGUCCUAAAAGAAAGAAAAUAUAUUACAAUUAGGAGGCCCAAUUUCUAAAGGAUUUUGUUUCCUUUUGUUGGAUGCCAUUAGAUUCUCUUUCCAAGCAAAAGUCUAACACGCAUCUUCAAAAGACUCCUAACCAAUUUUCAGGAUUUCACUUAAUCAAAUUCUAAAUCAACAAUAAUCCUAACACAUUUGAGUUACCAAACCUAACAAAAACGAAUGUAGUUUUCCUGCAUUAGCAAUGGAAGUAGGAAAGCGGACGUCUUUUGCACGUACCAGGGUCAAAUGACGAGUCGUUUUAUAAGACGAUCCCAAAUUUACUGCAAACUCCCCAUCAACCUCCACCACAGAACAUUCUCUCUUCGUAAGAUAUUGCGCAAAAUCAUGAACCAUGCCGUGCAUCUUAAAUUUUAGAAUCCUUUUACAGUCCUUGUCCUUUUCUAUGUCUUGGAAGAAAGACCCCAUAGCCAAAUUUUGCAAGUAUUCCUCACCUAAUACUUCCAUUUCUACAUUUUUCACAGGGCAGAGAUAGCCUUGCGCCAUCCAGAGUUUGAUCAAAUUGUUUGCAUUGAUGACGUGAUCUCUUGGAAAAAAAGCACAAAAAGAAAAGCACCUUUUCAAAAGCACAAAAAGAAAAGCACCUUUUCAUUGUCUAGGGAAAAUCGAAGUCGCUCAACAUCGAAGGACGAAAGAGAACUUUCUCUGCUCCUUCAAAUUCCCAGAAUUCACUAUUCAGAACAUUCUGCCAAUCUUGUAAAGAAUUCUUGAACCGCAUAUGAGUGCCAAUAGUCUUUACAUUAAGAGGUAUGCCCCGGCACUUGUCAGCUAUUUUCCUACCAAUUCCUUCCAAUCCUUCGCAAUCCUCUUUACUUCUUUCGAAAAACGCUGUUUGACUGAAUAGCAACCAACUGUCCUCGUCUGUCAACUGCUCCAAAUGAAGCACGUGGCUACUUCUCAACAUUUUUGCGAUUCUCUCAUUUCUCGUCGUCACUAGAAUUUUACUUCCAGCUGCACCAAAUUUGAGAGAGUUGAACAAUUGUUCCCAUUUCCUGUAGUCAUAUGUCCACACAUCAUCCAGCACAAGCAGGAACUUCUUUCCUGAAAUAGCAUUCCUAAGACGGCGCAAUAGAGUUUCAAGUUCACAUAAAUGCGGAGCAUUACCUUCAAGGUCUUCAACAAUUGCCUUUGCAACUCGAACUUCAUCAAAAGGCUCAGAAACACAUACCCACAUUCUUAUCUCAAAAUCUUGCUCUACAGAAGCACAAUUGUAGACCAUUUGUGCUAUAGUUGUUUUACCAAUUCCUUCCAUGCCGAUUACAGAAACAACAUGGAAUCCAUGACUUUGGCUACUCUCAGACAACAACUUGCUUACAAGAGUGUUCUUAUCCACAUCUCGACCUCGUACUUCAGAUACAUCAAUGUAAGAGUUAGUUUUUAGCCUCCCAGUAUCACCACUCUCCAUUGACGUAUUAAAACUGUACCUAUCUUUCUCGGUGGCAAUAAUAUCGAGUCUUUCAUUAAUGUCCUUAAUCUUGAGGGCUAUGUCACGACGUAGGACAACUCGUCUAUAUCCAAGGCAAGGUAAAGAGAUAAAAGAACAUACCUUUUUCUUGGAAAGGGAUGAAUCUUCAACACCUUCAGUUUUCAACUUGCGGAUUGCAGUUAGCCAUUCAGACAACACACCGUUGAUGUCAUAUGCUAUGUCUUUGAGCCUUUCUAACCACAAUUUGACUGAUUCAUCCUUCACUUUUCUCUUUUCAGCAUCAACAAGCACAGAUCGGAUGGAUUCCAAUACGCUGGUGAGUUUUUCGAUAUCCUUUGUGACCCCCACAACUAAUCUCACCUUCUGUCGGAUCUUUUCUCUCGUGAUUUCAGCCAAUUGUGUUAAGAUUACAGUUAUAAUUGCUUCAGCCAUGGUUGAAGAUGACAACAGAUUGAAUAAAAAGCAAGUGAAAUUGACUCGGGAGACUAGACAAACAGGUAUGGAUUUCUUUUCACUUAAAUGAAAACUGAGACAUGAGAGAUUUGUUUUUUGGUGCUAAAAAUUCAACCAUUGAUUUUCCAGGUAAGAGAUUGGAAAUUUCCAUGUGCGUGCCAAAGGAAGACUAAGAAGUAGGAAGACUCCCAUUAUCGCGUUUUGUUUGGUUGCUUCAAGUGAUUGAUGUAUAAUUUACAAGAUUUGAGCUUUUCCGGUACUUUUAGCCCCUGUUUGAUUCCCAUUACUUGGUAAUGAAAAUGAGCAGAAUAGUAUUUUUUUGAAAAAUAAGUGGUUGAAAAAGAGAGAAAUUUUUUUGAUUUACGUGUAAUAUUAUUUUAUGGAAGAUUGUAUGGUUGAAAAUAGGAGAGAGAAAAAUAGAAUGUAAUGUAAUGUAAUGUAAUGGGGGCCAAACGGGGGCAAAUUGUCAUAUUCAAACGUGUUACUGCACAACCAAACCUUGAAGUAUAAUGUGAAAUCAUAGAUAGACGAGUAAAAAGUUUCAACAAUCACUGAACUUAGUAUAAUAAUGUCACGUUGUGGUCACUGAACUUCCGUUUGCUGCUCAACGGUCACUGAACUUACAAACACACCACUCCAUCCAUCACUCACCUCAAAGCCAUUUGAAAUUGUGUGAUCUGGCCCUGACGGAAUUCCAUGUGGCAUUCAACGGCGUCAAAAGUGAUACACGAUGGACAUGUUUAAGAUUACACGACCCUAACCCAUUCAAAAUUGAAAACCAAUUUCCCUAAUUCACUCUCCCAUGAACCCUAAUUCAAUCUCCCCCAAUUCAAAAUCCUGGAUCGAACAUAGAGUCACUUGCCAGAAGUUCUUCGCCUUCCAAUGUACACCAUCCCCAGCUGCAGAUGAUUAUCAACCAAUAAAAUCUGAACCCACGUCCCGUUACCUAAAUGUUGAAAACUCGAAGAAGGAAACCAGAGGAGCCCAACCAACUGCGAACGGUGAAGGUAAUCUCUUAAAUUCUUAUUUACUGGUAUGAAGAAUAUGUAAUUGACACUGUUGAAUGACCGAAUUUUUGUUCAAAUUUGCUGACUGCACAAAAUCAAAGAGAGUUGUAAGAUUUUCCUUCGUUCAAAUUGUUUCAAUAAUUUCUCAUUGAAAGCACUUUGAAUUUUCAAUUUUGAACUUGGGUUCAUCACUUUGAAUUUUCAAUUUUAAACCUGGGUUCAUCCUGUGAGCAUUUUUGAAAUUGGACAUUGUUUAAUUUUGUUUCAGGAGGCAUCCCGUAAGCAUUAAUUCUUGUUACAGAAUGCUCAAAAUGAUAUGGUGGUCAUUGUUUAAUUUUGUUGGAGGAGGCUGAAAAUGAACUGAUGGUCGUAGUUGUGAUAGGAAAUUAUUGAAUUAGCGUUGCGGAUGAUAUUAGUUUGAUGAUUAUCAGCAUUAUUAGUAAAAGUAUUAUGGUUACAAAAUUAAAAUGUCUUGUUAAAUUGUGUUCUUGAAUGGUGAGAAAUUUUUAUGCAGAUUAGGAUAUUAUGUGGUGUCGAACAUGAUGAUUCGAAGAGGCUGGUUUUUGUAUCAAAAUCAAUAAAAGAUGUGGUAAGAUUUUGUAGUCCUAAAGAUUUUGAUUUUAAUCAUUUUUUCUUCCCCCUCCCCCUCGCCCUCCCCUUGGGGAUUUACUUGAGUAUAAAUAUUAAUUUGGAUUCUUUUUUUAAUAGACUCUGAUUGCAAAGCAGUGGCAAUUUGCAUAGAGGAAAACUAUUGGGUUCCAGAAUGUGGAGGAUUUGGGUGAGUUCAAUGACAUUGAGGCAUGGACGAAGCAACAAAGAGUUUCCAAACUUAGCUUAUAAAAGAAAUCUACCAAGUGAUCACAUUACGUUGUAUUAAGCUUCAUGUUGCAUUUCAAUUCCAAGUAAUCAGGCAAAAACAAGGGAUAUGGAAUCAAGGAAGCUUAUGAAAGAUAUAUGCAGGCACUGUGGGGAGAAGUUGUUGGGGUCUCGUAUUGAGGCACGAACAAUAUACUGUCCAAUGUGUGGUGCUACUACAAUACUUCAAAUACCACAGCAGCUGGUCACUCUUCCCGCACAUGGACGGGCGUUACCUACAAGGGACAUCGAUACUGAUGAAGAUCGUGAAAAAGGGUGUUAAUGUUUUUGUGGAUAAGGGUGUUGAUAACUUUGUAGUGUCAAAGUAAUGUAAAUGUAUUUUUUAUGGUGUUUUCAGAUGUCAAACAACUGAAGUUUUUCGGCGAACACUCACUUUGAAUGCUGAUUUGUUUUUUCCAUUGACUAAGUUCCUUUUUUGUGGCUUCUGUUUUGAUUUUGUUGUGCUUGCAAAGACUUGUUUGAUUUGAGAUUGAACAUAAUUAUGUGAAGUUGUGCAUGAACGUCUCCUUGAUGAAAUCUUAAUUGAAGUUGAACGAGUUUCUGUUGUAUUUGUAUAGCAAAGAAAUCUCAUUCCAUAACAUCCAUUAAUAAUAAUAAAAUGUUGUGCUGGAGUCCUGCACCGUCUUUAACUUGUAAUCUCUUAUUGUCCUGCCAUAUCAGGCUCAAGAAAAAGCAACUGAAAGAGUUAGGGCUGGCCUCAUUACAAAAAAUUAAGAUAACUAAAGGCGAAAGAAGUGUAGACGAAAACACAAGAAGAACAAGAAUUGGAGGAAAUUCAUCUUCUCGAAAACACAAAAAUAAAUAUAUAACAUCAUUAGAAACAAUUCCACUAUGUGCACAAAUGGACGACACAAUCUUUCCUUUCAAAGACACCAUAAGAUCAUUAGAAACAUUUCAACAUAUAUAAAAGCUUCAUUACAAGCAAAGUGGACUAAAACAAAUGGCAAUCAACAUACAACAAGCUUGCAUGCUUGAUCUAUUUCUAGCGUCUCGAGCUGCUAGUCUUCCGUUAGAUCCACACUUACACCUUCACCUUCGGCAGUUAGAGUAAAAGCUUUGAUGUUAUCCAUGUUGUUAGUCAAUAGUUGUCUACCGUAACUUCCAUAUUCCAACACCAACUCCCUAUCCGAAGGAUCCAUCUGAAAAAAAAACAGAACAUGAGUUUUCAAGUACGUUAAUCAAUCUGUAUACCAAGUAUCUUACAGCUAACAAUAGUAUUAUGGAGGAAUUUUCAUGAUAGCCUAUAAUGUACACAAUUAACCCACAUAGCUUUCUUCCACCUCAGAAUUGAAGUUGAGCUAAGAAAAGAUACCCACUUCUCAUUAGUCAUUACACAGCACAAAUGCAAACACAUUUCUCAACUUUAAUUGUAUAAAAUACAUCAACUUCGUCUUUCUUAUUUGAUAUCUUGAAAAUAUCAUCAAAUUUUGUAAUAACAUGUUCAUAAUCCCCAUCAACUUUAACACCCCCAUCAUUUCAAUCAAAUUAAAUUCCAAUACUAAAUGCAGAAUUAUGGGGAAAAAAAUUAUUGACAGCCACGAUUACAUUAGUACUAAACAAAUAUGAUAGUUAACCUAGCUAGAAUUAUGAAUUUUUCAAUGCAGUAAAUUACAUUCAAAACAUGGGUUGGAGGUUGCCCUAAAUCUCAUUCAAAAGUUAAUGUAUUACACAAAGCUGUUACUGGAUUUCGUUGCUUGAGCAGCAAAAAAAAAAAAUUUCAUGCUGCUUUUGGAUUUUUGUACAUUUCUGAAAUGUAAAGGAAGAUCGAAAAACAAUAAAUACAUUAGGGCUACAAACUAAGAAAUUGUUCAUUCUCAAACCAGGUAUGAAACCAUUAUUACCUUUUGAAAACCUUCACCUACCGUCAGUUUGGUGUUGCUAUGAGGGUGAAGAUGAAGAAACGACCUGCGCCGGUGUUGCUGUGAAGGCAAAAAAGAUCUGCCAAUUUUGCCAGAUGUUAAAGAAUCGAUUUGGGGGAGGAUUUAGAAGAAAAUCAAUCUAGGGCUGGGUGUUCAAAUUAGGGAUGAGAGAUCGUGGAUUGGGAAAUGGUGAAGGAUCAUGUUUUGGUUGUGAAAUUGUGUCCACCGUGGUCGAGUUUGACGCUGUCGACAGCCACUUCACCUGCCGUCAAGCCACGUGAGAUGGGUUCAAAUGGCUGGGGCAGUGGGUGAUGGAUGGAGUGGUGUGUUUGUAAGUUCAGUGACCAUUGAGCAGCAAACGGAAGUUCAGUGACCACAACAUGACAUUAUACUAAGUUUAGUGAUUGUUGAAACUUUUUACUCUAGAUAGACAGAGAUAGUAAAAGAAUAAUGCUACUUUGCCAUAAAAUAAGUGACAAAUAUAAUGACAUAAUAGGUGUUAACAUCUAUCUAAUUAUUCAUUUAUACGAUCUAUUUGAAAUUCAAGUCUAGGAAGUGCAAACGAUCAUCCUGAUCCACAAAAACAGGUUGCUACACCUAUACUCGACCAAUUUUACCUCCUAUUUCUAUGGACCAAUUUUACCUCCUAAUUAUCUAGGACUUCCUCUGUUCAACAAAUUUUACCUCCUAUUUCUAUGGACCAAUUUUACCUCCUAAUUAUCUAGGACUUCCUCUGUUCAACAAAUUUUACCUCCUAUUUCUAUGGACCAAUUUUACCUCCUAAUUAUCUAGGACUUCCUCUGUUCAACAAAUUUUACCUCCUAUUUCUAUGGACCAACCUAUGGACCCUUUACCACAAGCUAUUUUGAAUAGCAAGAUAAAUAAGGGAGGUGAAGAAAUCUUGGUUCACUGGCAAAAUCUUUCUCCAGCAGAUGCUAUGUAGGAAGACGUGGAAUUUUCUAAGCCUCGAUCUCCUUAUUUCAUCCUUGAUGACAAGGAUGUUUUUAUGGAGGAUGGAGUUGUUAGAAGCAAAAUUGGCAAGACAGCACAUUCAUAGGGAUUGCAACAUGGACGUAUGGCAAGGUACCAAGUAUACAAGGAUUGCAAGGCUGAGGUGGAUUGCAAUCCUGGUUUCCAGUUAAGGCUUAUCAAAUAAAGAUUUAAAUAAUAAUGGAAGAACUUAUUUUGCGCAUCAAUUAUGUAAUUCCUUCCUUUAAUAAUUGUAAACCAUACGGCUAUUUAAAGUCAAGACUAUUAUCAAUAAAAUCAUCAAAAGAAGUAUUUUCAUCUCAACCUUGUGUUGAAUUAAGGAGGACCAAGGCACCUUGAAUUGCCUAAACAAGGAGGAUAGGAUCCCUCGAAGUAUCCAAGAUAUUUCAUAUUACUAUUCAAGAUUAGGAAGUUUGCGGAGAACUGAUUCGGGAUCCUUUCCAGUCAACAAGUAUCAAAUUAAAUAUGUUAUUAAGCGACAGAACAUUUAACAACUAUCUGAUUAUUCAUAUAUACAAUCUAUUUGAAAUUCAAGUUUAGGAAGUCUAGACGAUCAUCCUGCUCUGUAGAACAUAGCACCAUAAGAUCAGACGUACCUGCAACUUGCACCAUGAGAUCAGAUGCACCCGCUUUUCGUCCGACAUUCAGUGCACCACCCUCCGAACAGUACUUUUCACCAAAGCAGGCUCCUUCACGCAGGCGAGACCCCUCUCCAACGAGCGAGCCAGACAUCGCAGACUACUAUGAUCCGGAAGUGUUUCAGACCAGACGCAUGACCCGAUCGAUGUCUAUGUACUACCACCCGAAAAUUUACCCUCGGGAAUACCCUUGAGUACAUUUCAUUAGUUUUUGUUCGUGUCUUGUUUAUUGUGAUUGCAUUUUAUCUUCAGAUAUUUGUUACAAUUUACAUUUGCUGGAGGUCAGGUCUAUACCCCCCUCCUAUAUUUGUUUUCCCGCUUUUCAUUAUAUAAAAUAAACCACACUAGUGGUAUUUGCUUAAAAAAAAAAAAUCCUGCUCCGUAAGAAAAGGUUGCUAUACAUGCACUCAACAACAGAGAAAGUCUAGGACUUCAAGCUUGCCAAUACCUUCUCUUAAACAAUAAUUUCAUUAUUUGAAAACAGAUUCUUUGAGACCAAGGCCUCGAGAUCCUCGAUUGAAUGCUUUAUAUUUAUUUUUUGAAAGUAUUUCUUGUGUAUUUCCCUAUGCUUCUGAACAUUUCUUGUAUGCUGGAAUCAACUUGUCAACCAUGGACGCACGAAGUUUAUUCAGGAGCUCUAAAUCAUGUACUAUCCAAUUUUGUGUGAAGUGUAUGAAUCUCUUCAAACAUGGAAUUAAUGGCCUUCAAUCUUUUUCUCAAUGCACGUUUUGACACCUGAGUAGAAAAGCACCAAGUAAAUAAAGUCCCUCUUCUCGACAACAAGACAA
rnacentral:lncRNA from 1 species